AGCACUUUGCAGACAAGCAAAUGCCAAUUGUGAAAGAGAUCAUGCCAUGGCAGCUAUAAAUAGGCAUGUAGCAUGAUGACCAUCCUUCCUCAUUCAUCAUUCUCAUAAGUAGAGUGCAUCAUUCAAGCCAAGCAAGAACUGGUCAAUACAAAUACACCAUGAAGACUUUUCUCAUCCUUGCCCUCCUUGCUAUUGUGGCGACCACUGCCACAACUGCAGUUAGAGUUCCAGUGCCACAAUUGCAGCCGCAAAAUCCAUCUCAGCAACAACCACAAGAGCAAGUUCCAUUGGUGCAACAACAACAAUUUCCAGGGCAGCAACAACCAUUUCCACCACAACAGCCAUAUCCGCAGCCGCAACCAUUUCCAUCACAACAACCAUAUCCGCAGCCGCAACCAUUUCCGUCACAACUACCAUAUCCGCAGCCGCAACCAUUUCCACCACAACAACCCUAUCCACAACCGCAACCACAAUAUCCGCAACCACAACAACCAAUUUCGCAGCAACAAGCACAACAACAACAACAACAACAACAACAACAAAUCCUUCAACAAAUUUGCAACAACAACUGAUUCCAUGCAGGGAUGUCGUCUUGCAACAACACAACAUAGUGCAUGCAAGCUCACAAGUAUUGCAACAAAGUAGUUACCAACUGUUGCAACAAUUAUGUUGUCAGCAGCUGUGGCAGAUCCCCGAGCAGUCGCGGUGCCAAGCCAUCCACAAUGUCGUUCAUGCUAUUAUUCUGCAUCAACAACAACAACAACAACAACAACAACAACAACAACCAUCGAGCCAGGUUUCCUACCAGCAGCCUCAGCAACAAUAUCUAUCAGGCCAGGGCUCCUUCGAGCCAUCUCAGCAAAACCCACAGGCCCAGGGCUCUGUCCAGCCUCAACAACUGCCCCAGUUCGAGGAAAUAAGGAACCUAGCGCUACAGACGCUACCAGCAACCUGCAAUGUCUACAUCCCUCCAUAUUGCUCGACCACCAUUGCGCCAUUUGGCAUCUUCGGUACUAACUGAGAAGAGAAGAACUCUAGUACUAGAUAUAUCAAACAUCGUGUUCUUAGUCCAUGGUUUGGUCGUUGUACUGGUGAAAAUAUAAAGUGACAUGCACUACCAUGUAAGAACCCGAACUAUACUAGUUCAAACUUGGGAAUAAAAGACAAAGCCAGGUCUUGUCUGCAUAUGAUUAUUUGUUUGAGUUCCAUUCAUGUGCCCGUUCACAAGUUCACCCCUAAUUAUAUAUAUUACGCAUUAAGUAGAUAUCUAUGUUGCAUUAAUUUGAAGAUAACAAAAUGAGUCUAAAACUUGAAUUAAAUUGAAUUGUUUUCUUGGACUUUCAAAUUGUGUAUUAUUAAAGUAGUAACGACUAUCCACAUCCUUGGCUUGCCCUUGAUCAAUUAUUUCCAGAGAAGCAUUCAAUUCAUCAAUCAAUUACAUUGAUUUUUGAGACUGGUACAUCUCCUCAUCAUGAGUAUCAUUGCGGCUACUCCAAAUCGCCCACAUAACCGAAGCAUUAAUAGCGCUCUUCUUGCAUCAGGAAAUAUGGAUUGAAGAUAUCAGGUGACCAUGUUUCCGGGUGCAACCUUGGGAGUUUUAUGUCAAAAUAUUCUCAAGAAGAAUCCAAGAAUAAACUUGCAUGCUCACGUGUGAUAAGGGCAUAUGAAGUAACAUUUCCUCCCCAUGGCCACAUAGGGCACACACAUAACCCCAUCACAUGCAUUUUUAGUUAUGCAUAUGAAAGGUAGGAUGUUUUUAAUUACUCUCCACCAAAAUACUCUUAACUUGGCUUGUACCCUAAGAGUUUGUUGCCUUUUCAUUUCUUCUUCCCCAUUAGACAAACUAGACAGUCCAUCCACCACACCAUUCCUUGUGUCCAUCAUGGCUCUGUACAACAAUUGGACAGAACAAAUGUCAUUUCUUUAUGAUACCCACGACCAAAUGUCCUCUGCUGGAUUGUUUGGUCGUGGCAUAUUAAGGAUGGCCACCUCAUCUGAUGGGAUAAACACCUAAUGAAUGAAAGGAUUGUUCCAGUCGCCCGUGUUUUUCAUCGAUAAGAUCAGCUACAAGUUGGACCGGAGUUUCUCACAUGCAUCGUAGUGGUUUCAUUAGCGGCAUGCCCUGCACCCAUUUAUCAUGCCAUAUCUCUGUAGUAUGUGCAUUCCCAAUUUGUCACAACAUACCCUCCUUCAAACCUUCUUGACCUUUCAGAAUUGCACGCCAAGUUAGCGAUGCACUAUGCAGGAACCCGCAUUUCAAAAAAAAAAGAAUCUCAUUUCAUGGUAUCUUCCAUAAAGGACCCUCAUACAUGAGCUAUCUAGAUAGAAACAGCCAUGUAUGUUUAGCAAACUUUGCAUAAGUGAAUAGAUCAAGGUUGUGGAACCCCAAGCCUCCAAUUACACCCGGCCUCUCUACCAACAAGAUGUCUAAAGACAUGAAGGAUACACACAGCCAAAAAAGAAAAUAAAAAGAACAAAAUAAAAAAUACCCCACCAUGGUGGUCAAUCACAAGCAUCAACAACACUCUAACCACCACCGAAGACAAUGCCCGGAUUACAAAAAGGUUAUUCAAAAGCAACACCCACAAGAAGGAAACAAUGCACAAGCGUUGUCGUUGCCCGAUAGAAGAUCGUGGGUUUUCACCCUGGAAAAAUUUUGAGUUCACCCAAAAACAAUGCCUUCAACAAGGCCAUUGCCAAGUACAGCCAAUAAGGGGUAGACCUUGGGUUUUCAACCUAGGAACUGAGACUCGAUAGUCGACAAGUACCACCGAAAAUGCAGUCCACCGGUGUUGCCGCCCCCGCUUGCCGAGGCCGCUGUUGCAAGUCACCAAACAUACAGUUGUCAUCGCAUCCAAUACAUCCUUCCGCCGAAGCUUCAAGACCUCAAAUGGCAGCCGCCGUGACUUUCUCCACAUCUAUCAAUGCCUUGAGGAUCUUGACUUAGACAUGUCCCGUGACAUAAAUAAGAAACCGAAGCUUCGCACCGCGUCCUCUUGAGGCCGUGUUGGCUGAUAAUAUUAGCGCGUAUGACGGGAGCCUUUCCAACCUAGAUAUCCAGGGGCGACAUACACCAAUCAAUAUAGAUCUCCGCUCGGAAAGACCGGAACUCAUCAACGGCCAGAUCCAAGUGGUCGACAUCCGGCAAAAAGACGACUUGGCGGAAGAAGAGCAUCAGGGCCAAACCACCAUUAUUAGUCCGAAGCUAAUAGCCCCCACGCCGCCCUCCUCUCGAUCCAGACCUGCAGAAAAAGAUCAACGACGCCGCAUCGUGCCACUUGCAUCCGUGGAGGCUUGAACUUGGCAAGAUGCCAACCAUGGCUGGAGACGGGGACCAGCCACUCCUGGCUGGAUCCGGUGACUCCUAGUCCUACCGCUGCCGCUACGGCGGCACCGCGUGUGGCCUACAAGCCCAUCCACGAUGAUGUCUGAUUAGAAGGAUACAUGGAUAUACAGAUGAAAAGGCCCUUGUUAUCCCUCCAACAAUAUAUAUAUAGCUUAUUGGGACGUGAGAAAGCUCGCACAAUUUUAUAGUGGCUAUGGAAAUGUGUUGCCAGACAGAGAUAUAAGAUUUUUGUUUGGCAUCCAGACCGUUUGUGUCAUGCUUAAUCGAUGGUCACUCUAAUUUUUCCGGCGGGCCUUCCCCGUGGUACUGCAGCCUUAUAUGUGUAUGGGUUUCAUACAGCUAUUCUGUCCUGUCUAGAAAAGGAGAAAACCAAAAUUACUUGGAGUUAAUAACUAAUACGUUUCCUUUAACUACCAUGUGCACGGCGAGGAUUUACGUGCAUGAUGUUUUUUCCUCUCCCCACGUCAUAUUGGGCCGGCCCAUUCACGCGCAUAUGGUUAGAAAAAGAGAUGAGGAAAGGGAGAACCAGGAUUGAUUCCUAGUCUCAAGGUGACCGUGGGUGCUGCUACCAGUCCGCCCAAGUCCCGUUCGUGAUAAGUUGUAGGUGCGCGUGGUACUUCAAGCGAUUCAAGCCGGUUUUAUUUGAGUUUUUUUUCUCUUUUUUUUCUUCUUCAUUUUUUUCAUUCUUUUUUACACUCCGUUUCUUCGAUUUGUCAUUCUUUUUUUCUUUUGUUUAUUUCCUUUUUUUCGGUUUUCUUUGUUCUAUUGGUUAUCAUUGUACAUUUUUUGUAUAUGUCAACAACAUUUUUCUCUAAUACACGUCUAACAUUUUUCAAAUACAAACCAACCAUUUUUGUAAUACAUUGUCAACAUUUUUUCUAUACACAUUUUUUAAAUGCUUGAUUAUCAUUUUUCAAAUACAAGAUUAACAUUUUCUCAAUACAUGGUCACCAUUCUUUUUCUAUUUUCACAAAAAACUUAAAUGCUUGAUUAACAUUUUCUUAAUACAUGGUCAACUUUUUCUCUAUACACAUUUAACAUUUUCCAAACGCUUGAUUAACAUUUUCGAACCCUUGUUCAACAUUUCUUUUAAAUGCCUGAUUAACAUUUCUGUAUACAUGAUCAAACAUUUUUAUCAUUUUAAUACAUGGUCAACAUUAUUACCAUACACAUUUAACAAUUUCCAAUUCUUGAUUAAUAAUUUUUAAAUACUUGUUCAACAUUUUUUUCAAAUGCAUAAUGAUGACAUUGUUCAAAAGUGGCAUCACAAGUUUCAGGGAGUAGAAAAUAGAUUAAUCAAUGAAACCGCGCGAACUUUGUGAUGCUAUUGUGUUAUAUCAACUACUUUCUCCGUCUCAUAAUAUAAGAGUGUUUUUCACAUUAGUAUAUAGUGGAAAAACGCUCUUAUAUUAUGGGACGAAGGGAGUAUGUGUUUGUUAUGUCAUACUGAGCACCAAAUUCACUAUAUAUAUAUCUAUACCAAUAUAAAAAGACCUAAAGGGGCAGAUCCAAAUAAUCUUGGCCAUUAAAUCAUGUCAAUCCAAUGACAUAGACUGCUUCACUGUCGAGCACUUAAUACGUUUAGCAUGCAGUUAAUUGCAUGCCAAAUAUAGUGCUAAUCACAUAAUAACAUGCAAAUAAUAUCCUACUUAAUAUCCGAAUGCACUUAAUAUACUUCCAAAUUAACGCGCAUUACACAUACACAUUAACUAAUCACAUAAUCAAAGAAAUUAACACACAAAUAAUAGCAUACCUAAUAUCCACGUGUAAAUAAUAAAACAAUAUAAUGCUUAAAUAUUAACCUGUGUUGCACGUGCACAUUUAGUAGAACAUGGGAAUACAGUAACAGUAAGCUCACUAGACGGAAGCCCGUCACGGCCAUGUGAAUAGGAUCCUCCUCGUACUGCUCCUCUCCUGCCCUGCCCUGAGCAGUAUCAUCCGUCGUCGUCGCCGGGCGGCGCAGCAGCCGGCGGCCGAGGGGAGACCGAGAUUUCCUCUUUGGAGGCGCCGAAUGCGGCUCGUAAGUCCAAAUCCCUCCCAGUCCCGCCUCUCGAAUCCCCACCGGUCUCCUACUUCCAUGCCGCCAAUGCCCGCCUUUUCUUUGGACUCCGAGCGAGGAAUCGGAGGGAAAGCUGUGUGCUUCUUGCAGCUUCAUGCCCCGGCAAUGGCGGCCCUGCUUGCUUUCUGUUGCCGCUGGGUCGCUCUACUCUCUGCGUGCCCGUCCGCAAGGUGUUCGAUGGAUUGUGCGCAGGGUGUCGGCCCGGCUGGUCCCCUGGUCUCGUUCCAGUUCUCCCAGGUUUCAGUCUGCUUACUGUCAGUUGCUGAAAAUGUGCACGAAACGGAUGAAAAUGCUGGGAUAUGCGCUCUUUGUUUACCGUUUACCGUCAUUUGUUUGGUUGCAGGAAGCACCCGGCCUUAAGCAUAGUACUACAUAUAAAGUUGUAUGUUCUGUUCUGUUUGUUUGUUUGCUGUCUGAUGAUUGAGACAAGGGCAUAAUCUAAAGUUUGGCACCUGCACUUGCACCUGCUCCUGCACAUUUAUGUGCUGGAAACUGGAAUCUGUUCAGAGUAGUAUGGCCACGCCACAGGUUUUAGCUUUCACUCAUGGACCACAUUGCUUCUUGACUAUCUUGGAUGCUUGUUGGCCCAUCCUUGUAAUUCUAUAUCUUUCUAGUAGUCUUAUAAAUCAGAAACAUAACAACUUUUUGUGUUGCUUACUAUAUUUUGUGUAUUUACUUAGCGUGUUUAGUCAAAUCAUCUGUCAUUGUUCUCUCAAGUUGUUUUUCCUUGCGAUAUUCAACCCAGCGGUUUAAAAUUCCUGCAAUUGAUUCAUUCAAAGUGAUUUUUCCUUCUUUGUUGUUGUUUUCUUUUAAAUGUUUGGGCUGAGGCUCCAAAUGUUGCUACUCUUUUACAUGGACUAUGUUACUUUGGAGAAUACAAGAAUUAUGCAUUGGUACCACGAUAACAUAUGCCUAAUGGUUUUUCUUACAGGAUGGGGUUUCCAACACAUAAAUAGUUUGCUAGCAUGCAGACAAGUGUCCAGUAGCCUUUGCGCCAUUUGAGGCGUAAUGGAGAUAGUUUUUCUCAUGUUGUUGGUUCUUUCUCUGCUCCUUUUCCCUAAUGGCAUCUGCAAGAGUUUAGCCACAGGGCCUCCUGUUGUGAAUAUUGGGUCUAUUCUUCAAUUUGACUCCACCACCGGAGGUGUUGCGGCAGUUGCCAUCCAUACAGCCUUGGAAGAUAUCAACUCCGAUCCAACAGUUCUAAAUGGAACUACACUAAAGGUUCAAAUGAAGGAUACAAAUUGCUUUGAUGGUUUCCUUGGCAUGGUUCAAGGUAGGCUAGCUUUAAUGUCACUCAUUCAUUUCGCAACCUUCAAAUAAUUUUUUACUUCUGUUGUGGAGUUGUGGCAAUGAUGCCGUGUUCCUUGUAUCAGCUUUGCAGUUCAUGGAGACUGAUGUUAUUGCACUCAUUGGCCCUCAGUGCUCUACUAUUUCUCAUAUGAUUUCAUAUGUAGCAAAUGAGCUUCAAGUCCCUUUAAUGUCCUUUGCUUCUGAUGCAACUCUUUCAUCGAUACAGUUCCCGUUCUUUGUCAGGACGGGUCCCAGUGAUCUCUAUCAAAUGGCGGCUGUGGCAGAAGUUGUUGACUACAACCACUGGAAGAUAGUGACUGCCAUAUACAUUGAUAAUGUUUAUGGUAGAAAUGGCAUUGCUGCUUUGGAUGAUGCACUCACUUUAAAGCGCUGCAAAAUAUCCUACAAGGUUGGGUUUCCUUCCAACGCUAAAAGGAGUGACCUCAUAAAUUUGUUGGUUAGUGUCAGUUAUAUGGAGCCUCGUGUUAUUGUUCUCCAUACUGGAGCUGAACCUGGACUCAAGCUUUUCUCUGUGGCAAACCAACUGAACAUGAUGGGCAACGGCUAUGUGUGGAUUGCAACUGACUGGCUGUCUGCAUAUCUUGAUGCUAAUUCAUCAGUUCCUGCUGAGACUAUAUCUGGCCUGCAAGGUGUUCUUACUUUACGGCCACAUAUUCCCAACUCAAAGAUGAAGAGUAAUUUGGUCUCCAAAUGGGGCACGCAAAGUAAAAAGUACAACUACAGUGAUCUUCGUGUAAAUACGUAUGGUUUUUAUGUUUAUGAUAGUGUCUGGGCAGUAGCUCGGGCUCUGGAUGCCUUCUUUGAUGAUGGUGGUAGGAUUUCCUUUUCAAAUGACUUGCAUGAUGGAAUUGGAGGAACUCUUCACCUUGAAGCAAUGAGCAUUUUUGACAUGGGAAGCAAAUUACUGGAGAAGAUUAGAAAGGUAAACUUCAGUGGGAUAUCUGGGCAAGUGCAAUUCGAUGCUGUAGGCAACCUCAUUCACCCUGCGUAUGACAUCAUAAAUGUCAUCGGAAAUGGCAUGCGGACCAUUGGUUUUUGGUCAAACUAUUCUGGCUUGUUGUCGACUGUCUCUCCAGAGGCUCUAUAUUCAAAGCCUCCUAAUAUUUCUCUCGCCGAUCAGCAUCUCUAUGAUGUUAUUUGGCCUGGGGAAACUGCACAGAGGCCUCGAGGAUGGGUCUUUCCUUCUAAUGCCAAGCAGUUGAAAAUUGGUGUUCCCAACAGAUUUAGCUUCAAAGAGAUCGUCACGGUAGACAAUGCUACUGGGUCAAUGAAGGGUUAUUGCAUCGAUGUCUUUACUCAGGCAUUGGCUUUGCUUCCUUAUCCUGUUAGUUACAAGUUUGUACCUUUUGGGAAUGGUACUGAAAAUCCUAAUUAUGACAAACUCGUACAGAUGAUUGAAUCAAAUGUAAGUAUGGAAUGCCUCUUUUCUUCCUCUAACCAUUUCAUCAUAUACCAUGCUGACCAGGGUCAUCUUAUCCUGCAGGAGUUUGAUGCAGCUAUAGGGGAUAUUGCAAUUACAAUGAGGCGGACAGUAACUUUUGAUUUCACCCAGCCAUUCAUUGAAACAGGCUUGGUUAUCUUGGCUCCGGUUAAAGAGCAUAUAACAUCGUCCUGGGCAUUCUUGCAGCCAUUUAGUUUGGAGAUGUGGUGUGUUACAGGGCUGUUCUUUCUUAUUGUGGGUGUGGUUAUUUGGGUUCUUGAACAUCGGAUCAAUGACGAUUUCCGUGGUUCAGUAUGUCAACAAAUAAUAACUAUUUUCUCGUAAGGAGCUGGCAUUUACCUUUUGUAUCGUCUUCUUGUAUAUCAUUCCUGUUUUCGAAGUGUUGAUGUUUUAACAAGUCUUGUGCAAUAUGUUGCAUACAGCGAGCACCUUAGAGCAUUGGCCAGUUAACAUACCUAAAUGAAGCAUCUAGUGAUUACCAAUGAACUACUCCCUCUGUCCCAUAAUAUAAGAGUGUUUUUGACGGCGGGAGUAUUAUCUUAAUAAUCUUGUGAGACAUAUAUACAUGCACAGUAUAUAUAUUCGCUUAAUGAUAUUUAUGUUCAUUGCUCUAUUUUUUCCUGUUUUCACGUACUUCUCCACAUGUAUUUGCCAAAUGCUCUUAUCAUGACGUGAUUCCUUACUGUGAGUAUAAUUUCAAAUUUUAUUGCCUGCAGGUUCAGCUUUUCAACUUUGUUCUUCGCACACAGUGAGUAAACCAACCUUUUCUCUUAUGUGUUUUUUUGGCUAUAACAUUUUGUUCUGAGGCAUGACUCGUGAUUUCAUCCAUGUCUGCUCGCAGGAGAAAAUACUAUGAGUGCCUUAGGGCGUGGUGUCCUGAUCAUAUGGCUGUUUGUUGUUUUGAUAAUUGUAUCCAGCUAUACCGCGAGUCUUACUUCCAUCCUGACCGUGCAACAACUUGAUACUUCUAUAAAAGGAAUUGAUGACCUGAAAAAUAGCAAUGAUCCUAUUGGUUUCCAAGUUGGUUCUUUUGCACAAGACUAUAUGGUCAAGGAGCUCAACAUCUCACGGUCAAGGCUAAGAGCUCUUGGUUCACCACAAGAAUACGCGGAAGCCCUCAAGAUAGGCCCUAAGGAAGGAGGUGUUAUGGCCAUUGUUGACGAGCGCCCCUAUGUUGAACUGUUUUUGUCAACCUACUGCAAGAUUGCGGUAGCUGGCACAGAUUUCACCAGCAGAGGAUGGGGCUUUGUAAGUACAGUUCAACCAUAUACUUUUAUAUAAACUACUCCCUCCGUUCCUAAAUAUAAGUCUUUGUAGAGAUUCCACUAUGGACCACAUACGGAUGUGCAUAGAUGCAUUUUAGAUUGGAGAUUCACUCAUUUUGCUCCGUAUGUAGUCCAUAGUGGAAUCUUCCCAAAGACUUAUAUUUAGGAACGUAGGGAGUAGAAUAUAAGAACAAAAUAUUAUGCUGUUAAUGUCCUGGAAUAGAGGUUUUAACUUUGAAUAGUUGUGUCUAGUCUCUAGUUUAUUAUGCAACUUUUCUUGCACUUAUCUGCGGCUACUUUGUUUCGCAAAUCGAAAUGUAGCACCUUACAAAUUAAUUCUGCCAGGCAUUUCCAAGGGACUCCCCUUUGCAAGUAGACCUCUCCACCGCAAUCCUGUCUCUGUCAGAGAAUGGGGAGCUGCAGCGGAUCCAUUCCAAAUGGCUCAAUACAGGGGAGUGCACAACUGACAACAGCGAGUUUGUCGACUCGAACCAGCUCCGCCUUGAGAGCUUCCUUGGUCUGUUCCUAAUCUGUGGUGUGGCAUGUGUUCUCGCGCUGCUACUCUACUUUGGUAUCAUGCUAUGCAAAUACCUGAGGCAUGAACCGCGGAAGAGCCUCAGAAGAUUCAUCUCGUUCGUCCAUGGGAAGGAGCCGCCGAAGAACAUGGAGAGGCGAUCCAUGAGCCUGCCUGGAAGCUCGACGCCAACAACGCCGAUGGGCAGCUUUAGUUCCCUUGACAUGGAAAGGCCGGCCAGGCCAGUCAGAAACGGCAGCGUUAUUGAUAUGGAAAGCUAGUUCAUGUGUAGAAAGCUACGCGGUCGACUAACAUAGGUUCUGGUAGUCGGACAGCAGGGGUGUAUAGGGGGAUUCAAAAUACUUCUUAAGUACUCCCUCCGAUCCAAAUUAUUCCAAAGUUUAGGAAAUAAGAGAAGGAAGGAUUAAUAAGAAAUAAAAAUAUUGAAAUGCUCCUCCUGUCCUACAUAUAUUGUUUUUACCUUUUCAUGACUGUAUUUUGGGGGGAGUGUGGAUUUUCUAUCAUGCACGGGACCUCCCGUGCAUGCAUCCAUCACAUUUUUUAUUGCUGUGUGGGGCCCCUAUUUUCUCUCACCUAACAUACAUUCACAUGUUAAUUUGUACUGACUAGGUUUCAUUCACUAGUGCAGAACAGGCCUUUAUCACUGGUUCAUAAGGGCCUUUAGUGCCGGUUCUGUAACCGGCACUAUGGAGUGGAGACUAAAGGCCCCCCUUUAGUACCGGUUCGGCACGAAUCGGCGCUAAAGUGCCACCACGUGGCACGAGCCAGUCCCGGGUGCUGGUAGACCAUUAGUACCGGUUGAUAACACCAACCGGUACUAAAUGUUUGGGGGGGUUUUGGUUUUAAUUUUUAAUUUUUCAUUAACUUUGGGUUUUCCAUUUAAUUCUUUUUUGUUUGCUGGUAUUUUACGAUACUACAUAUUGUACACGUUAUGCAUAUAUAUAUAAAUAGAUUUUCUCGUAGAACUGAUCAUAUAUAUAAUCGAAUGUCUCACAACCACCAUUAAUUAUUCACACAUACACNNNNNNNNNNNNNNNNNNNNNNNNNNNNNNNNNNNNNNNNNNNNNNNNNNNNNNNNNNNNNNNNNNNNNNUUUGCUGGUAUUUUACGAUACUACAUAUUGUACACGUUAUGUAUAUAUAUAUAAAUAGAUUUUCUCGUAGAACCAAUCAUAUAUAUAUAUAAUCGAAUGUCUCACAACCACCAUUAAUUAUUCACACAUACACAUGUAUAUAUAUAUAUAUAUAUAUAUAUAUAUAUAUAUAUAUAUAUAUAUAUAUAAUUUCUCCUCCAUGUUGCCUUGGUGCCUUCGGAGCACGAUGACAAGUGGUUCAUGGAGACGGUAGCGGGUAAUAGUAUUUUCCUUUGGGAUCUAUGACCUGCUCGAGCAAAAAUCUCGUUAUUUCCUCUUGAAGUGCUCGUAUGCGCUCUGUUGGUAGGAGCUGGUCCCGCAUGUCUUUGAACCGUUAAGAAGGAGAUCAAUAUGCAUGUGUAUUAGUUGUGUGACUAGAUAUCGAUAAUCAUGUAAGAUUUGUGAAUAGUGUUCUGGCAAACGUACCCAUUGUUGUCUAUCAUAUCUGCUCCUUUCGGACGCCAUUAUGCGAAUGUUCUUGAAAACGUAGUAUGCACACACUUCAGUCCCCGGCGCCUGCUUCAGGGCCUUUACGAGAAUAGAAUUUAAUCAGAUAAUAAUUAAUCAAGUGUGUUAAUUAAUUAAUGGUAUUGAAACAAGAAUUAAAGAGAUGGUAGCUAGCUAGCUAGUACUACUUAAUUACUUGCCUUGGGUCGAUACCAAAAUAGCUUUUGUCGCCAUUUUCCUGAAGUCACCUUGAUGUACUUUACCCAAGCCCUUCCCGUCGGCAAAGAAAAUUGAUAAAGGGGUUAUUAAAAAUAGUUCAUAUCAGGAAAUGAUAAACUAAAUAGGCCAAGAUAUAGUUAAUAAUGAUUGAAAUUACCUGUUGACUAUCCCUUCAUUAUGCUGUAGUCACUAUCUUUUUUAAGUAGUGAGUCCAGUACUUCAACUUUUCCUUCGUCAACUUUAAUGUCUAACAAGAUCCAGUGGUACCUGCAUACGCAUAAGUUUGCAUGUAUAAAUUAAGCGGGCAUGUGCAUAACACUAAUCAACUAUAACCCUAAACCCUUUACACUUAUUAACAUCUAGCUAGUAAGCAAAAACAGAAUUUGUAGUACAAGACAGUGUGACUCACUCGAAGUUGUAAGGAAGUAGUACAUCUUCAUUGCUAUUGAGGUGCUUCAAGAACUCUAGCAUGUUUUUCUCUACAUCUUGUCUACACCAUUCCAAUUUCCAUGUGUAUUCAUUAACAGUAUUUGGGUCAAUGAACCCAAUGCCAUAGCGUCUAGCUUUUUUCAUUUCAUACAUCUUCAUCCUGCAUAAUACCACAGAAAAGAAUAUAUAGUGAGGAUAUUUAAUUACAGGUAAUUAAUGAUCAAUCAAUGAGCACUAGAGCUAGCUUGAGACUUAAAUUACAGAAAGAAAUCACUUACAGACAAUAGCAACUGACGAUAGAUUUGUCGAGUGCAUCUUGAUUGAAUAACUGAAAUAGUUCUGAAUACUCAACAGUUAGAGCUUUCUUAUUGAAGUAAUGAUCUUCCUUGACUUGCACCAUGAGGGACUCUCAAUUGGAAAUCUUGAUAAUUUUCAUGUACCAAUCAUGCAAUUCAUACAUUCUCGUUGGGAGGUUCUUGACCUCCUCGGGCUCGACCAAAGGUUGGCCCCGGACAUAUUUCCGUUUUAUUUUCUCCUCUCUAAGCAGAGACAUGGGCUCGAUAUCGAGGAGUUGUCCAAUAGUGAUCUUGAGCAUUUCAGCCUGCAUUAUAUGAUCCUCGGUUAUUACCACACCACCCACCUCGGGAACGUAAAUGGUUGCGCCGCCUGUUCUCCCAGCUGGGGAACGGUUUUCCCGUAUUUUUUGACAGCUGCUUGUUGGCUCGAGCUCGAGCUCGCUUCUUUCCGUAGUCGUGCUCGAUGUGCCUUUCUGAUUUGGCGCUCAUAGUCUGAGUCAACAGGCUUGGGAGCUGGUGGCCUAGCCAUACGAAUGAAGUGGUCAAUAUUUUUCCUCAGGCACUUUCUCCCUCGGCGGCGUUGCCGGUUUCGGUCCAAAAUGGGCGUCCACUUGGGCCUUCACUAUGGCUGCAUUUUGCUCCUCGGUCAUGUUGUAAGGCCUCUGAGGAAGAGGAGCGAGGCUGCUUGGACCAUAUUUAUAUCGCUUGUCUCCGCCUGUACUUCCUGUACUACCUUGACUCGUACCACUACGCACCAUAGCUGCGGCGUGUCUCUUCUGCGAUUGCUGAGGCGGCGGAGACGGCUGACGUUGCUGAGUUGGAGCAGGAGGAGUGGCCUGACGCUGUGCCAGACUUGAAGCAGGAGGUGUGGCCACUAGUAGAAAAAGGGUCAAAUGUGAAGCACAUUAGUGCCGGUUUGUGAAAAAACCGGCACUAAUGUGAUCAAUAGUACCGGUUCGUGGCGGCGAUCAAUAGUAUCGGUUCGUGACGAACCUUUAGUACCGGUUCAUGCCACGAACGGUACUAAAGAGGAUGUGGCAGCCUGCAGUCAGGCUAUGGCCCCACCAUCACCAUUUAGUGCCGGUUCGUACCACGAACCAGUACUAAUGAGGUUAUGGCAAGCUGUUUUUAGUCCCACCUCGCUCCCCUAACAAGGCUUUUACCACCUUAAAUAUGUUACUUCUCAAACUAUCACAAGCACUUGGUCUUCAUUGAACUCUAUGUGUAGAAUUUGUGGCUGCAAUAUGAGUCUUCACCGGUUUAUAAAUCGUUGAGGACUCAUAUUGACAAUUCAGAUUGUACACAAAAAGAUCAUUGAUGAUCAAAGUAUUUUUAAUGUAUAAGAUCAUAGUGACAAUUCAGACUGUAAAGAAAUAUAAUAUCAUAAUCUAAAUGCUCUUAUAUUUUUUGCAUUCAGUAUGCACCAUUCAAAGCGACGCCAUCAACUUUCAACCAUUUAUGCCUUCAUUUGCUAUUUUUCAUGCAUUUAAUGAUUUGUUUUGAGAACUAAAUAACCUGGAAAUUGAAAAGCACUACAAAUGAACUCUGAAAAAGUUGAAACUUGGCAUGGUAUCAUCAUUUCACCCACAUAGCAUGUCCAAAAAAGUAGAGAGGGUUAUGGCAAAAACUGGAUGCACUUCGUUUACAAACUGGACAAUCUCUUUCGAAGUAUUUGGGUUUUGACGAAAUUAAACUCAUCUGUUACAAAGGCAUUUCAUUUUUUAAACUUAUUACAACCCCAGACUUUUUGUUCAUUAGUAUGCACUAUUCAACUACUAGGCGGGAGGAGCUCUUUAGUACCGGUUCCAACUGCUAAGCGGGAGGAGCUCUUUAGUACCGGUUCGUGGCGAACCUUUAGCACCGGUUCGUGCCACGAACUGGUACUAAUAAGGUUGUGUUAGGUAAGGCUGGGGCCCCACGAGCACCUUUAUUACGGGUUCAUGGCAUGAACCAGUACUACAGUUUCUUAGAAAGCUGUUUUUUAGUCCCACCUCGCGAAGAGAGAGGGACUAGGAGCGGUUUAUAAGCCCUGAGUGCAGAGACGAUGAAGAAGAGGCUCAAUGCUCACGUUGCUUAGCUUCAAGCCUUGAGGAAUAUGGUAGACUGCAUGGAGCUAUGUGCAAUGCAGUUUACACUAUUCCGAAAGGCUUGAAACUAAUUAACGAGCAUUGCAUCUCUUUUUUAUUUUUAAUAACUUAUUACAACUCCGGACUUCUUCUGUUAUGGCAAAAACUAGAUGCACUUCGUGUACAAACUGGACAAUCUCUUUUAAAGUAUCAGGGCCGGUUUCAGACGAAAACUCUGGUUAUAACUCCAGACUUUGACCAUCAAGUUUUAACCAUCAACUUGGCAUGGUAUAUGAAAAUAAAUGAAUAGAAGAAAAUAAAUAAAGCAGAAAAGAAAAAAACUAUAGCAGAAAAUAAAAAACUAUAUAAAAAACUACUCAGAAAUAAAUAGAAGAAAAUAAAUAUAGCAGAAAAGAAAAAAACUAUUCAGAAAUAAAUAGAAGAAAAAAUAAAGCAGAAAAGAAAAAAAACUAUAUUUGCUAUUUUUCAUUCGUUUACUGAUUUUUUUAGAGAGCCAAAUGACCGUGAAAUUAAAAAUCACUACAAAAUAAACUCUGAAAAUGUUGAAUUUUGGCAAACUAGAUAAAAAACUACUCACAAAUAAAUAGAAGAAAAUAAAUAUAACAGAAAAGAAAAAACUAUACAAAAAACUACGCAGAAAUAAAUAGAAGAAAAUAAAGCAGAAAAUAAAAAAACUAUACAAAAAAAUUGGGGCGCUGCCCAAUGGGCCUGCUAGGCCACGGGCGUGCAAUUACAGGCCCUAACGGCCCAACAGGCUCACAGGGCAGCGCACAGAAGUUAGGCCCAGAAGCCUGCUAUAUAUAGGAGUUCAAAGAGGCAGCCGCGGCUGGGUUUAUAAACCAGUGAGGCUGCCCUUCGCACGGGGAGAUGGGACUAAACGUCGUGCACCGCGGGUGGCAGCGCAAGGCCUUUAGUAUCGGUUGGUGGCUCCAACCGGUACUAAAGCUCGUGCCUUUAGUACCGGUUGGAGUCACCAACCGAUACUAAAGGCCAUCGGUUCCCGUCGUUUGGCCUGGCGAAAAUAGGCCUUUAGUACCAGUUGGAGGCACCAACCGGUACUAAAGGCCCAUCCUAUAUAUAUAGCACUUACGAAAUUUUCAGUUUCAUCCCCCACUUCGUCUCUCGAACCGCGUGCGCCGCUCGAUCCCCGUCGUGUCGCCGCACGUCGCCCGUCGUCCGUCGUCGUCGUCGCUGUCCCCCGCCGCCGCCCGUCGUCGUCGUCGUCUCACGCCGCUGCCCUGAACGCCGCCGCUGUCUGUCGUCGUCGCCGCGGCGCCGCCCGAUACGUCUCUCCCCGCCCCGUACGCCGACGCCCCUGCCCCCGCCCCGUACGCCGCCGCCCCCGCCCCCGCCCCGUACGCCGGCGCCCCCGCGGCGUACUGCACAUACACACACACGUAUACAUAUACACGCAGUACACACAUAUACACACACAUACACAUACACAUUUUUUUACUAGUUGAAUAAUUUAUAUAAUUAAUAUAACUAGUUUAUUUUAGUAAGAAAAUAAUCGAACUAGUUUAUUUAGGUAUAUGAGAUUUGAACUAGUUGAAUAAUUAAUAUAACUAGUUUAUUUUUAGUAAGAAAAUAGUCGAACUAGUUUAUUUAGGUAUAUGAGAUUUGAACUAGUUGAAUAAUUAAUAUAAAGAAAAUUUAGGUAUCUGAGAUUUGAUGAUCUAAUUAAAAUAUUAUUUGUUAAUGAGUUUUUCUGUUUAUUUAAUUUUUUUUAUAUAUUUUUAGUUUAUAUAAAUGUUAGAUUAAUGUCGAAUGUUAAAUGAAUUAGAUAGAAAAGUUAAAUAUAUAGUAAUGUCAAUUGUUAGAGAUGAAUAUAGUUAGAUAUAUUAAUGUCAAAUGUUAGAUGAAUAUAUAUAUUUGAAUUAGCUAGAUAUUAAUUAAUGUUAGAUAGUAAUAAGUGUUUAAUGUUUCACUUAUAUGAACAUAGGAAAUGUCAUCUGACAACGAAGAAGAUUUCAUUAUGUGCGAACACUNNNNNNNNNNUCUCCUACAUGUUGCCUUGGUGCCUUCGGAGCACGAUGACAAGUGGUUCAUGGGGGCGGUAGCGGGUGAUAGUAUUCUCCUUUGGGAUCUAUAACCUGGUCGAGCAAAAAUCCCGCUAUUUCCUCUUGAAGUGCUCGUAUGCGCUCCUCUGAUAGGAGCUUGUCCCGCACCUAUUUGAACUGUUAAGAAGGAGAUCAAUAUGCAUGUGUAUUAGUUGUGUGACUAGAUAUCGACAAUCAUGUAAGAUUUGUGAAUAUUGUUCUGGCAAACGUACCCAGUCCUGUCUAUCAGAUCUGCUCCUUUCGGACGCCAUCAUGCGAAUGUUCUCGCAAACGUAGUAUGCACACACUUCAGUCUCCGGCGCCUGCUUCAGGGCCUUUACGACAAUAGAAUUUAAUCAGAUAAUAAUUAAUCAAGUAUGUUAAUUAAUUAAUUGUAUUGAAACAAGAAUUAAAGAGAUGGUAGUUAGCUAGCUAGUACUACUUAAUUACUUACCUUGGGUCGAUAUCAACAUAGCUUUUGUCGCCAUUUUCCUGGAGUCACCUUGAUGUACUUUGCCCAAGCCCUGCCCGCCGGCAAAGAAAAUUAAUAAAGGGGUUAUUAAAAAUAGUUCAUAUCAGGAAAUGACGAACUAAAUAGGCUGAGAUAUAGUUAAUAAUGAUUGAAAUAACCUGUCGACUAUCCCCUUCACGAUGCUGUAGUCACUAUUUUUUUAAGUAGUGAGUCCAGUACUUCAACUUUUCCUUCGUCAACUUUAAUGUCUAAUAAGAUCCAGUGGAAGCUGCAUGCGCAUACGUUUGCAUGUAUAAAUUAAACGGGCAUGUGCAUAACACUAAUCAACUAUAACCCUAAACCCUAUACACUUAUUAACAUCUAGCUAGUAAGCAAAAACAGAAUUUGUAGUACAAGACAGUGUGACUCACUCGAAGUUGUAAGGAAGUAGUAUAUCUUCAUUGCUAUUGAGGCGCUUCAAGAACUCUAGCAUGCAUUUCUCUACAUCUUGUCUACACCUUUCCAAUUUUCAUGUGUAUUCAUUAACGGUAUUUGGGUCAAUGAACCCAAUGCCAUAGCGUCCAGCUUUUUUCAUUUCAUACAUCUUCAUCCUGCAUAAUACCACAGAAAAGAAUAUAUAGUGAGGAUAUAUAAUUACAGGUAAUUAAUGAUCAAUCAAUGAGCACUAGAGCUAGCUUGAGACUUAAAUUACAGAAAGAAAUCACUUACAGACAAUAGCAACUGACGAUAGAUUUGUCGAGUGCAUCUUGAUUGAAUAACUGAAAUAGUUUUGAAUACUCAAUGGCCAGAACUUUCUUAUGGAAGUAAUGAUCUUCCUCGACUUGCACCAUGAGGGACUCUCGAUUGGAAAUCUUGGUAAUUUUCAUGUACCAAUCAUGCAAUUCAUACAUUCUCGUUGGGAGGUUCUUGACCUCCUCGGGCUCGACCAAAGGUUGGCCCCGGACAUAUUUCCGUUUUAUUUCCUCCUCUCUAAGCGGAGGCAUGGGCUCGAUCUCGAGGAGUUGUCCAACAGUGAUCUUGAGCAUUUCAGCCUGCAUUAUAUGCUCCUCGGUUAUUACCACAUCGCCCAGCUCGGGAACGUAAACGGUUUGCCCACAAUAAUAUUGGGCGCGCGUACUCUCAUGUGUUGUUGGCACAACAAGCGAGGGGGGGGGGGUGGUCGAUUGCGCCGCCUGUUCUCCCAGCUGGGGAACGGUUUUCCCGCAUUUUUUGACAGCUGCUUGUUGGCUCGAGCUCGAGCUUGCUUCUUUCUGUAGUCGUGCUCGAUGUGCCUUCUUGAUUUGGCGCUCAUAGUCUGAGUCAACAGGCUUGGGAGCUGGUGGUCUAGCCAUACGAAUGAAGUGGUCAAUCUUUUCCUCAGGCACUUUCUCCCUCGGCGGCGUUGCCGGUUUCGGUCGAAAAUGAGCGUCCACUUGGGCCCACACUAUUGCAUCGUUUUGCUCCUCGGUCAUGUCGUAAGGCCUCUGAGGAAGAGGAGCGAGGCUGCUUGGACCAUAUUUAUAUCGCUUGUCUCCGCCUGUACUUUCUGUACUACCUCGACUCGUACCGCUACGCACCAUAGCUGCGGCGUGUCUCUUCUGCGAUUGCUUAGGCGGCGGAGACGGCUGACGUGGCUUAGUUGGAGCAGGAGGAGUGGCCCGACGCUGUGCCGGACUUGAAGCAGGAGGUGUGGCCUGACACGGUGUCGGACUUGAAGCAGGAGGUGUGGCCUGACGCCGUGCCGGACUUGAAGCAGGAGGUGUGGCCUGACACGGUGGCGGACUUGGAGGAGCGGGAGUCUGCUGACACGGUGGCGGACUUCGAGGAGGAGUCGGCAGACGCGGUGUCGGUGGACUUCGAAAGAUGAUGCAAUCCUUUUUCCAUAGGAUGAAACGAUGUAUGGCCUCUCCCAGUGUUUGCUCGUCGUCACCUCCAGGAAUGUCAAGCUCUAGCCCCGAAUAUGGGCCCACCACCUCAUCAACCAAGACACGAGCAUAGCCCUCUGGAAUCGGGGCACAAUGGAAGGUUGCUCCGGGGGUAAUUGUAAAAGCAACGGCGUUCGCCACCUUCAUGGAUAUGUUCUUCAUUUUGUAGUGUAGCUCACAGUUAGUGUUCUCUAUGAUGUCAUCCACAGGGUAUGUAUCCAGCAGUGCGUCGCCCGGGGCGGAACCAACGCUGCUUCUCGGCAUGGAUGGGACGGCGCUAUCCAAUGCUGGAUGAUCAUCCGCUUGCUGCUGCCGCUGCUGAGACCCCCUUUCCUGGCUAAGUGAGUCGAUCUGCUGCUGUUGCUGCUGCUGGAAUUUGAGUGCCAAGUCCGCGUGCCUUGCUUCUAGGCCUUGAAGGCGUUCCGCGUCCUGCUUCCUCUGCUCCUCCUCCAGCUUCCUCUUCUUCUCCUCCUCCAUCUUCUUUCUUGCACGGGUCCUGUAGUCGUCGUUCCAUUCCGAAAAGCCCUCAUACCAGGGAAUAACGCCCUUGCCUCGCGUUCUUCCCGGGUGUUCAGGAUUUCCCAGGGCACGCGUAAGCUCGUCGUUCUCUCUGUUGGGCGUGAACACCCCCUUUCGAGCAUCUUCUAUUGCGUCAAGUAACUUUUCUUCUGCUCCGUUUAGACUUGCCUUCUUCGAAACCAGGCCUGUCUUCGGGUCCAACGCCCCCCCAUGCGCAUAGAACCAAGUUCUGCACCUGGGGGGCCAGCUCCUAGUAACCGGAGUGACCCCUGCAUCCUCCAUCUCUUGCUCAGACUUAUCCCACUUAGGCAUUGCCACCGCGUAGCCACCUGGACCCAGCCUAUGGAACUGCGUCUUUUUUGCGGCAUUGGCCUUGUUUUUUCUCGACGUUCCUUAGAUAAUUCUGAUUCCUUGAAUUUCACGAAAGCGGGCCAGUGUUCUCUUUGCUUCUCCAGUGUUCCCUUGAAUUCUGGAGUCUUCCUUUCUGCAGUGAGGUAGUUGGCCCAUACAGUUUUCUUGUGGGUGUUGAAUGCAAUUGCCAUCUUCUUAAGAGCAGCGUCCUUGACUUUCUGCACAUCUGCAUCAGUGAAAUAAUCUGAUAGGGUGAAAUGUUCCAUCAGAGAUUUCCAAAGCUUUUGUUUUGCUCUGUCGUCGACCCAAGUAAUAUCUGGGCGUUUAGUUUUUGGCUCUUUCCAUUCUUGAAUGGAGAUCGGGAUUUGGUCCUUCACAAGAACUCCGCACUGACGAACGAACUUGCUCGCAAUGUUCUUAGGCGUGAGGGGUUCGCCACUAGCUUUGAUGGAAUCGAUGUUGUACUUUACACCCUCCUUCAACUUUUUGCUCGGGCCGCGCUUUGUCCUGCUGUCUGUAGAAGCAGAUUUGCUCGAUCCGGAGGGCUGAAAGAAGAAAGAUCGAUUCGUUAAUAUAUCUUCAAAUAAAAAAACAUGUGAUGAUCACUAGAUGACUGCUUAUAUAAAUAUACCUCGCCGGUAGUCUUUGUUAUUUCAAGAUCAACAUUGUAUUCGUCAUCAUAAUCAUUGUCUGCGUCAUCAUAAUCAUAAUCAUAGUUCAUGACUUCAUCAGCUCGGUCGUCGAGAUUGAAUAUCUUAUCAUCACCCUCCCCGGUAUUGUUCAGAUAUUGGGAGCCGUCAUUUGCUUCAUUUAGAUCAUCUGGCCUGCUAGGGCUGCGUAUGAUCUCGAACAGGGCCUCUUCUCCCUCUCUGCCGGUAUUGUCCGCCAUAGCUUUUAUUUAACUAAUACAAAAGAAAUAUAAAACAAUUAAGUAUUCAAAUUACAAUGCAUGGAUGCAAUCAAUAAGGAAAAACUGAAUCAUAUAGUACAUAAUAUGCAUCGUCUCGAAUAAUAUAUAAUCUCGAAUACAUCGUCUCGAAUAAUAUAUAAUCUCAAAUACAUCACUGGCUAGGUAGCUAAUAAAGAUCGAAUACUAUAGAAGAAUCUAGGCCACUCGCGGUUCCUGGGGCGCGGGCGGUGGACACCCAAAGACAAGGAACCAUCACAGAAUCAUAUCUCUGGUCAUCUGCCCAAAGAACCUGCCAGGUAUUGGAGAACCUGACGUCCAUAGCAGCCAUGUAGCGAUGGACGUGCUCGUCCUCCUCCCUGACACGACGACGCACCACCUCUGGCGGGGCCGGCUCCCUCUGCACCGAAUGUGGCCCACGCGAACGCCACUAAAGGAGAUCAGGGUCGACAACGGGACCCGAGGCUGGGUCCCUCACCAAGCGGCGCGCCCCUCCAGGUAGCACCUCCCAAUGCCAGCCCGGCGGAGCCCAAUCCCGGACAUGGGUCAGCCGGACGUCGUCGCGAACGGGUCGACGGCGAGGAUGCAGGCCGGGCAUCGUCGAGAACAAAUACUAUAUGCCCGCAAAAAGUAACAUUUUUUAAAAGAUUGGAUUGUGAUAACUAAAAUUCUAUAUGCAAAUUCUAACAAUUUGACAUUAAUCUAAUUCAUCUAACUAAAACUAAUUCUAAAAUUUCUAACAUUUCUAUAUAUAUAACUAACAUUUCUAUAACAUUUCUAAUAUUUCUAUAACUAAAAAACAGAAAAAUUGCUACGAUGACGCGGAUGGCGACGAGGGGGGCAGCGACGGGGGCGGCGACGACGGGGACGGGGACGGCCGGGGCGGCGACAACGGNNNNNNNNNNNNNNNNNNNNNNNNNNNNNNNNNNNNNNNNNNNNNNNNNNNNNNNNNNNNNNNNNNNNNNNNNNNNNNNNNNNNNNNNNNNNNNNNNNNNNNNNNNNNNNNNNNNNNNNNNNNNNNNNNNNNNNNNNNNNNNNNNNNNNNNNNNNNNNNNNNNNNNNNNNNNNNNNNNNNNNNNNNNNNNNNNNNNNNNNNNNNNNNNNNNNNNNNNNNNNNNNNNNNNNNNNNNNNNNNNNNNNNNNNNNNNNNNNNNNNNNNNNNNNNNNNNNNNNNNNNNNNNNNNNNNNNNNNNNNNNNNNNNNNNNNNNNNNNNNNNNNNNNNNNNNNNNNNNNNNNNNNNNNNNNNNNNNNNNNNNNNNNNNNNNNNNNNNNNNNNNNNNNNNNNNNNNNNNNNNNNNNNNNNNNNNNNNNNNNNNNNNNNNNNNNNNNNNNNNNNNNNNNNNNNNNNNNNNNNNNNNNNNNNNNNNNNNNNNNNNNNNNNNNNNNNNNNNNNNNNNNNNNNNNNNNNNNNNNNNNNNNNNNNNCGGGGGCGGCGGGCGACGGGGCAGAGGAGAAGAAGCAGAUGAAAACUGACGAAAUUUCUAAGUGCUGCUUAUAUAGGAUGGGCCUUUAGUACCGGUUGGAGCCACCAACCGGGACUAAAGGUCAAAUUUGGCCAGCCCAAGCGGCGGGAAGCGCACCCCUUUAGUACCGGGUGGUGGCACCAACCGGUACUAAAGACCCCCCUUUAGUACCGGUUGGAGCCACCACCCGGUACUAAAGGGUGUGCGCUGCUAGGCGAGGGGCGCAGAAGUUUAGUCCCACCUCGCUAGUUGAGGAGCGCCAGGACCAGUUUAUAAGCCCCGAUGCGGGCACUGCAUUGAGCUCCUCUCAAUAGUAGGCCUUCUGGGCCUACCUCUCCUACUCUGCCUGUGGGCCUACUGGGCUUGCGGGCCUGCAUCCUGGCCCAACUACAGGUUGGGUUUCUAGUCGUAUGCAGGCCGCUCUGGCCGAGUAGGUGGGCUUUUUUAUUUUCUUUUUUUUUUACUUUAUUUAUUUUUGAGUUGUUUUUUGCUGUAUUUAGAGUUUCUUUGGGAAUAUUUUUGCUUUAGGUACAAAAAAUUACAAAGUUUCUGUUAAUGCCGGUAGUUUACAAAUUUGAAUAGUUUAUAUUUUGAAUUAUUUGAAAUUUGUGUGAAUCACUAGUUUGUGAAUAACUUAACUUUGAAAAUAGAUUUUCAGUGAUUCUUUUAUCUUAUGUUUAAUAUUAGUGUGUUUUAUCAUUAUAUUCAAUUUGGUAAUGCUUAGGUUAUUUAAAAAAUGAAAUCCCUUUGUAACGGAUGAGUUUUUGUCCGAAACCCUGAUACUUCGAAAGAGAUUGUCCAUUUUAUACACGAAGUGCAUCCAGUUUUUGCGGUAACCCUCUCUAUUUUUUUGCACAUGCUAUAUGGGUGAAAUUAUGAUACCAUGCCAACUUUCAACCUUUUCUGAGUUCAUUUGAAAUGCUUUUCAAUUUCAGGGUCAUUUAGCUGAAAAAAUCAGUAAAUGCAUGAAAGAAUUUGUUUGCACAUAAAAUUUCUUCGCGUUUCAAAUGUCAAAACACAUAACUACCCUAACUAUUACAGAGAUUCCUUCCUGGGUGUGAAACACAGAAGAAAUUGAUGAUAGUGAAGCCGAUCACAUCCCAGAUCUUUGGGUGUGUAACUUUUUCUUCGCAUAUGUCCCUUUGCGCCGUAGCCAUGGAAAAUCUUCAUCAUUUAACUGGAUGCUCGGGUCAAUAUUCACUGUGAAUGGAGCAAUUUCAUCAAUCUUUUCAUAAUCUUCUGACAUGUCUGUCUUGUCAUCCACUCCCACGAUGUUUCUCUUCCCAGAAAGAACUAUGUGGCGCUUUGGCUCAUCGUAUGAUGUAGUCGCUUCCUUGUCUUUUCUUUUUCUCGGCUUGGUACACAUAUCCUUCACAUAGAAAACGUGUGCCACAUCAUUAGCUAGGACGAAUGGUUCAUCUGCAUACGCAAGAUUGUUGAGAUCUACUGUUGUCAUUCCAUACUGCGGGUCUUCCGUUACCCCAUAUCGUGUCAUAUUGACCCAUUUGCACCGAAACAAAGGGACCUUCAAAUCACGUCCAUAGUCAAGUUCCCAUAUCUCCUCUAUGUAACCAUAAUAUGUUUCCUUUCCCGUCUUGGUUGUUGCAUCAAAGCAGACACCACUGUUUUGGUUGGUGCUCUUCUUAUCUUGGGCGAUCGUGUAAAAUGUAUUACCAUUUAUCUCGUACCCUUUGAAAGUCAUUAUAUUCGUAGAUGGUAACUAGGACAGCGAGUACACAUCAUCUUCAAUAGAGGCGUCAUGCAUGGUACGUGUCUGCAACCAGCCGGCGAAACUCCUGGUUUGUUCACGUGUAAUCCAGUCAUCAGACCGCUCCGGGUGUUUGGAGCGUAGAAAAUUCUUGUGUUCGUCCAUAUACGGAGCCACCAAGGCGGAAUUCUGUAUAACUGUGUAGUGUGCUUCAGUGAGAGAAUGUCCGUCCAUACAUAUUUUUUGAUUCCCUCCUAGCGUGCCUUUUCCAUCUAGUCUGCCCUUAUGCCGCGAUUCAGGAACACCAAUCGGCUUAAGGUCAGGAAUAAAGUCAAUACAAAACUCAAUGACCUCCUAAUUUUCAUGGCCCUUGGAGAUGCUUCCUUCUGGCCUAGCACGGUUAUGAACAUAUUUCUUUAAGACUCCCAUGAACCUCUCAAAGGGGAACAUAUUGUGUAGAAAUACAGGACCCAAAACACUAAUCUCUUCGCAUAGGUGAACUAGGACGUGCGUCAUGAUGUUGAAGAAGGAUGGUGGGAACACCAACUCAAAACUGACAAGACUAAUCGAACGUUGAGGAAUGCACGCAUAGCUUCACAAUGGCUAAUCGAACGUUAUCCGGUAGAAGCCCCCUCAAUGCAACCGGAAGCAGUUGCGUCAUAAUCACGUGGCAGUCAUGAGACUUUAGGUUCUGGAACUUUUUCUCUGCCAUGUUUAUUAUUCCCUUUAUAUUCGACGAGAAGCCAGACGGUACCUUAAUACUGAGCAGACAUUCAAAGAAGAUUUCCUUCUCUUCUUUGGUAAGAGCGUAGCUGGCAUGACCCUGAUGUAUGCCGUCUUUUCCAUGCAUACGUUGCUAGUCCUCCCGUGCCUCAGGUGUAUCUUUUGUCUUCCCAUACACGCCCAAGAAGCCAAGCAGGGUCACGCAAAGAUUCUUCGUCACGUGCAUCACGUCGAUUGCAGAGCGGACCUCUAGAUCUUUCCAAUAGGGCAGGUCCCAAAAUAUAGAUUUCUUCUUCCACAUGGGUGCGCGUCCGUCAGCAUCAUUCGGAACAGGUUGUCCGCCAGGACCCUUUCCAAAGACUACCUUCAAAUCCUUGACCAUAUCAUGUACAUCAGCACCAGUACGGUGGCGAGGCUUCGUCCGGUGAUCCGCCUCACCUUUGAAAUGCUUGCCUUUCUUUCUUACGGGAUGCCUGCUCGGAAGAAAUCGACGAUGUCCUAGGUACACAUUCUUCCUACAAUUGUCCAAAUAUAUACUGUCGGUAUCAUCCAAACAGUGCGUGCAUGCGCGGUAUUCCUUGUUUGUCUGUCCUGAAAGGUUACUGAGAGCAGGCCAAUCAUUGAUGGUCACGAACAGCAAGGCCUUUAGGUCAAAUUCUUCCCCCAAGUGCUCAUUCCACGCACGUACACCUGUUCCAUUCCACAGCUGUAAGAGUUCUUCAACUAAUGGCCUUAGGUACACAUCAAUGUCGUUGCCGGGUUGCUUAGGGCCUUGGAUGAGGACUGGCAUCAUAAUGAACUUCCACUUCAUGCACAACCAAGGAGGAAGGUUAUACAAACAUAGAGUCACAGGCCAGGUGCUAUGGUUGCUGCUCUGCUCCCCAAAAGGAUUAAUGCCAUCUGCGCUUAGACCAAACCAUACGUUCCUUGCGUCAUCUGCAAACUCCUUCCCGUACUUUCUCUCAAUUUUUCUCCACUGCGACCCGUCAGCGGGUACUCUCAACUUUCCGUCUUUCUUACGGUCUUCUCUGUGCCAUCGCAUCGCCUUGGCAUGCUCUUUGUUUUGGAACAAACGUUUCAACCGUGGUAUUAUAGGAGCAUACCACAUCACCUUGGCAGGAAUCUUCUUCCUGGGGCACUCGCCCUCGACAUCACCAGGGUCAUCGCGCCUGAUCUUAUAGCGCAAUGCACCGCAUACCGGGCAAGCGUUCAAAUCCUCGUACUCACCGCGGUAGAGGAUGCAGUCAUUAGGGCAUGCAUGUAUCUUCUGCACCUCUAACCCUAGAGGGCAGACAGCCUUCUUUGCUUCGUACGUACUCUCGGGCAAUUCGUUGUCCUUUGGAAGCAUAUUCUUUAUCAUUACCAGCAACUUUCCAAAUCCCUUGUCAGAUACACCAUUCUCUGCCUUCCAUUGCAGCAAUUCCAGUGUGGUGCCCAACUUUUUCUUGUCAGCUUCGCAAUUCGGGUACAACAAUUUCUUGUGAUCCUCUAACAUGCGCUGCAACUUCUUCUCCAAAUCACUUGCGCAGUUUCUCUUUGCAUCGGCAAUGGCCCGACCUAGAUCAUCAGCGGGCUCAUCUGAUGCCUCUUCUUCAGCUUCUUCCCGCAUUGCCGGCUCAGCUUCUUCCCUCAUUGUUGUAUCAUCGUAUUCAGGGAACCCAUGGCCAGGAUAGUUGUCGUCGUCCUCUUCUUCUUCAUUGUCUUCCAUCAUAACCCCUCUUUCUCCGUGCUUGGUCCAAACAUUAUAGUGGGGCAUGAAACCAGGACUUAAACAGGUGGACGUGAAUGGUUCUUGACGUAGAGUAAUUGUGAUCAUUCUUACAGACUAAACAUGGACAAGGCAUAAAACCAUCCGCCCGCUUGUUUGCCUCAGCCGCAAGCAGAAAAGUUUGCACGCCAUUAAUGAACUCGGGAGAGCAUCGGUCAUCGUUCAUCCAUUGUCGGCUCAUCUUCAUUACACAACACCGAAUAGACCAAAUUAAUACAAGUUCAUACAUAAAGUUCAUACAAGCCUUAAAUGCAACAAACAAAUAACUCUCUAACUAAAAAAUUUAAAUGCAACAACAAAUGCGAUCAAGAUCGCAACUAAGGUGACAAUUGAUCCAACAACAUAAUGAUACCAAGCCUCACUAUCAAUGGCAUAUUUUCUAAUCUUUCUAAUCUUCAAACGCAUUUUCUCCAUCUUGAUCUUGUGAUCAUCGACGACAUCGGCAACAUGCAACUCCAAUUCCAUCUUCUCCCCCUCAAUUCUUUUCAAUUUUUCUUUCAAAUACUCGUUUUCUCUUUCAACUAAAUUUAACCUCUCGACAAUAGGGUCGGUUGGAAUUUCCGGUUCACAAACCUCCUAGACAAAAAUAUCUAUGUCAACUUGAUGGGCAUAAUUUGUCAUAAACACGAAAUGCAACAACUAGUUUUAAAAGAGAAUAUACCACAUCCGAAUCAUAAUAAGGAUGAGGGCCGACGGGGACGGAUAUCAAAACCAUGGCACUAUGUAUAACAAACAAUGUACGGGUAAGAUAAUUAUACGAGUAACUAUAUAUCCAAAUCACACAAACAUCAAUUUGGUAAUGUAAAACAUUCAUGAACAAGAGGCUCACCACAAGGUGGUGCCGGCGACGGAACGGUGUGGGCGAUCGACUGUGGUUACGAUAGAGAUUUAGAAGGCACUAAGUAAACCACACCUACAUAUGCAAACUAAGUGUUAGUUUUGACCACAAAUUGCAUAUAAGUCAAAUACUAGCACAUAUAUUUUCUACCAAAUUACUAAACUCAUAAAUUAAUCACUAUACAAAGCAUUGCAAGAGCUAAUCUAGCAAUGAGAGAUGAAAGGACAAAGUUGCUAACCUUUGUGGUCAUUUGAAUGGAUGGGGGCCUUCAAAUCUUGACAAAUUUUGGGCAAAAUGUGUGAUGAGCUCGAGAGGAAGAGGGGAAGAACAUAGAGGAGAGGGGAAAGGGGAAGAACAGAGCGAGCUCGGGUGGACGAAAGGCUUAUGUACGACGACCUUUAGCAUCGGUUCGUGCCACGAACCGGUACUAAAGGUGCUGGAGGGGCCCCGGACUGACAACAUCCUUCCACCUCUCACUUUAGUACCGGUCCGUAGCACGAACCGGUGCUAAAGGUCGGCCACGAACCAGUACUAAUGAAAGCAGCUGGCUAGCCGUUGGAACCGGCACUAAUGCACACAUUAGUGCCGGCUCAAAAGCAAACCGGCACUAAUGUGCUUGACAUUUGACCCUUUUCUACUAGUGAUUCAAGUAAAUAGAUGCCUAAUGCAUGUUGAAAUAAAAGUUUGCUUUACAUUCUGUUUGCACAAUUGUGUUUUUUACAAAGUCUUUAAAACAAGACCAAUAUUGAAUAUAUUUUUAGAAAUUAAUUUUUGACAACUAAAUCACCAUGCUUCGAACUUGUUCCAUACAUAUUUAUUAAUUCCAUGUGAAAAUUUUAAUAAUGUACAUUUCACAAAUUAUUAUCUUAUUGUUUCACUAUGGCUCCCCAUGUUCCGUUGCAUUUCAUAAUGAUACAUUGUGUGCCAAUGUGUAUCAAACUGAUUCUUAGUAAUCUAAAAGUUUGUAAAUAUUAAUAUAUUUUAUUGCAACAAAACUUUGGCCUUAUCUAGUGUUUAACAAAACAUGGCAUAGUUAUGUGUACUCUUAUAGUGUUUCACUAUGUUUCAGAAUUUAAAUUUUAAAAAUUAUUGAAAUAUAUUCAAAAGUGGUCUCUUUUCAAAGGUCUCGUUGUCAAAAACACAAAUAUGAAACCGGAUCAUAAAUUGUACUUUUGGUUCAUAAGACCAAUUAGAUUUGAACUUGGAAAUAAAAUGAAAAAGUAUGAAAUGGUGGAACGUAGGUGGAACAGUGUACUUGCAUGUGAUGAAAGAAAUAACUAACUAACUGCCAGCGGUAUAAAUGCAUGGCAUCGGAUCUCCAAACAAACCAACGGCGCAUGCAUGCACGGUACCUCCCGUGCAUGGGAGAUUAGCUUUUCUCUAUUUUGGGGGAUACUGUGCCAGUUCAGACUUGGCGUUUGGCAGCGUGGCCUGUUCAUGUGUUUGAUUGGGCGUAGUAGUGUGUGGGUACUUCAGUUAGAUGGUAUGCAGCGGAUCGAGUCUAUCGACCGUGUGGCGAUGCCUGUAGAUUGUAGCACUAAAAUAUGAUGCUCAUUCAUAAACUAAUUUAGAUAAAGCCGCAAAAAAAAUGUGCUAGUUUUUUUUUGUGCUCACAUACUCUGUUUUGUCUCAGUUUUAGUCCAGGGCAACUUUGAAGCUUAUCUUAGGGUGGUAGCCAGAAAAAUGUGUUAAAGACCUUAUUAAGAAGUGAAGAAGAAUAGGCGUCUCCAGUUUUUGUUUCUCCAACUCUAUGCCUACACUGUAAUAUUAUUGAUGGAUUAGCUCCAGUUGAUGCAACUGUACUCUUUCUGGUAGGUCUGAGAUGCGAGUGAGCCAGAUCGAUCCUGAGCUAGCUACUUGUCUCCCUUAAGUCUUACAGCAAGACAAAUGCACUGGACUACAAAGAGGAAAUUCCUGCAGGUUCGUAAUGCAUCUGUUUUGGUUCUGGCAUUUGUCAGAUGUGUAUAGUCCCUUUUCGGUUCUUUCCCGUUGUAUAAGGGGUUUCCUGCAUUUCACCACACAUGUAUAUGUAAUGGCCUUUGACCCUCAGUGAAUACUAGUUGCUGUUUAUCCAACAUGGUAUCAGAUGUUAGGUUCCUCUCUCUCCUGCACGCUGCAACUCCGUGCUAGCUCGCCUCCCCUGAUUCGCUUCGUCCCCUUGCCAUCCGGCUGAUGCUGCUCUCUGGCCGAUUCCGGCUGCCCCCGACCUGAGCUCCGCCCGGUCCUCCUCGUCGUGGAUCCGCCGGGGCCUGCUCGAUCCGGCCUCCCCGGCCUAUCCACGGCCAGGCUCGGCCACCCCUCGCCGCGGAUCCAACCGGGACCUGCUCGUCCCGUGCUCGGCCGUAGCCCUCCUUGCCGCUCGGCCACCCCGCGGAUCCGCCUAUGCCCGACCGGGGCCCUCCUCGCCGUGGAUCCGGUCUCUCCGGCCCGUCCAAUGCCAGGCUCGGCCCGGCCGCCGCCGCCUCCUGCCGGCCGGCCGCCGUCGCCCCUUUCUCCGCCUCGCCUUGGAUCCGGCCGGGGUCUGCUCGUCCCGUGCUCGUCGGGUCCUUGCUUGGCCGCUCGUCUGCCUGGCCGCUCGUCCCGUGCUCCUGCACUCGGGUUCGGCCCUCUGUGGUCAAUGUGUGUUGCCUAUAGUUGACCCUGUGUAAAAAAACCCAAUGAGCUCGUCAUGUCUCCGUCAGGCUAUGUGGCUGUUCCUCGGUGCUCGGUGAUCUUCGAUGGCACCAACUAUGCUGAGUUUGUGGGUUUCAUGCGCAUUCACAUGCGUGGUCUUCUCCUGUGGGGCGUUCUCUCUGGCGAGGUUCCAUGUCCGCCUUGCCCUGUUGCUCCUGUGGCUCCUAUCCCGCCGGUGCCGCCUGUUCUUGCUGUUGAUGCUUCUCAGGCUGAUCGGGAUACAGCCAAGGCCCUUGACGAUGCCGCGGUUGAUGCUUAUGAUCAGCAGGUAUCCGCCUACUCAGAUGCUCUUUCUGCUUACCGAAACGAUUUGUCUGCUUACACUCAGUGGUGCAACGAUGAUGCUCGAGCUACUGCUGUUCUCACUUCGAGUGUCUUACCUCAGUUUGCAUCUGAGUUCAUGGGUCUCAGUAUUGUUGCUGCGAUGUGGUCCUAUCUUUGUCAGUGAUAUCAGCCCUCUGGUGAUGCUCUCUACUUAUCUGUGGUGCAUCAGGAGCACGCUCUUCACCAGGGUGACCCUUCUGUUGAUGAGUUCUACUCACAGAGCUCUGCCAUCUGGCGCCAGAUUGACUCUCUCAGGAUAGUUGUUUGUGGUUCUUGCCGUUGUUGCCAGACUGUACGGUCAGACUUGGAGUUUCAUCGUCUCCAUGAGUUCUUAUCUCACCUUCAUCCAGAGUUUGAGCCUCGGCGUGCUCACCUGCUUGCUCGUGGUCGUGUUCCUAUUUUGGAGGUGCUUGUAGAGCUUCCUGCCGAGGAGACACGCCUCCGUUCUGCUGGUCUGCUUGUGGUUCCCACUGUGCUUGCUGCCCGAGCUCCUGUGUCGUCUGCUCGCCUCACCACUCGACCACUCCUGCCCACACCUCCAGGGGGUGGUUCACCCUCCUUCAGGCGAGGGUCGAUCGCGCUCGCACACCUUCCGUGGCUACUGCAACAGGCCAGGUCACCCAAAGUCUGAUUGUCACAAGAAGCGGAAAGACCUGAAGCGCUCUUCUUCUAGUGGGACUCGUGCGUCUUCCUCGACUUCGUCGCUCAUUGACCAGGAUAUUGUGCGGCUCAAGCGCAUGUUGGCUUCCUCUGGUUCUUCCUCGACGGGUUCUGUUGCCGCUGUGACUACCACUACCACUCCGCCGCCGUCGGAGCCUACUCAGUGAGGUACAUCCUCGUGGGUUCUGGAUUCUGGAGCUUCUUUCCAUAUGUCUUUUGACUCUUCUGCUUUAUCUUCUCUUCGACCUCUUGAUUUUCCUCUUAAUGUUCUCACUGCCGAUGGCACACCCCUUCCUGUUACUAGUCGUGGCAUUCUUUCCACUCCGUCUUUUUCGGUUCCUAGUGUUUCUCAUGUUCCUCGUCUUACCAUGAAUCUUUUUUCCGCUGCCCAACUUACUGAUUCUGGUUGUCGUGUCAUUCUUGAUGCCGACUCUUGUUCUGUUCAGGAUCGUCGCACUCAGGCUCUGGUUGGCGCUGGCCCUCGGCGCGGUGAGUCUAAGGGACUUUGGGAGGUUGACUGGCUUCGUGUUCCUUCCGCUGCUACCACAUACACCAGCUCUCAUGCUCUUGUUGCCUCCUCUUCUGCGUCCUUCCAGCAGUGGCAUCAUCGACUUGGUCACAUCUGUGGCUCUCGCUUGUCCUCCUUAGUUCACCAAGGCGUCUUAGGGUCUGUCUCUGGUGAUGUUUCGUUGCAUUGUGAUGGUUGUAGGCUUGGAAAACAGACUCAGUCACCUUAUCCUACCAGUGAGUCUAUAUCUCAGCGUCCUUUUGACUUAGUUCAUUUUGAUGUAUGGGGUCCUGCUCCUUUUGACUCGAAAGGGGGUCAUCGCUAUUAUGUUUUGUUUAUUGAUGAUUUCUCUCUCUACACUUGGCUUUAUUGUAUGAAAUCUCGCAGCGAGGUUCUCCCCAUAUACAAGCGUUUUGCUGCCAUGGUUCGCACUCAAUUUUCCACGCCUGUCCGUAUCUUCCGUGCUGACUCAGCUGGAGAGUAUAUCUCUCACAUGUUGCGUGGUUUUCUUGCGGAGCAGAGUACUCUUGCCCAAUUCUCUUGCACUGGUGCACAUCCUCAGAAUGGCGUUGCUGAACACAAACAUCGCCAUUUGCUUGAGACGGCUCGGGCGAUGAUGAUCGCCGCCUCUCUUCCACCCCAUUUUUGGGCUGAGGCCGUUUCAGUAUCCACCAGCUCGUCAACAUUCAGCCAUCGGCUGCCUUGAAGGGUGGUAUUCCUAUGGAGCGUCUCUUUGGUCCUGACUACUCUGCUCUUCGCAUGUUUGGAUGCAUGUGCUAUGUUCUCCUUGCUCCGCGAGAACGAACCAAGUUGACUGCUCAGUCAGUUGAGUGUGUUUUCCUUAGCUAGAGUGAUGAGCACAAGGGCUAUCGCUGUUGGGAUCCUGUUGGUCACCGACUGCGCAUUUCGCGUGAUGUGACUUUUGAUGAGUCUCGUUCUUACUAUCCGCAUCCCUCCUCCUCGAGCUUUUCCGUGGAAGAUAUUUCCUUUCUUCUCCUUCCCGACACAUCUCCCUCUGUGUCUCCUGUUAUUCCCUCUCCCCCGAUGAGUCUCCCUACACCAUCGGUACCAUCAUCCCCUCCCUCCUCCUCCUGUCCCUCGUCAUCUCCCUCCCCACCCUCCUCCCCAGUCUUUCGCCCUCACUCCCCUUCUCCUCUCCACUACACUCGUCAUCCUCAUGCUGUGGAUGAUCCUACUGAUGUGCCCUCUACUUCCGGUGCACCUCCUCUCACGCCUACACCGGUCCAUAACCUUUGCGUUAGGCCUUGUCCCCCACCUGAUCGCUAUUCUCCUGACCAGUAUGGUCUUUCUGCCAUUGCUGAGCCCACCACCUAUCGAGCUGCCAUGACUCGGCCUGAAUGGCAGCUUGCCAUGGCCGAGGAGCUUGCGGCGCUUGAGCGCAAUGGCGCGUGGGAUCUGGUUUCUCCUCCUUCUGGUGUUUGUCCCAUCACGUGCAAGUGGGUCUAUAAGAUUAAGACUCGCUCUGAUGGUUCUCUUGAGCGUUACAAAGCUCGUCUUGUGGCUCGUGGCUUUCAGCAGGAACAGGGGCGUGAUUAUGACGAGACUUUUGCUCAUGUGGCCCAUAUGACCACUGUCCGCACUCUACUUGCUGUGGCUUCUGUUCGUCAUUGGCCUGUGUCUCAGCUUGACGUUCAGAACACCUUUCUCAAUGGCGAGUUGCGUGAGGAGGUUUAUAUGCAGCUACCACCGGGGUACUAUGCUCCUGAUGGUAUGGUCUGUAGACUUCGCCGCUCCCUCUAUGUGUAGGAUCGGAAGUAUGUCUAGAGGGGGGGGGGGUGAUUAGACUACUUGACCAAAUAAAAAUCUAGCCUUUUCCCAAUUUUAGUUCUUGGCAGAUUUUAGCAACUUAGCACAAGUCAAACAAUCAACCUACACAUGCAAUUCUAAGAGUAUAGCAGCGGAAAGGUAAAGCAAUUGCAUAUGAAGGUAAAGGGAUGAGUUUGAGGGAGCAAACGCAAUGUUGACAUAGAGAUUUUUUAUCCGUGGUUCCGAUAGGUGGUGCUAUCGUACAUCCACGUUGAUGGAGACUUCAACCCACGAAGGGUAACGGUUGCGCGAGUCCACGGAGGGCUUCACCCACGAAGGGUCCACGAAGAAGCAACCUUGUCUAUCCCACCAUGGCCGUCGCCCAUGAAGGACUUGCCUCACUAGGGUAGAUCUUCACGAAGUAGGCGAUCUCCUUGCCCUUACAAACUCCUUGGUUCAACUCCACAAUCUUGUCGGAGGCUCCCAAGUGACACCUAGCUAAUCUAGGAGACACCACUCUCCAAGAAGUAACAAAUGGUGUGUUGAUGAUGAACUCCUUGCUCUUGUGCUUAAAAUGAUAGUCUCCCCAACACUCAACUCUCUCUCAUAGGAUUGGAUUUGGUAGAAAGAAGAUUUGAGUAGAAAGCAACUUGGGAAGGCUAGAGAUCAAGAUUUAUGUGGUUGGAAUGGAAUAUCUUGAACUCAACACAAGUGUAGGUGGUUCUCUCUCAGAAAAUAUGUAUUGGAAGUGUAGGCAUGUUCUGAUGGCUCUCUCCACGAAUGAAGAGUGGGUGGAGGGGUUUAUAUAGCCUCCACACAAAAUCUAACUGUUACACACAAAUCACCAAACUCGGUGGGAGCGAUUCAAAGAACUCGGUCAGACCGAUUUGGUUCAUAAUGUGAACGUUAGGAUUCUCGGUGGGACCGACAUGUCAACUCUGUGGGACUGAUGUCAUUAGGGUUAGGGCAUAACGUAAUCUCGGUGAGACCGAUUACACAAACUCGGUGAGUCCGAUUUUGGUAAUAGCCAAACAGAGUGUUGGUCUGGCAAACUCGGUGGGACCGAUUCGCUCAUCUCGGUUGGACCGAAAUGUUACGAAAGGGAAACAGAGAUUUUGCAUUGUAAUCUCGGUGGGACCGAUCGCUCAUCUCGGUUUGACCGAAACGUUACGAAGGGAAACAGAGAGUUUGCAACCCCAUCUCGGUGAGACCGAGAUCCCUAUCGGUGAGACCGAAUAGAUUAGGGUUUCUGGCAGUGGCUAUGUCAACUGAACUCGGUGGCUCUGGAUGGAAAGAAUCGGUGGGGCCGAGUUGGACUUUUUGGUUUAGGACAUAUGUGGAUAUGAGAAAGUAGUGGAGGGUUUUGGAGCAUAUCACUAAGCAUUUUGAGCAAGAAUCUCAUUAAGCAACACCUCAUCCCUUCUUAAUAGUAUUGGCUUUUCCUAUAGACUCAAUGUGAUCUUGGAUCACUAAAAUGAAAAAUGUAGAGUCUUGUGCUUUGAGCUUGAGCCAAUGUUUUGUCCUUAGCAUUUUGAAGGGUCCACUUCCUAAUCCAUGCCAUGCCAAACAUUGAGCUUUCCUAAAAUAUUUAUCUUGGAAUAGCAUUAGCUCAGUGAGCUAUAUGUUGUUAGGAAUUACCAAAACCACCCAGGGAUAGUUGCACUUUCAAUCUCCCCCUUUUUGGUAAUUGAUGACAACAUAUAGAUCAAAGCUUCGACAAAUGAUAAAUAAGAUUGAAAAACAUCGUCGCUUUGAGAAGUAUGUGAUAAGCAAGAGCUCCCCCUAAAUUUGUGCAUUAUUUAAGAUUUGCUUUUGAAUGCAAAUGCACAAUCGAUUAGGAUCAUGGGUUACUCUUCCAUGUCACAUACAUCUUGGUGGAGCACUCAAAUGAUAGAGAUUAAAAGCAUGCACUCAUCACCAAGCAAAGUGAAUGAUCAUAAUAGGAUAUGAAAGAUAGCAUUAUCCAACAAGCAUUAAGGGUAGCAUAUGAUCAAACACUUGACCAAAUAAGUAUCUCACAAGGACACAAAGUAGUAUCACACAAGCACGCAGUAAAGUUUCAAACCAACCAAAAAAGAGUGCAAAGAGAGAUAAAAACCAACACUCUCUCUCUCGAAGCCUAUGAUCUAUACAUUUUUCUCCCCCUUUGGCAACAAGUUACCAAAAAGUUUGAAAAUGCAUAGUUCUAAACGACUCUCAGGCUUGAUCUUCGGGAGGUGGUGUUGAGAGAACGCCAAGGACGAAGGCUUCUGAUGAAGUGGCUGGAGCUGGUGGAGUAGCUACUGGCGUUGGAACUGGAGCUGUGGCUGCUGGUGCUGAUGUUGUAGCUCUAGUGUCUGUCACUGGCACUGCAGUAGAUCUCUGUCCUCUGGGCACUCUAGCAAAUGCAUCUGUGGUAGACUUGCCCUUCUUCUCCUCUGCUUCCUCCUGAGGUUGCUCAACUGCUCUUUGGAUCUCAGUUACCUUGACAUCAAGGUCAUAGAAUUUUGUCUCAACAAUCCUUUCCAAGCUCUCCUGGUUCUUGGUCAGGGUGGCCAAGCCCUGCUCAAUCCUCAGAGUGGAUUGGAUCAGAUAUGCAAGCUGGUCGUGCUUGCUCUUCAAGAAUACAUGAGAUGCCUCUUCCAUAGUUGGCAUCUUUGCAACUUUCGCAGCUUUAGCCUUCUCUCUCUUUUCUUGUGCUUGCACAAAUGAUGGUUCAUUCUCAGUCAUGACAACAGUGUUGUCCUCAAAUUCAGGAUAGAUGGGUAGAUGCUCCUUGUCCAAGAUGUACUUGCCUUUGCCCAUCUUUGAGUUGAUGAGCUCCUGGAUGUGUGGGGCAUAUCCACAACUUCGCUUCUGAUCGGCUGCAGUCCUCUUGAUUGUUUCCACAAUCAGGCUCAUAACCUUGAAUUUUUGUGGGACAUCAAAUAUGUGCAGCAAGUUGAUAGCAUGUCCUCUGAUCAUCUUGUGAUCACCUGACUUGGGUAGAAGUGUGUGCCUCAGAAUCCAAUUGAUUGUUGGCAGACCAGACAACAAAUAGUGUACAGAUCCAAACUUAUGUGUGUCCAAAGCAUCAUCAGGGAUCUCUUCGUACAUAUUUGCCAUAGAGUUGUGGUCUUUCUUCUUCUUGUCAUAGACAUCCAAGUCAUCCUCAUGUUCCUCAGGAGCAUUUAUUAGUUUUGCCCAUUCUUCAACUGUAAACUGGUACCUAGUACCCUCAGACAUCCACACAAUCCUUCCAUCUGGAUAGAAGUGUGCAGUGGAGUAAAAUUGCAUAAUGAGCUCAUCAUUCCACUUGGUGAACUUCCGAGCCACAAACUCAUCAACUCCACAUGCCUUGAAGUUUUCAUAUACACCAGGGAAGUGAUCCUCAUUUUCCUUAAUGAAUUUCCAAUCAACCCAUCUCAUGUCACACACUAUGGGCUUCUUGUCAAGUAAGGCAGCCUCAUAGAAGUCCUGUUGUUCCUUAGUGUGGAAUGUGUAGUCCAUAGUAGUCCUUCUCCUGGUGGCAUAUGGAUCAGACUCUCUCCAUAGCCUCAAUCCUGAAUCCUUCCUGAUUUUCAUGUUCUCUGCAACUGGGUGUGCAUCAUUGUGAUCAGGGAUCUUGGGCUUCAGCUUUCUCAAAAUGACAGAAUCAUCUUCUUCUUCUUCAGCAGCUUGAGGCACUGGGGCCUUGUUCUUCUCCUCAGCAGGGAUGUUCCUAGUGCUCCUCUUGGGUUUUGGUUUUGGAGCUGGAGCAGCAGCCUUGGGAGCAGCUUUGGGCUUAGAUGGAGCAGCCCCUGAUCUGAUUGCAUCUCCCAUGAGCUUUUGAGCUUUGGGUGCUGGUGCAGCAUCCUCUUCCUCUUCCUCUUCAGAAUCUUUCCUCAUUGAGGGCUUCCCAAGAACUCUAGAAGUAGUGGUUCUGGCCCUCUUCUUCUUCUUAUCCUCACCAGCUGCUUCUUCUUCAGAUUCAAUGGUGAACUUCAUAGUUUCACCUGUGGCAACUUUUCUUGGCUUAGACAUGGGCUGUCUUCCUGCUGGCCUCUUUGUUUUCAGACCUGGCUUAGUUGCAGCAGCUGAGCCAUACUCUUUCUUCAGCACUUUCUUCUUUGAAGUGGCUUCAUCUUCAACAGCCACAUAGUCUUCAUCCUCAGAGUCAGAAGUUCUCUUCUUCCUUGACCUGGUGGCAGCUUUUGGCAAGUUGCUUGGAGUGCUCCUGCUGCCUUCAUCAUAGCUGCUAGAGGGACUAGUGCCCUCACUCAACUGAACCUGUUCCUCUGACUUGUUCUGGCUGUCACUUUGGUCAGACAUCUUGCAGGCAAACUGUCAGCAGACCCUGUGAACAGGUUAUAGAUGAGGUAGAGUAGAUGAGCAUCACAAAGCACAGGAGUUUUUGCAAAAUAGAUGACUUAAAAACUUAGUUUUAGUUCUUCAUAGAAAGCAUUUCGGAUCUACCGUUUUGUAAACUCGGUGAUACCGAAGCAGCUUUUGGAACCUGAACUAGUGAACUCGGUCAGACCGAGUCACAGUUCGGUGGCACCGAGACUGCUAGGGUUUCACAGAGAAUUGAACUCGGUCACACCGAUUUGCAAUUUUCGGUCGGACCGAAAAUGCGUGUGCUCUGGCCUAAGCCAAAAUCGGUGAGACCGAUUUCUACAACUCGGUCGGUCCGAGAUGAAUUCGGCGGAGACCUAACCCUAAAUUUUCAAAUCAAAACUAAUCUACGGGACGUUUUCGCUGGACAGGAUGAUUUCAGUUGUGGCAAGAAACAUGGCAAAGCAAUGUGCUAAGAAUUGGAGUUAAAGAUUAGCACAAUGAUAAAGUCCGUACCCUAGUGCGGCGACGAACUUGCUACGUCGGCAACGGCGGAGAUGAUUUCCGUUGACGGCGGCGGAGACCAGCGGCGGGAGGACGCUGGCGACGAGAGGACGAUCCGGAGACCAGAGGAGGCAGAGUAGGUUACGCGCGGGCGAAGGGGUUCGGAGAAAUUUCCAAAUUUUGACCCAGCGGUAUAUAUAACCUGACCCUGUCGGUGUGACCGAGUGGAACGACUCGGUGGCACCGAGAUGCAAAACUGCAAGCAGUUACUGCAACUCGGUGUGACCGAAAUGUUCUAAUCGGUUGCACCGAGAUUGAAAACUCUAGAUCAACUUGGUGACUCGGUAGGACCGAAAAGGAUGAAUCGGUCAGACCGAGGUGCACAAAGAGGUUUGGAGGUUUAAGUCUAUGACGAAUCGGGAUCUCCGAGUGCUCCUCACACAGAGUGGUUCGAAUCUGACUUGAUCAAACUUUGUGAUGUAGCAUGAAUAGAGUUUGAGACGAGAAAAGCAUAGAUAGCUAGAGGGUGUUCUUAGGCAUUCUUGUCCAUCCAUUUGGCAAAAGAGAAAGAGCCAAACAAUCAAAACAACAAAUGGAUGUCCUCGAAUGAGUAAAAUAUGCAACCAACAUGCUCACACAAUAAAAUGGCAAAUGAAAUAUGUGAAAAAGCAUGCACAAACAUUCUAGCAUCUAUCAAGCAAUUGGCGAUGACUAGGUCAUCUAUAUAUGAGUAUAUUGACUUAGGAGUCAAAUGAGAACAUUUGAUCAUAGGUCAUACUCAUCGUUUAAGCACAAGUGGGGUUACCACUUUUACAUAAAGAAUUGUUGUGUUCACACCAUUAGAGUUGCUUUAGCUCAUUGAUUUGAGUAAAGCUCCCCCUAGAUGUGAUAUUCCCCCUAAAGGGAAUGAACUAACCUUGGGUUUUGUCGAUGAUGACUUCAUGUAGGUGUUGAAGAUGUAGAUGCUCAAUGUUGAUGUAGAUCAUUUGGAGCAAUCCUUUGGAGUGAGUUGCGCUUUCAAUACCUUGUCCCUUGUCUUACCAACAAGAGGGUUUGUGACUCCUUGAACUAGUGCAAGAUAUGGAAGUUGUUUGCACUUGUCCUUGCCAAAAUGAUAGGAGUGAAGUAUGUUGGCGGAGUCACCCUCAAGAACUCUCUAGUUCUUCUUCUUCUGGAUCCACACCAUCUUGAUGGGAACCCUUGGAGUCGUAGUUGUACUUGAUGAAGUGGAACUUGAUGUAGUCUUGGGAACCCACUUGACAAAGGCCUUAGGUGCUUCUUCAAAUGCAUCAAUUUCCUCUUGAAGCUUAUCCUUGCAUUUUUGCUUGUGGUCUUGUGGUGGAAGAUCAUCUUGAGCUUGUGUUCCUUUGAGAGAAGUAGGAUCAUACUUCUCUUGUUGAGGAACAAACUUCGUCUUGGGGUAUUGAUCUUCUUCCCACUCAACUCCAUUGGCAUCGAACUUCCGUUCAAAACCAACACCUUGAUUCUUCCGGUGUCUUCCUUGCUUGCGCACAAUUUCCUCAAAAUGCUUACUUCCGGCAAGACUCUUGUAAACACCUUUCUCUAUGAUUCCCUUCAAUAAGCUAUUUUCUUGCUCAAGUGUAACUAGGCUAAGAGAAUCAUUAGUGGAAUCAAGAGAACUACUAGAAGCAUCAACAUUGGAUUUAGCAUGAUUGUUGUUACUACUAGAUGAAGAAUCUUUCUUGUUCUUGUUGCUAGAUUUAACUUGUGGCAUGUAAGUAGACAAGAGUAAACGCUUGGCAAUGUAAGAAGAACUUUUCUUGCGAAGAUCAUCAUUGAUUGCCUUUAAAAACUCAUGCUCUUGCUCAAGGUUGAGCUUUUCAAAGCGUAGCUUAUCAUGAGUCUUUAAAAGUUCUCGAUGAUUUUCCAAGGUAGUUUCAUGAGCUAACUUAAGAGUGUUUAGUUCUUGAGUUAGACGCUCAAUCUCCUUCUUAUCUUCAUCAUUCGUUUUAUCUUGAUUAGCAUGUUUAAUUGACGUUUCAUCAUAGUUUUCUCACUAGAGUUGUCAACAAGUAAAUCAUCAUCACCUAGCAAAUCAUCUUCAUCACUAUUGAAAUCAGAAUACUCGGGAUGUGUUACCUUUGGACCUUUGGCCAUGAAGCAUCUUCCAAUUCCUUCAUUUGGUGAGUCAAAUAUAUCAUAGGAGUUGGUUGUCACAACUGUUAGACCGGGAACACCUUCAUCUUGAGUAUAUUCGGAGUCGGAGUGAUAACUUCUUUCGGAGUGAUUGUCGGAGUCGGAGCCGGAUACCCAUUCACCAACAUGAGCUUGAUGUCUUCUUUUUGUGUAGCUCCUUGAUGACUUUUCCUUUCUUUCCAAAUCCUUGCUUCUCCGAGAGGGUCUUUGUCCAUAACGAUCAUCUCUACUCCUCCUUUCUCUCGGUGGUGAUUAUUCUCUUCUACUUCUUCUUUUGGGAGAAUCUUCUCUUCUUUUGUAGGGGGCCGUACACUCAUUGGAGUAGUGUCCGGGUCUUCCACAAUUGUAGCACUUACGCUCACGACUAGAAGAUCUUUUGUCAUUGUAGGACCUUGACUUGGAACCUAUUUCUUUGCUUCUACUUUUGUAGAACUUGUUGAAGUUCUUCACCAUUAAGCUCAAUUCUUCAUUGAAGGUUUGUUUCUCACUUGAAGAUGUGGGAGUAUCACAUGAGGCUUUGUAAGCACCACUUGACUUGUUGUGAAGCUCUUCCUUAUCCUUGAGUGACAUCUCAUGAGCAACAAUUCUUCCAUUGACUUCCGUUGGCUUGAGAUCUUUGUAACUGGGCAUCAUUUGGAUCAAUGUGCACACGGUAUCAUAUUUUCCAUCCAAGGCUCUUAGGAUCUUCUUGAUGAUGAAUUUGUCGGUCAUCUCUUCACUUCCUAAGCUGGCAAUCUCAUUUGUGAUGAGAGCAAGCCUAGAGUACAUUUCAGCGAUACCUUCACCAUCCUUCAUUUUGAACUUGUCAAGUUGACUUUGAAGCACAUCCAAUUUGGAUUCCUUGACGGAGUCGGUACCUUCGUGCAUAUCAAUCAAAGUAUCCCAAAUUUCCUUUGCAUUCUCAAGACGGCUGAUUUUGUUGAAUUCUUCGGGGCACAAUCCGUUGAAGAGAAUAUCACAAGCUUGAGCAUUGUAUUGUAGCAUCUUCAACUCUUCCGCGGUAGCUUCAUGGUUCGGUUCUCUCCCAUCAAAGAAUUCACCUUGCAAGCCAAUACACACAAUAGCCCAAACGGCGGGGUUAUGUCCAAGAAUAUGCAUUUUUAUCUUAUGCUUCCAACUAGCAAAAUUAGUGCCAUCAAAGUAAGGACCUCUACGGUGGUAAUUUCCCUCGCUAGACGCCAUACUCUCCUAGGUUGUGAAACCAAGGCUAUGACCACCAAAAGCUAUGGAAAUCAAAGCAAAUGGAGACCAAAGCUCUGAUACCACUUGUAGGAUCGGAAGUAUGUCUAGAGGGGGUGAUUAGACUACUUGACCAAAUAAAAAUCUAGCAUUUUCCCAAUUUUAGUUCUUGGCAGAUUUUAGCAACUUAGCACAAGUCAAGCAAUCAACCUACACAUGCAAUUCUAAGAGUAUAGCAGCGGAAAGGUAAAGCAAUUGCAUAUGAAGGUAAAGGGAUGAGUUUGAGGGAGCAAACGCAAUGUUGACACGGAGAUUUUUUAUCCGUGGUUCCGAUAGGUGGUGCUAUCGUACAUCCACGUUGAUGGAGACUUCAACCCACGAAGGGUAACGGUUGCGCGAGUCCACGGAGGGCUCCACCCACGAAGGGUCCACGAAGAAGCAACCUUGUCUAUCCCACCAUGGCCGUCGCCUACGAAGGACUUCCCUCACUAGGGUAGAUCUUCACGAAGUAGGCGAUCUCCUUGCCCUUACAAACUCCUUGGUUCAACUCCACAAUCUUGUCGAAGGCUCCCAAGUGACACCUAGCCAAUCUAGGAGACACCACUCUCCAAGAAGUAACAAAUGGUGUGUUGAUGAUGAACUCCUUGCUCUUGUGCUUCAAAUGAUAGUCUCCCCAACACUCAACUCUCUCUCAUAGGAUUGGAUUUGGUAGAAAGAAGAUUUGAGUGGAAAGCAACUUGGGGAAGGCUAGAGAUCAAGAUUUAUAUGGUUGGAAUGGAAUAUCUUGAACUCAACACAAGUGUAGGUGGUUCUCUCUCAGAAAAUAUGUAUUGGAAGUGUAGGCAUGUUCUGAUGGCUCUCUCCACGAAUGAAGAGUGGGUGGAGGGGUAUAUAUAGCCUCCACACAAAAUCUAACCAUUACACACAAAUCACCAAACUCGGUGGGAGCGAUUCAAAGAACUCGGUCAGACCGAUUUGGUUCAUAAUGUGAACGUUAGGAUUCUCGGUGGGACCGACAUGUCAACUCGGUGGGACCGAUGUCAUUAGAGUUAGGGCAUAACGUAAUCUCGGUGAGACCGAUUACACAAACUCGGCGAGUCCGAUUUUGGUAAUAGCCAAACAGAGAGUUGGUCAGGCAAACUCGGUGGGACUGAUUCGCUCAUCUCGGUUGGACCGAAACGUUACGAAAGGGAAAAGAGAGUUUGCAUUGCAAUCUCGGUGGGACCGAUCGCUCAUCUCGGUUUGACCGAAACGUUACGAAGGGAAACAGAGAGUUUGCAACCCCAUCUCGGUGAGACCGAGAUCCCUAUCGGUGAGACCGAAUUGAUUAGGGUUUCUGGCAGUGGCUAUGUCAACUGAACUCGGUGGCUCCGGAUGGACAGAAUCGGUAGGGCCGAGUUGGACUUUUUGGUCUAGGACAUAUGUGGAUAUGAGAAAGUAGUGGAGGGUUUUGGAGCAUAUCACUAAGCAUUUUGAGCGAGAAUCUCAUUAAGCAACACCUCAUCCCUUCUUAAAAGUAUUGGCUUUUCCUAUAGACUCAAUGUGAUCUUGGAUCACUAAAAUGAAAAAUGUAGACUCUUGUGCUUUGAGCUUGAGCCAAUGUUUUGACCUUAGCAUUUUGAAGGGUCCACUUCCUAAUCGAUGCCAUGCCAAACAUUGAGCUUUCCUGAAAUAUUUAUCUUGGAAUAGCAUUAGCUCAAUGAGCUAUAUGUUGUUAGGAAUUACCAAAACCACCCAGGGAUAGUUGCACUUUCACUAUGGUCUUAAACAGGCCCCUCGCGCCUGGUUCGAGCGCUUCGCCUCUGUGGUGACUACCGCUGGUUUCUUGCCAGUGAUCAUGAUCCCGCGUUGUUUGUUCACACGUCUCCUCGUGGUCGGACUCUUCUCCUUCUCUAUGUUGAUGACAUGAUCAUCACUGGUGACGACUCUGACUACAGUGCCUUUGUUAAGGCCCGCCUUCGCGACCAGUUCCUCAUGACUGAUCUUGGUCCACUUCAAUAUUUUCUUUGGAUUGAGAUCUCCUCGACCUCUGAUGGCUUCUACAUCUCCCAGGAAAAAUACAUUCAGGAUCUUCUUGCUCGUGCUACUCUUGGUGAUGAGCGCACUGUUGUGACUCCUAUGGAGCUCAACGUUCAGCUUCGUGCCUCUGACGGUGACCCUCUUCCUAAUCCUACUCGCUAUCGCCACCUCGUUGGCAGCCUUGUCUACCUUGUUGUUACGCGUUCCGACAUCUCCUAUCAUGUUCAUAUACUGAGUCAGUUUGUUUCAGCACCCACCUCUGUCCACUAUAGUCAUCUCCUCCGUGUUCUCCGAUAUCUUCGUGGCACUUUCUCUCAUCGCCUUUUCUUUCCCCGCUCAAGCUCUCUUGAGCUCCAGGCCUACUCUGAUGCUACAUGGGCUAGUGAUCCCUCUGAUCGACGCUCGCCGUCUGCAUACUGUGUCUUUCUUGGUGGCUCUCUCAUUGCCUGGAAGACAAAGAAAUAGACUAACGUUUCUCGCUUGAGUACAGAGGCUGAGUUGCGAGCCAUGGCUAUGUUGACGGCUGAGGUGAUUUGGUUACGGUGGUUAUUUGAGGAUUUUGGAGUGCCUGCUACUACCUCGACUCCCUUACUGUCAGAACCGGUGCUAUCAGUAUUGCGCGUGACCCGGUGAAGCAUGAGCUCACCAAGCACAUCGGUGUGGAUGCCCACUUUGUGCGUGCUGCUGUGCAUGAUCAGACUCUUGCUCUUCACUAUGUUCCCUCUGAGUUAUAGUUGGCGGACUUCUUCACGAAGGCACAGACUCGAGUGCGGCAUGGUUUUCUUCUCUCCAAACUCAGUGUUGUUGAUCCACCAUGAGUUUGAGGGGGGUGUUAGAUGUGUAUAGUCCCUUUUUGGUUCUUCCCCAUUGUAUAAGGGGUUUCCUGCACUUCACCACACAUGUAUAUGUAAUGGCAUUUGGCCUUCAGUGAAUAUUAAUUGUUGUUUAUCCAACAACAUUCACGCCAAUCAUAAAACAGUGUUUGUUAGUAGUGGAGUGGUAGGCGGACGCAAAUCAAACCAUCAUUUUUCUUCUAAUUACACUUGUAAAAGCAUCGAUGCAUCUCCGUCGCUUAAUUUUAUUUGUCAUUCUGUUCAGUACCUGGUUUGGUUCAGGAAGAGCUCUUUUUCCUAUGCAAAAUGUAUAACGUAUAUGCUCCUAAUUCUGAUUGCAGACAUAUUCAUCGCGCUAGUGUUUUGACAUGACGCGGGGAACCAAGAGCCGUUCAACAGCGCGUUUCUGGGAUACGCCACCGGUCUGGCACUAAAGGUAGCGGUGAUGAUCUGGUUUCAAGCCGCGCUGCUAAUAUAUCAUGGCAUCUUGCAGCCUGCUCUGUUGCACAUCGUUCCUGGCGCAUGACUGGUUUGGUCGCCGUUCACUCUCCGUGGAAUGGAGAGGUGAAAGCGGGCAAGUAAGCCUGUCUACUUUGUCCCUUUUGUGUAGUGCUGGGAUCAGAGAAAAUAACUGGCAAUCUGGAUCAGCCUGGUUUUGAGACGCGACUUGUUUGCCACUGACUGUUUUGCGUUGGCAGUUACUGCAGUUGGAGUGGGAAGCUGGAGAGGAGGAAGAAGACGAAGGUCCCAACCGGCAGAGCAAAAAGGUGAACCAGCCCUCGCCUUUUUAAUUACUAGGAGAAAGAAACAUUGAGGCAGUAAUUUCUUCAGGCAAGAUCGAUUGGCAGCUAAUUAAGUAGGCUGGAUGGCAUUGAGAAACCCAAAAACGAUUUACAUACACAUGGUAGAUCGUCUCUCUCUCUCCUUCCACCCCUUCCUUUCAUGGCCAUCGUAGACUGCACCAUGUGGCAUUCAAACUUUUCUCAAGGGGAGAGUUUCCUCACACACACACACAUGCACAUACGCAAGCACACGCACACACGUGUAGUACAAACUUAGAAUUUUUGGAAAUAAUGGGAGGCCGAGCAACGGCCAUGUGAAAAUAUGAGGUAUAUAGCUUGUGGAUUUCCAUUCAGUGUACAAGGCCUGCAUGAGGAAUGGAUAAAGAAAUAUAUCUUUGAUUCCCUUAGUUAAAUCUUAUCCUUCAUCGUCAAUUAUGACUAAGCAUACAUAGUAAUCGCUAGUUUCUCUUAUAUGCUUCCGAGAAGAUAAGACUGGAUAUUUUAGUUGCUAUUAAUUAUUUCCCUUCUUUCGCUAAAUAGUAGUCAAACAUGUUAUUAAUGUAUUUUGUAAGGAUAAGGUCGAGCAUCAUGGCCACUAUGUUCUAUAUAUACUGAAUUUGGUGUUCAGUAUGACAUAACAAACACAUAUUGUGAGAAGGAGUAGUGUACAUUGUUCUCUAGUGCACUUUGUUCAGCAAGUUGGGUGAAAAUGUUGAAUAAACCAUCAAGUUUUCAUACAUUUUUUCAUGGCACAGGUUUGCCUUCUCAUGAUGAUGGCUGCACCGUUUGCACAAGCUGCUGGGAGGCCUGUGGCAUCCUUACCAUGGGUAGCGGGGUGUUGCCUGAGGAACUAUUUGUGUUGUGGUGUUGGUGCUGUUGCCCCGACAUCCCAUGCAUCGCAGGCCACCUCUGUACCUUGAAUUAUGGUUUCGCCUGAUCUCCUCUCAUAACAUAGUUGAUAUAACAUAGUAGCAUCACAAAGGUUGCAUGGUUUCAUUGAUUCAUCUCUUUUCUACUCCGUGAAACUUGUGAUGCCACUUUUGAACAAUGUCAUUGCUAUGUCUUCUUAUAACUAAUAAAAUGGGAGGAUAUUUUCAUAUUAUUUGAAUUGUGUUGUAACAUUACCUACUAAUGUGGAUGAUCUGAGUGGACUACAUAGAUCGGAUCUUCUAAAGAUAUAAUCUAGGACUUUGCGAGAUGAUGAAAUUGUCCUUUAUCUUGGUCGACACCUUUUCGUAGAAGUGUUGGUCGGCCGUCUGUGUCUUUUUGCGGUGCAUGCCGUAGAGUCCUCCAUGUUUUGUAGUUGUACAAUAACCUUUGAGGCAACCGGGGGUGGUACGUCUGAGGAAGUCGGUGGCCCAGGAAUAUUCAUAAUGAGAUCUCGACCAUGGAUGCCAAGUAAUUUGCCCCGUGCUGAUGUCGUCGGGCGACCCGGUCACUUAUGUUUUGACUCAAGGAGUCGCUAUGUUCAUCGAGUCGCGAGACAGCGGGAGGAAGGAGACGAAGGUCCCAAACGUCAGACCAAAAAGGUGGACUAGGGCUCGCCCUAGUUGUGCUCUCGGGUAUUUUCAGUUACUAGUAGGAGUAAGAAGCAUUGCAAAUUGCUCCCUCUGUUCAAUCCGUAUAUAUGUAGUCCGUAUUCAUAUAUUCAAAAUAUUUUAUAUUUGUGAACGAAGGGAGUAAUUAAUAGUAAUGCAACAAUUUCAGGGGAGGCCAGUCAACAGCUAACUAAAUGUGCUGGAUGAGACUGGAGACAUGUAUAAACGAUUUACACAUGAUAGAACUACUCUUUUCUUGUCAAGGAAUGGAAGAAUGGAUGAUUUUAUCCGUUCGGAACAAAACCCAAUAUUCAUCCAGUUAGACGUUGUUCUGAAUUCUGAAGCUUUUGAAAGUUUUCUCGCAGAAAUAUGUGUGUGUAUUCCAGUUGUAUCAUUAGCAAACCAAGGUUGUAUAUAUUAUAGCACAAAGAAUGUUUGGUUGAUUCGUUCAGGCGAAUCAGGUUUGUGGCUGACUGCCAAAGUCAGGCCAACUCCAGCGCACGACCCCAAACAGACAUCUGUUUUGUCUGGAUUCUGCCCGUUUGGAUAUAGCAAUGGGGUCGUGUCCAGGCCUGUCCUGUGAUGCGGUCGCCGUGCGCACAACGCGCGGACGCAUCCUUUGGCCUCAUCAUGUCCGCCACGGCCAAAAAUGCCCAUAUAUUCAUAUUUCAAUAUUCAAAACUAGUUUGCACGUCCAAAUAUUAAUUGUCUGAAAAUAAAAAUAGUUUUACAACCCAAUCAAAAUUGUCUCUAAUAAAAUAGUUUUACAACCAAAUCGAAAUUGUCUUGAAUGAACAUAAUGAAACCAAUACAUCUAUUGGUUGCCAAUGUGAUUCCACAUGUGCUCAACCAAGUCAUUUUGAAGAUCCAAAUGAGUGUGCCAAUCAUGCAUUUCACGAUGACAUUGGGCAAACUGCUCAAACGUGGCCGGUUCUUGGUGCAGGGGCUGAACAUUUUCACCUUGAAAAUCAAAUCCUUGGUCGAAGAUGCUGUUAUCACGCUCGUCCUCGACGAUUAUGUUGUGCAUGAUCACACAAGCAGUCAUCACCUCCCGAAGCUUCCCUUCAUCCCAUGUCAAUGCAGGGUUUCGAACGAUACCCCAUCGGGAUUGAAGCAAACCAAAAGCACGUUCCACAUCCUUUCUAGCACUCUCUUGCAUUUGGGUAAAUCUCUUUCUCUUCUCACCUUGGGGGUUCGAGAUUGUCUUCACAAAAAGUUGACCACUGAGGAUAUAUACCAUCAGCUAGGUAGUAUCCCUUGUUGUACUGGUGGCCGUUGAUCUCAAAGUUGCCAGGUGGGGAGUGGCCUUCUGCAAGCCUUGCGAAGACUGGAGAACGCGGCAGCACGUUGAUAUCAUUGUGAGAACCUGCCAUGUCGAAGAAAGAAUGCCACAUCCAAAGAUCUUGCGAAGCCACCGCUUCUAAUAUGAUAGUGCAUGCUUUAACAUGCCCCUUGUACUGGCCCUGCCAAGAAAAUGGACAGUUCUUCCACUCCCAGUGCAUACAAUCUAUGCUACCAAGCAUGCCUGGAAAGCCUCUAGCCGCGUUGGUCGCCAACAAGCUUUCUAUAUCAGUGGCAUUUGGCUGCUGAGGGAGUCCUGGAUUAAGGGGUCCUCGGGCGUUUGGGCUGCGUAACAUGGGCCGGACUAAUGGGCCGUGAAGNNNNNNNNNNNNNNNNNNNNNNNNNNNNNNNNNNNNNNNNNNNNNNNNNNNNNNNNNNNNNNNNNNNNNNNNNNNNNNNNNNNNNNNNNNNNNNNNNNNNNNNNNNNNNNNNNNNNNNNNNNNNNNNNNNNNNNNNNNNNNNNNNNNNNNNNNNNNNNNNNNNNNNNNNNNNNNNNNNNNNNNNNNNNNNNNNNNNNNNNNNNNNNNNNNNNNNNNNNNNNNNNNNNNNNNNNNNNNNNNNNNNNNNNNNNNNNNNNNNNNNNNNNNNNNNNNNNNNNNNNNNNNNNNNNNNNNNNNNNNNNGAUUCCUUUCCCUGUAAACCGACUCUGUACAACCCUAGCCUUCUCCGAUGUCUAUAUAAACCGGAGGGUUUAGUCCGUAGAGGCAAGGAUAAUCAUACAGGCUAGACAUAUAGGGUUUAGCCAUUACGAUCUCGAGGUAGAUCAACUCUUGUAAUCCCUAUACUCAUCAAAGUCAAUCAAGCAGGAAGUAGGGUAUUACCUCCAUUAAGAGGGCCCGAACCUGGGUAAACAUCGUGUCCCCUGCCUCCUAUUACCCUCUAUCCUUAGACGCACAGUUCGGGCCCCCCUAUCCGAGAUCCGCCGGUUUUGACACCGACAGCUGCCUCAAGUACUCAGGGCCAAACACUGCCACCACAGCCUUGUAGAACUUGUAAAGUGACAACAGACAUGCCGACUCACUCAUGCGCACGUACUCAUCCACCAGAUCGCCUGGAAUUCCAUAUGCAAGCAUGCCGAUGGCCGCGGUGCACUUCUGGUAAGAGGAGAAUCCAAGCUUGCCAAGGGCAUCCGUCUUGCACUCGAAGUAUGGGUCAUGAGCAACCACUCCCUCUCGGAUACGAUUGAACAGAUGUCUUGCCAUACGAAAACGGCGACGGAAUUUAUCCGGCUUGAAGAGCGAGGUAUUCGCAAAGUAAUCGGCAUAGAGCAAGGCGUGGCCUCUCUCUCUAUUGCGUUUCAGGUUGGGAGCACGGCCAGGGACUGACCCCAUGUACCGAGGAAGCUGCCCAAUGUGAUCGUGAACGACCAGUGCAACCACCACCAGAUCUUCGUCAUCCGAGGACGAAUCAUCCAAUGAAUAAAUGAAGUGGUGGAAGAAAAAUUCAUCUCCACUGUCCAUACAUUUGUGGGCAAAGUGUUCAACACCUUGCGGUCGUGGUGGCAAAGAGGCCGCGAUGAUCAUCUCGAUGCAGCAGGGGUGGUUGGCGGCCGGCUACUGGCCGCUCUAGAGCACCCGGCGGAAGCUGCCGUGGUCCAUAUCCGUCGCCGGUGGUCGUAUCCCCUCUAGCACCGGCUACAAUGGCGACGGCCAAAUCUCCUCCAAGCGAUGGCCAGAACUCCUACGAAAGCGCGGGCGUUGUGGCGGCCAUGUCGAGACGUGGUUUGGUAUGGAUGGGCAGGGGGAGGGAGCAGUGAGGAGGCGGUCGGAGAAUACUGGCGGCGCCGGUGGCGGGAUGCGGCGGAGGAGAGCGGGUGAAGGCGUUGGAGGCAAAUGGAGUGCUAGUGUCCCCGACAGGCGGGCCACGGGGAGGACAAGGGCGUGUGUCCAGCCCGUCCGCGUGAUGUCCAUUUCACCCCAAACUCGGCACAAGUUUGGGCCGGGAAUGGGUAAAAAACGGACGAAAUCCGGACAUUUGUCUAUUUGAAGCCGCGCCUUGAGUCAUGCUAUUCGUCUGUUCUACCCUAAACGGACGCACCAGAACGGAAUGGGGUCGCGUGCUGGAGUUGGCCUCACGGCCGUUUCUGCCUUUGGCGCAGACAAGAGAUUCUACACUGUAAAGGAAAAAGCUGAAAGCUCUCUUGUCUCGUGUGUUUCUCUUCUCUUGCACCUUGUCGGAAAACAGUGUGCACCAGGGACGCUCGAUUCCAUGGCAGGCAUCAGUUCAAUCGAUCAUGCUACAGGGAACCGGCACUAUCUUCUUUUUCUUUUUCUUUUUCUUUUAGGUCGUGAACGCAAGUCAUUUGAGAUAUUCACGUAGGACUUACAUAAUUGGUACGUUGUGACAAAACUGGACGCACACGAUGAAAUAUAUAAAUAUUCCUAUGGUAGAUUUAUCAGCAUCAGUGUGGAGCUAAAGUGUUUGAUGUUUUGUAUGAAUGGUUUGGUCUGAACAAUAAAGCCGACCACUCAGGACCUACUUUUGGGCUUUUUUUUUUGUAUUAUUCUAUACUAGCAAAAGGGCCCGUGCGCGGAGAAAAAAAUUAUAAUCUUGAAUGACCAUGAUCACAUUUUUUUUCAUCACCGAGAUACACUAUCACUUUCAACUUCGGGAAAUCAUCUACAUUUUUUAAACUUGUGCACAUUUUUCACAUUCAUGAACACUUUUACAAAUUUGCAAACAUAUUCUAAAAUCAAGAACAUAUUUUGAAUUCAUGAACAUUUUAUAGUAUUUACAAACAUUUUUAGAAAUUACGUUUUUUUAACAAUUUUCUUGAAUAGGCAAACAAUUCUAAAAUGGACGAACAUUGUUUUAGAAAUCGGUGGAAUAAUUUUUGAAAUUCCCGAACAUUUUCUUGAUUUUACAAACAUUUUUUGAAAUGCAUGAUCAUUUUUGUAUAAACUAUUUUGUAUGUCACGAACAGUUUUCCAAAUAUUUGGUUAUUUCCCCAUUCAUGAACAUUUUUUGAAUGGUGAUAUUUUCUUAAAUUUCAUUAACAUUUUUUGUACACGAAUUUUUAAAAAGUCAUGGACGUAUUUUGGUUUCAUGAACAUUUGUUUUCAAAAUUUCAAACAUUUUUCGAGCCAGAUUCUUUAAUAAAAUUGCAAAUAUUUUUUGAAUACAUAAACAUUUUAUGAUUUAUUAAAACUUUAUUUGGAAAUUAUUUUAAUUUUGAAAUAUUUUUUGUAUUCUGAAUUUAAUUAAAGUAGAAAAACGGAAAAAGAUAAAAAAGGAAAUGUUAAAAACAGGCUGCCCGGACAUGGGCCGGCCCAAAUGGGCGGGCCGCGCCUUAUCCCUUCGCGCAGAGCCCAGUAUGGCAGGUCGCUACUACAUGGGCCAGUCCAGACGGGGAUUCCCCUGUGUGAAACAUUUAUAUCACUUAUACGUGACAUUUGGAUCCCCUCUAGUUAGGGUUUUCUCUCCUCCCGGCGGCGCCUGGCACCGACGUGGAGACCGCGAUCCCCUGCGUCUCCUAGACCACUGAUCGCCGGCGGCUUCGGACGUCGGGCUCGUGUGCGCGCUGGGCGAUCUGUCUAGGGUUCUCCCGCCCGCGGAAACCGACUUCUCGGGCAAGAGAUCUGAUGGAAGGCUCAACGUCGGCGUCAGCCGCAGCGAUGAGCGACAUGGAAGCUAUGAUGAAGGAAUUGGGCCUGAAAGAAGAUGAUCUGGAGGAUGUUGUGGUUCAGGAUGGCGACAUACCAGAGGAAGCGGCGCGGUGGAUGGUGAUCCUGCGGGUGCACAUGGAUAAGCCGUACAGUCAGUAUUGGUUUUUUCGUAACAUGCGGGUUGCAUGGGAUCUAGCACAAGAAGUCAAGUUCCGCCCUCUAGAAGACAACCUCUAUACUCUGCAAUUCUCCUACCUGGGUGAUUGGGAGAGAGUCAUGGAGGACGGCCCCUGGACAUACAAAGGAAAAGCUGUCGUAAUCGAGCCCUAUGAUGGUUUCACCAGAUCAUCGUCUAUUGUUCUUAACAAGAUUGAGAUGUGGAUCCAGAUCCAUGAUCUCCCUGAACUGUUCUUCCAGUUGAUUAAAUCGCUAGCAUCUACUGUUGGUGACUUCAUAUUUGCUGAGCCCAAAUCCCAGGACUUUGAGGGGAACUUUUUUAGGGUUCGAGUGAAAGUGGAUGUCACAAAGCCGCUCAAGAACGCUGUAUCGCUGGUGAUCAAGAAGAGGAGAGAGAUAUUCAGGGUGAAAUAUGAGAGGCUUCCAGAUUGGUGUGCUGUCUGUGGUAUGCUAGGUCAUCAGUUCAAAGAGUGUGGCGAUGGGAUCCAUCCCCAAUCUGCGCUUGUGUUCAAAAAUCUGAAAGCUGACUGGUUCAGGAGCCCAGGCCGUGGACCAGGUGCUGCAAGAGGCUUUGAAGGUGGUCGAGGGAGAGGUAAUGGUCGUGCAGGUCAUGGAGGCCGGGGCUCGGGUUGAACACAACAAGAUAACUUUGACCAGGCUGUUGAUCUGGAUACAGACAUGGAAGAAGGAGACGGGAACCGCAAGAGAGGAGCUCAUGCAAACACACUCUUGCUUACUUCUUCAGGGACCAACCCAUCAUCUUCGAUGGAACCCCAAGCCCUCGCUACAGCCACCGUUCCACAGAGUCCCUCGUCGAAGCAAGACCUCAAAAGAACAAAGACCAACCCCCGUCAGUUGGAGAAGAACCCAGGGAAGAACAAGUCCUCAAACACCCAAAACAAUGCGCAAAUGGCGAGCCCUAUCAACUGGUCGCGCCUGGCGCAAUGAGUUGCCUAGUUUGGAACUGUCGCGGGGCUGGCAGACCUGCGACAGUUCGUGAGCUUCGAGAUCUAUCGAAGCUACUUGCCCCCUCUAUUGUAUGCAUUCUUGAAACCCAGAUAGAGGGCUCGCGUGUCGAGAAUCUGGUAGGAACUUUAGGUUAUAAUAAAAGCUUUGCUGUAAGCAGCUCCGGCAGGAGCAGUGGACUAGGCAUUUUUUGGAAUGAGGAAAUAAAACUCGAAGUUAUCGGUUAUUCUGAGUACCACAUAGAUGUUCUUGUUGAGCAGAUGGUAGAAACUAAAACCAGAAUCACCUUUGUGUAUGGUGAGGCCCAAACAAGUGCAAGGUACAAAACUUGGGACAUGUUGCGCGGAAUUGCUGGAACUAGCAACGACCCAUGGGUAGUGAUUGGAGACUUUAACGAAGUACUUCAUGCCCAUGAGCAUGAUGGAACCGGCCAACGAAGCCAGGCGCAGAUGGACGCCUUCUGAGAUGCUAUUGACAAAUGCGGCUUAUCAGAUAUUGGUUAUAAGGGGCAAAGCUGGACUUUUGAAAAGAAGGUGAUGGGCGGUACGUACACCAGGGUGCGCUUGGACCGGAGCGUGGCUAAUCCUGCAUGGGCUUUGGCCUUCCCAGAUGCAUCCCUUGAGCAUCUCACCGCAGCUACUUCUGAUCAUGUCCCGUUGUUGCUUCGGCUUCAAGCAAUGCAUGCAUGCAGAAGGGGACCACGGCCGUUUAAAUACGAGUUGUGUUGGGAGCGCGACCCAACACUGGAGACAAUGGUGCAUGCGGGGUGGAAUCAGCAUCCUGGGGAUUCGGUGGACCAGGUGAAGGCUAAACUCCAAACACUGUCGGGCGACCUGUCGACGUGGGAUCGGCAACAUUUUGGAAGCGUGUGCAGAGAGAUAGCCGAAUUAAAAAAAGGAACUACAGGUGUUGCGAGAAUUUCCAGGAAGAUCUGGCCCCUCUCGACGGGAGACAAAAAUCUGCGACCGCCUGGUUGAAUUGUUUCAUCGCGAGGAGAUCUUGUGGAGGCAGCGAGCUAGGAUUGAUUGGCUCAUGCAUGGCGACAAAAAUACUUAUUUCUUCCACAUGAGAGUGAGUAGGCGUCGACGGAAAAACCAAAUUAAAUCCUUGCAAUGAGCUGACGGGCAGGUAACGGAGAAUGAACUGGAGAUGGAAAACAUGACGAUCUCCUUUUACAAGGACUUGUACACGACAGAAGGGGUUGGUGAUAUGGCACAGGUGCUAGAAACAGUACCAUGCAAGGUUACGCAUGCAAUGAACGCCUCGUUGAAUGCCCCAUAUAGCCCGGAAGAAGUCAAGACUGCCCUUUUUCAAAUGUUUCCCACCAAGGCACCGGGACCAGAUGGCUUUCCCGCUCACUUCUUUCAGAGGCACUGGGAGACGUGCGGAGACGAAAUCACCAAAGUCGUUCUUAAAAUUGUUGAGGGCACAGAAUCUGCAGCAUGUAUCAAUGAGACAGUCUUGGUGCUAAUCCCUAAGGUAAAAAACCCAACCCUCUUGAGCCAGUUCCGACCCAUCAGCUUAUGUAAUGUUCUUUACAAAAUAGCGUCCAAAGUGAUCUCUAACAGGCUGAAGGUGAUACUACCUGACAUUAUAUCUGAGGAACAAUCUGCCUUUGUCCCUGGUAGACUUAUAACUGACAACAUCAUCACUGCCUACGAGUUCCUACACUUUAUGAAAAGAAAUAAAGCUAAAAAGCACCAGUCGUUUGCUCUGAAGCUAGACAUGAUGAAGGCUUAUGACAGGGUGGAGUGGCUAUACCUGAAAGCAAUCAUGGUGAAACUAGGGUUCACUGAGAGAUGGGUGGACAUAGUUAUGGGACUGGUUACCACUGUUAAGUUUUCUGUCAUGUUUAAUGGGAAAAGAUUGGAGGAAUUCGAACCUUCACGAGGAAUUAGACAAGGGGACUCAAUAUCUCCGUACUUGUUCUUAAUAGCAGCAGAGGCCCUGUCGUGCCUGUUAAAAUCAAAGAGUGAGUCAUCCAAUCUGGGUGGUGUGCAAUGGCUCCUACGGCGCCGCCAGUUAGCCAUCUAUUAUUCGCUGAUGACAGCCUACUGUUCUGUAAGGCAAAUUGUGCGGGAGCUAAUGAGGUGAACCUAGUACUGAAUACAUACUGCCAAGCAUCCGGUCAGCGAGUAGCAAGGGAGUGCCGGAAGCUACGAGGACAGAAAUAAAAGGUUUACUCAAUAUUCCCAAUGAAACUUUAAAUGAGAAGUAUCUAGGGAUGCCGUCAGAUAUUGGGAGUUCGAAGAACGGGGCCUUCAAAUACGUCAAGGAUCAUUUAUGGAGUAAGGUACAGGGCUGGGUGGAAAACACCAUGUCAUCCGCAGGCAAGGAGGUUUUGGUGAAAUCAGUUGCCCAGUCCAUACCUAUAUUCUCAAUGUCAUGCUUUAAACAUCCAAGGGGAUUAUGUGAACACCUUAAUAUGCUUAUUAGGAAGUUCUGGUGGGGGAGCAAAGAUGGCAAAAGGAAACCUCACUGGGUAUCUUGGAAAAGUAUGACACAGCCGAAGGGAAUGGGAGGACUAGGGUUCAAAGAUUUUGAACUCUUUAAUAUGGCGAUGCUGGCAAGACAGGCUUGGAGAUUAAUCCAAACACCAGAGUCCCACGCUUGUUGAAGAGCAUAUACUUCCCUGAUUCUACCGUCUUGGAGGCGACCUUGUGCAACCAUCCCAAUCAGAUAUGGCGAGCCAUCAUCGAAGGCAGAGAUACACUCAAACAAGGUCUCAUUCGUAGAAUUGCCAAUGGUCAAUCUACUCGUAUUUGGGAGGAUCCGUGGCUGCCAAGAGAUGAGAUGUUACGGCCAUAUGGGAGCAUUCACCCCAAUCCGCCAACCUUGGUUUCGGAACUGAUCGAUCACACUAGCGCUUCAUGGAACAGUCAGCUAAUCAACCAAGUGUUUAUGCCCAUGGAUGCUUGUACCAUUAUGGGGAUCCCGGUGUGCACUCGCAAUCUCCAUGACUUCUGGAGCUGGAUCUUUGAAACGAGUGGCAACUUCACGGUCAAAUCUGCUUACCGCAUGCUUGUAGCGACAAGACAGCGCCGGGAGGCAUGGCUUGAGGGCACUGCUGGAACAUCAAACAGCACGUCGAAGGAGGGGGCUUAGAAAACGUUGUGGAAGACCCAGGUUCCUGCAAUUCUAUGGCGUUUAUCAAAGCACUCUCUCCCAACGGAGGACGUCAGGGCUCAUCGGCAUAUGGCAGAUAACGCUACUUGCGGUUUAUGUGGCUCGGCUGAUUCGUGGAGACACUCUCUGGUUAACUGCACUAGCUCGAGAUGGUGUGUGGGCUUUAGUUGAUGAGGAGCUAGCACAAAACCUAGUCUCAACCACGGAACCCAACGCCAAGCAGUGGCUCUUCACCUUCAUGCACUCACUAUCACACGAUCAAUUUGUAUUGCUUGCGGUCACUCUCUGGGCGAUCUGGACAGCGCGGCGCAAGGCUAUUCAUGAAGGAAUAGUCCAAUCGCCUCAGGCAACUAACAACUUUCUCAGACGCUUCAUAGCUGAACUAAACAUGAUUAAAGUGGAAAGGCCUAUGAGGGGAGGAGCUCAAUCUAUGGGCCUGUCACGAGCUGCACGCCCCAAAGCUCCCCCGAUCGGCUACGCCAAGAUUCAUGUGGACGCGGGAGUAAGAGCAAGGAAAGGUGGAUCAGCAGCCGCUGUAUGCCGGGACAGGCAAGGCAAUUUCCUAGGCAGCUCCGCGUUGGUGAUCGCCGGUCUAGAGGACCCAGCCAUACUAGAGACUAUCACUUGUAGAGAGGCAUUGGCGCUGGCGGAAGACCUUAAUCUGCAUAAUUUUGUCGUUGCAUCUGAUUCCAAGCAAACAGUGGCUGACAUCUUAAGUGGAGGCAGAGGCAAGAGUGGUACUAUUAUCCAGGAGAUAAACACUAGAGCAACUCUAUUUCAUUGUAAUUUUUCUUUUGAAGGCCGUGCUGUUAAUGUCGAAGCACAUAGACUAGACAAAUAUUCGCUUAAUAUCGGUCCGGGGCGCCACCUCUGGUUAGGUCAGCCCCAUGACCCGAGUUGUAUCCCACCCAUUGUGGUCUUUGAUGAAUAAAAUUUGGCUUUCCCCUCAAAAAAAAAACUUAUACGUGACAUUUGUGGGUAAUUUGUACGACGUGCCAUAAGAAGAAAUAGCCCCUUUAUUAUUAUUAGCAAAAGUGUCCGUGCGUUGUAACGGGAGAAAUAAAAUCAAAAUCUCCAAUGACCAUGACCAUAUUUUGUUGCAUCACCAAGACACCCCUAUCACUCUCAAUUUCGUGUAAUCAUGAAUAAUUUUUGAAAUCACGAACAUGUUUUAAAAUUAUUACACAUAUUUGAAAUCGUGAACAUUUUUCAAAUUCAUGAACACUUAUACAAAUUUCCGAACAUUUCUAAAAUCAAGAACAUUUUUGGAAUUGAUGAACAUUUUAUACUAUUUGCAAACACUUUUUAAAGAUUCCGAACAUCUUUAUAAACAAUUUUCUUUAAUCGAGGAACAUUUUUAUGGAAAUUGAUGGAACAAUUUUCGAAAUUCACAAACAUUUUUUGAUUUAACUAACAGUUUUUGAAAUACAUGAUCAUUUUUUGAAUCAGUGGACAUUUUCUGAAUGACUAAACUAUGUUGUAAGUCACGAAAUAGUUUUUGAAUUUUAGGAUAUUUCUCCAUUCAUGAACACUUUUUGAAUUGGCUAUUUUUUUCAAUUUCAUUAACAAUUUUUGAUAGAAAAACUUUUUAAAAAAUCAUGAAUUUUAUUUGAUUUCCCAAAAAAUUGUUUUUAAAAUUUUGAACAUUUAUUGUGUAAGCAAUUGUUUUUUACAAAACAGCGACCAUAUUUUAAAUCCACUAACAUUUUAUGAUUUAUGAAAAUUUUAUGUCAAAAUACUCAUUUUUUUAAUUUUCGAAACUUUUUUGAAAUCCCAAACUAUUUAUUGUAGAAAAGAACGAAAACAGGAAAGAAAAAUGAAAAUAGAAAACAAAAUCAAAGAAACAGGCCAGCCUGAAAUGGGCCGGCCCAAACAUACGUGUAGCUUCUUCUCCCAGCGUGCAGAGAGCAUUAUAGGAGGUCCCAACUGCAGGGCCGGCCCAGAUGGGGGAAUUCCCCUGUGUGAAUUUUUUGUAUCACUUAUAUGUGGCAUUGAACUCAUGAAGCAUGCGCUAUCCCUUCCAGCUCGCCGCCAUGUAUGGCUCGGACAACCAGAUGGACUUUCUUUCGUCCAUGUAAACGUUAUGACGAUAUAAUAAAAAGCUUCGGAAUUUGUCUAAAAAGACUUAUAAGUGGCAUUGGUGGGUAAUAUUUUGCAACUUUAGAGGUAAUUCCAUGACGUACCACCAGAAGCACAAUAGCCCCUUUACUAUUAUUAGGUACUCUUUUUUCCUUGUGGAGCUUUGGAAAUGAGAGAAUUUGAAUAUAGUAACUCUCGGAAACUCUUAUUGGAUGAGAGAGAUUUAAUAUGAUAUUGGCAUGGGUUCUACCAACUAACGAAGAAGUAUUUGACUGGAUAAACAGACAAUUUCCUUUAAUGGACGAACAUUUUUAUGAAAAUUGGUGGAAUAACUUGGGAAAUUCAUAAAUAUUUUUUUAGUUAACGAACAUUUUUUUAACUUAACGAACAUUUUUUGAAAUACAUGACCAUUUUUUUGAAUCUGUGAACGUUGUAUGAAUGAAUAAACUAGUUUGUAAGUCAUGAGCAGUUUUUCAAUUUUUAGGAUAUUUUUCCCUUCAUGAACAUUUUUUCAAUUGGUGAAAUUUUGUUCAAUUUCGUUAACAAUUUUUAGUGCACAAACCUUUUUAAAAAAUCAUGAACAUGAUUAUUUACCAAAGAAGCAAAUUGUUUUUUACAAAAUCGUGGACAUUUUUUUAACCCAGAAACAUUUUAUGAUUUAUGAAACAUUUUUUUCAAUACACAAUAUUUUUAAUUUUCGAAUUUUUGUGAAAUCCUAAAUUAUUUAAAGUAGAAAAAUCAAAAACAGAAAAGAGAAAGGAAUAAUAGAAAACAAAGUUAAAGAAUAGGCCGACCGAACAUGGGCCGGCCCAAACGGGCGCACUGUAUCUUCUGCCAGCGCCUAGAGCGCAGUAUAGGAGGUCCCUACUGCAUGGGCCNNNNNNNNNNNNNNNNNNNNNNNNNNNNNNNNNNNNNNNNNNNNNNNNNNNNNNNNNNNNNNNNNNAAGAAAAUAAUGCCUAUGCAUAUGCUUUUAUAUUAUUAUUAUUGUUUCAAAUUUAUUCAUAUAUUAUUUUCAAUUGUACAACCAUAAUUUUUCUUAUCUCUCUCGUUCCACUACAUGCUCCUAGUCAAAGAUUUUUUUAAUAAUGGGUGUUUUUAUUAACUCAAAAUAUAGCAUCAAGCGGAUACAAAACAUAAUGAGCCACACCCGGUCUAUGCAUAACUAAGAUGCACACAGCCAAAAGCAGAAGUCUGACAAAAAUAAGAUAAGAAAAUCGACAUAUCGACAACAGUGAGUCAUAUAGUACCGACACUAUGCCUCUGUCGAAGGAGGUGGUGGAGCGAUCUGGAGAUUAUGCUGCCAUCCAUGUUGAGUAAAUAUCUCCCUGGCCACUUGCUCCAACCGCAUAGACGCCGCCAUGAACAACGGUUGGUACUCCAUUCGGUGUAGCAUACACCAUACUAGAGGCUGGGGCGCCACCUGAGGCGGGCCUAUGCACACUUAUUUUGUCUGGGCAGUUCGGUUGUCAUGUUUGGUCAUCAGUAUCACUUAUGUACAUCAAUAUGGGCGUAUGUUGUAUUGUUUGAGUUCAUUAGGAUCUAUCAGUAUCACAUCAAUCAAACUACAUAUACUAUGUUAUUUGAGUUCAGAACCAUCAUAGGCAAUGAUACGUCUAACAAGGAUAUAUAACAUUUAAUUCAAAAGGAAAGACAAAGUAGAAUUAAGUGCUUCAGAUUGGCCGAAGAAAGGAACCUCAUGAUGCCAUGACUAAGGAACCAAAUAUAAAAGAGCACCUUUCAGAGUACUCCAGAGGUAUGACAUCAUCCAUUUCCACAUCAGAAUCAUCGGAAUUCUCCUGAUCCUCAUUUCGAUGUACCCAACACAAAUGCUACAUGGAUUUUAGUCAGCUGCAAUCCCCACUACUUCUACACUUCCCCUUUUUCACACCGAGGAGCAGAGACUGAUGCAAGUUGAUCGAACACAGAACAACAUAUAAUUGCCUAGAGAUGCGCUGGGCCUGAACAACAACAACAACAACAACCGUUGAGCCAGGUCUCCUUCCAGCAGCCUCAGCAACAAUAUCCAUCAGGCCAGGGCUCCUUCCAGCCAUCUCAGCAAAACCCACAGGCCCAGGGCUCUUUCCAGCCUCAACAACUGCCCCAGUUUGAGGAAAUAAGGAACCUAGCGCUACAGACGCUACUUGCAAUGUGCGAUGUCUAUAUCCCUCCAUAUUGCACCAUUGCUCCAUUUGGCAUCUUUGGUACUAACUGAGAAGAGAAGAACUCUAGUAGUAGAUAUAUGAUACACCGUUUUCUUAGUCCAUGGUUUGGUCGUUGUAGCGGUGAAAAAAUAAAGUGACAUGCACUAUCAUGUAAGAACCCGAACUAUACUAGUUCAAACUUGGGAAUAAAAGACAAACACAGGUCUUGUCUACAUAUGAUUGUUUGUUUGAGUUCCACUCAUGUGCCCAUUCACAAGUUCACCCCUAAUUAUAUAUAUUAUGCAUUAAGUAGAUAUUUAUGUUGCAUUAAUCUAAAGAUAACAAAAUGAGUCUGAAAUUUGAAUUAAAUUGAAGUAUUUCCUUGGACUUUCAAAUGGAGUAUUAUUAAAGUAGUAAGGACUAUCCUCAUCCUUGGCUUGCCCUUGAUCAAUUAUUUCCAGAGAAGCAUUCAAUUCGUCAAUCAAUUACAUUGAUUUUUGCAGCCGGUACUUCUCCUCAACAUGAGUAUAUUCAUCGCGGCUACUCCAAAUCGGCAUGAAUGAGGUACCGGUGCUCUGGAGCACUAGUACCUAACAGCUUCUCAUGUGAAGGGGUGCGGGCACGGGAGAGGUGUUUUUGGUGGGCCAGGGGAGUAAGAAGCGGCCGUGGCAGCGGUGCAGACACCCACAAAGCCCCGUAGUUUGUUUUUCGUUUACAGGAAAAUGCACAUCCAGACCGGCCUGCGGGCCGAUAUAGGACCGUAUUGGAUGGCAAAACAUGUCCGGAUGGUUGCGAGCGGUUUGAGGGUUAGCUUUUGUAACGCCCGGUUAGUUAUGCUAUUGUAAUUCCCUGCUAAUGAUGUCACGUAACCACGAUUACUAUUGUUAACCUCACAAUGAUUCAAUCCCAUUCAAAUUCAAAUUUAAAAUAAAGGCAAACAUCAAAAUUUCCAAACAUUAAAACUUAAAUCUUCGAGAGGUGGAAAAUAAUGCAUAAGUAAUUAUGGUGGAGAAACCACACUUUUAUAAAAUGUUUAAAUACUGUAAAAGAAUAAACAGUGGCUUAAACUAUUAUUUAAAUCCUUUUAAAAUAGUAAAAAUGUUCUAACUAAAUUAAUUGGGUACCAAACUUUUGGUGGCAGUGGUAUAUUUAGUAGAACUAAUUUAGAUGCUAAUUAUAUAAUUUACAAAAUUAAAGUAAAUUGAAAAAUAGGAUAAAACAUAAAAGGAAAGACAAAAUAAAUAAAAGCAAAAGGGGGCAACCCCUCGCUGGGCCUCGGCCUAACUGGCCACUGGGCUAGCUAGGCCGGCCCAGCCGCCUCCCUUAACCCCCCACUCCCCAUCGAACCCUGGCCCGAUCGCCCCACUUCCCCCACACCCCGUCGUCAGCCUCCCCACCUGUCGAUCCCAUCUGGAUCGGGGAGGGGAUCGCCCCCAUCAACCCCGUCGCCGUCUCCGGAUCGCCCGCUCGCCCAUCGCCCGCCGGAGUCGCCGGGCCUCCUCCCUGCCGCCCGUCUCCGGCUCGCCUCCUCUCUCGCUCCUCUUCCCUGACCCAAUCUGGAUCGGGAAGGGGCAAUGCGCCCGACGCCCCCCUUCACCGACGCCGUGCGCCAACACCGCCGCCCGAAGACCUCGCCGUCACCGGACCUCGCGUCGCCUCCUCGUAUCCCUCCCCGCCUCGCCUCAAGCCAUGACGACCCCCUUCUCGGCAACGCUGUGAGCCGCCCCCGUUUCCCUCCUCCUCUUUCCACCGCGUUCACAGCGUCGCCCGCCGUGCCCCUCGCCGCGCGCUCGCCCACCACCGCGCCAGCCCCGGUCCGCGCCCUCUCCUGCAUGCUUGCGUGCGCAUGACCCUAGCCGCGCCUGCGCCGUGAUCCCCUUAUCCNNNNNNNNNNNNNNNNNNNNNNNNNNNNNNNNNNNNNNNNNNNNNNNNNNNNNNNNNNNNNNNNNNNNNNNNNNNNNNNNNNNNNNNNNNNNNNNNNNNNNNNNNNNNNNNNNNNNNNNNNNNNNNNNNNNNNNNNNNNNNNNNNNNNNNNNNNNNNNNNNNNNNNNNNNNNNNNNNNNNNNNNNNNNNNNNNNNNNNNNNNNNNNNNNNNNNNNNNNNNNNNNNNNNNNNNNNNNNNNNNNNNNNNNNNNNNNNNNNNNNNNNNNNNNNNNNNNNNNNNNNNNNNNNNNNNNNNNNNNNNNNNNNNNNNNNNNNNNNNNNNNNNNNNNNNNNNNNNNNNNNNNNNNNNNNNNNNNNNNNNNNNNNNNNNNNNNNNNNNNNNNNNNNNNNNNNNNNNNNNNNNNNNNNNNNNNNNNNNNNNNNNNNNNNNNNNNNNNNNNNNNNNNNNNNNNNACCAAGACCCACAUCCCCUAAUUAACCAUUUAAUAAAUUUAAACUCUUAAAUUAACAUUAGUGUAUGACAUGUGGGUCCCCUAUUAAUUAAACUAAUUUAAUUAAAAUCUAUUAACUUCAAGUCUAUGACAUAUGGGCCCCACUGAACAUUUGACCAGUCAACGGUCCAGUCAAAUGUUGACCGGAUAGUUGACCAGAGGGCCCCACCAGUCAGCCUCUGUGCUGUUCUCCUGGGUACCUUUCUGAGUACACCUAGCAUUUUGCAUUUACAAUAUUUGUUUUAAAAUAAAUUAGAAUAAUUUCAAAAAAAUGAUUGAAACUUUUAAAAUUAAAAAAAAUUAUCCGUAACUCGGAUGAAAUUACUUUAUACAUGGAAGUUGCUCAAAAAAUGAGACGAAUCCUAAUACACAGUCCGUUCUUCUGCCACACGUCCCUAGCAUAGCGAACAUGCAACCACCCCCCUCCGGUUCGACUGUCCGAAAAUGUCAAACACCGGGAAUACUUUUCCGGAUGUUUCCCCUUCACUAGUAGCACCUAGUACCGCGUGAGGCAUACCUAGCACCACUUAUUGUAAUGUCAUGCAUCGUCAUGCAUCUGUUUGCAUUGUAUUCAUUGUUUCUUGCUCCUCUUCUCUCCGGUAGACUACGAGACUGACGCCGGUGCUGCCCCGGUCGAUUACGGUGUCCAUGACCCCUCCUUGUCAGCAGAGCUUCCAGGCAAGCAAACCCCCUUGAUCAUCCCGAUAUCGCCUACUCUUUCCUCUACUGCUUGCAUUAGAGUAUUGUUACUGUUUGUCGGUUUGAUCCUAUACUGCUGCAUGGCCUGUCUUUGAUACUACUUAUGUGUUAUUUGUUAGUACGCUUGGAGAAAAUGCCUUUGAUUAGGGCAUCUUCAACAGCGACCAGUAAAUUUCCUCCCGCGUUCGUCCACGAAUAGGGGAUCAGUCCGCGGACACGGAUACAGGAAUUGGCCAUCCAACAAUGUCCGCAUAUAUUUAAAACACUUAAAAAAUAGGAUGAAAUUCAUGCAAACACAGUGGAUUUCAUACAAACCGGACAAAAAUGUUUACAUUUUGGACAUUUUUUUUUUACUAAAAACUCUACAGCCGGUGCCGGCGAAUAUCCACUCCGGCAACAUGGAUACCCUUGACUAGUCUACUGCCGGCCGCAGCAGAUCUCCAAUGUCGUCCCCAUGUUCGGCAGCUGUGAGCCCUAGAGGUAUAUGCUUCAGCGCAAAGAGCGGCUCGCCUCCUACCGCUCAUCGGAGUGGAACAACCAGUUGAUGCUUCUGCCGAUGGGGAAGGGUCCCUACGCUACACGAAUUAGAGUUGGUUUUGGGUUGGGGGAACGGCGGUGGCCUGUCAGAGGGCAAGACACCGACUGUGUACGCUGGUGUCACCUGGUGUGGCAUUCAUGGGACCCAAGCGGCAGCGCCUCCUCAAUGAUGGCAGCGAGCGCGGACGUGUUGGACACCACCUCGUCGAUGUCCGUGCAGCCCGCUUCUUUCUCUGUAGGAAGGACGCGGUUACGCUCGCGUUGACAUCGGAUGACUCGGUCACAUGCACGAGAGGGGCGGUACAACAUGGCACCGUCAAUGGCAGCCAUGAUGCCCGCGCCACCGUGGUCCCUCCCAGUGCCGACCUGGAGCAACUUGCCACUCCUCGGCUCGUGACCGGCGGGCUUUACGGGCCACCUAGCCAUUUUUUAUGCCAGCCAACUCUUCUUCCUGCUCGUCAGAUGUCAUGGAGAAAACUGUUCAAGGAGGAAAAUGAUGAGUGGACGUGUGAUGCGCUUCUUGCCCAACAUCUGACAUUGUUUAAAUAGCGAGGGGACACGAGAGGAGCCAACCGGCGUUCUGUUCAAUGCCAACUGGCUCGCGAACGAACAUGUGGCCGGAGUAAUUAUCCUGGCACACACGCGGGUUUAAUGGUGGAAGGCGGGCAGUCUGCAGGAAUGAGGUGAGGAUGCGUGUUUAGCCGGCGUGCAGCGGGCAGCGCCCUCGGCCGGCGUGCUGCUUCCAUUGCGGAGGUAGUGAGAGGUCGCGUCCGCUCUGCAGCGCAUGAAUGCGGGCAGCUGGCGCAGAGCGGGAACGCGUGCAUGGUUUGGGUGGGCACGGGUGGUGAGAAGAGGUCAUGGGUGUUGUCCGAACGCCUGGAAAGCCCCCCCUCCAUGUUUGUCUCCGGUUUACGGGAGAAAGUACGUCCGGACCGUUUGAUGGACCAAUACAGGCCCGCAUUGGAUGGCACAACACGUCCGGACCAUGUGGUCCGGAUGGUUGUGGACGGUUUAAUUGAGGGUCGACGUUGGAGAUGCCUUAGAGUUUAUGAAUCCAUUGUGUUUUUUAAUCAUAAAAAGCACUUAUAACAAGUUAUAAGGAAAGACACGUUUAUAUGUUAGGUUCGGACUCCAGCUUUCCUCUUACAUAUGCUUUAUUGUGAUCCGACUGAUUCCAAUAGAGUGAGCCUAGCGUUGUUUUUCUGGAAACUUGCGGGAUAAGGAGACAUGCAUACACAUUCAUUCAAGCAAAUCACAUCCAUUCUUUUUAACUCAUUUUUCUUCUUUUAAUAAUAUAAUAGAUCAUUUAUAUUUUUAUCUCAAACAGUUGACGUGUAAUUUAUACUGUAAUCUGAGGAUAAUGUUUGGAUUUACUUUCAAAUAUAUUUGAAAUGGCCAUGAUGGAAUCACAUCCAUUUAUUUUAUUAUUAUUUGAAUUUGAUCCAAAAGAUAAAUAAUGAGUAGAGGUCAUGUCAACUUUUCUGAGAACUUUGCUAAUCAAAAUAUAAUUUGUAUUUAAAAACAUCUUUUUAGCACGCAUGAAAAACAUAACGCCUAUCUUUUCACACAUGAUGAACGGUUGUCAUAAGAACUCAUGGCAUGCCACAAGCUCCCUCCGACCCUGCCAACAUUGUUACAGCUGCACUCGCAAGCUUUAUCGUAGAUGAUCAUUUAUACGAUUUGCGUAAAUCAAAAUAAGAUCUACAAACGAAUAGAAGCUAGAACGUACCUUGGCAUGCACACACAUUGCAAGCCAUACUAAGCUGAUAAGUGUUAAUAACUUCUACAACAUAUACAACACUUAAGACAAGUAAAAGCAAUUUGAUGAGUCAUGGUCUAUCAAAGGCACAUUACUAGUCUAAUCCAUCUUAACAGGUCACACAUGAUUAAAACCUUGUUUGUGUGCAAGUCAAGCUUAUCUAGUUUACAUGUAACAACUUGUAGAACAUUACAAAAUUUAUGUUUGCUAAUAACCUCUAGAACACUACAACACUUGACAUGUAAAAGGAAUUUGAUGAGUCAUGGCCUACUAAAGCAAGUUAUAUUACUAGUCUUAUCUACCUUAACAGGCCACACAAGAUUACAAACUAAGUUCUGUGCUAGCCAUGCUUAUCUAGUUUAUGCGUAACAAUUUGCAGAAAAUUACAAACUUAGUUUCAGAAAAAUAGGCAAUCUAGAUUAGUGUUUGAGCUGUAAAGUGAAUAAGAUGAGUCAUGUGUGUUAUCACACCUUUUUGGUUGUGGAAUAAUAGUGCAACAACAAGGAACUUUAAUGACCAGUCCAAGAAUACACUUGUAAGUAGUGCCACCGAACACAACAUGCCAAAUUUUGAUUUUGAGAAGCAUCCAAACACUUCCACACAAGCAAAUGCCAAUUGUGAAAGAGAUCAUGCCAUGGCAGCUAUAAAUAGGCCCGUAGCAUGACGAUCAUCCUUCCUCAUCCAUCAUUCUCAUAAGUAGAGCGCAUCAUUUAAGCCAAGCAAGCAGUGCUCAAUACAAAUCCACCAUGAAGACCUUUCUCAUCCUUGCCCUCCUUGCUAUUGUGGCGACCACCGCCACAACUGCAGUUAGAGUUCCAGUGCCACAAUUGCAGCUACAAAAUCCAUCUCAGCAACAGCCACAAGAGCAAGUUCCAUUGGUACAAGAACAACAAUUUCCAGGGCAGCAACAACCAUUUCCACCACAACAGCCAUAUCCGCAGCCGCAACCAUUUCCAUCACAACAACCAUAUCUGCAGCUGCAACCAUUUCCACAGCCGCAACUACCAUAUCCGCAGCCGCAACCAUUUCGACCACAACAACCAUAUCCACAGCCGCAACCACAGUAUUCGCAACCACAACAACCAAUUUCGCAGCAGCAGCAGCAGCAGCAGCAACAACAACAACAACAACAACAAAUCCUACAACAAAUUUUGCAACAACAACUGAUUCCAUGCAGGGAUGUUGUAUUGCAACAACACAACAUAGCGCAUGGAAGCUCACAAGUUUUGCAAGAAAGUACUUACCAGCUGGUGCAACAAUUGUGUUGUCAGCAGCUGUGGCAGAUCCCCGAGCAGUCGCGGUGCCAAGCCAUCCACAAUGUUGUUCAUGCUAUUAUUCUGCAUCAACAACACCACCACCACCAACAACAACAACAACAACAACAACAACAACCGUUGAGCCAAGUCUCCUUCCAACAGCCUCAGCAACAAUAUCCAUCAGGCCAGGGCUUCUUCCAACCAUCUCAGCAAAACCCACAGGCCCAGGGCUCUUUCCAGCCUCAACAACUGCCCCAGUUUGAGGCAAUAAGGAACCUAGCGCUACAGACGCUACCUGCAAUGUGCAAUGUGUAUAUCCCUCCAUAUUGCACCAUUGCUCCAUUUGGCAUCUUCGGUACUAACUGAGAAGAGAAGAACUCUAGUAGUAGAUAUAUGAUACACCGUUUUCUUAGUCCAUGGUUUGGUCGUUGUAGCGGUGAAAAAAUAAAGUGACAUGCACUAUCAUGUAAGAACCUGAACUAUACUAGUUCAAACUUGGGAAUAAAAGACAAACACAGGUCUUGUCUACAUAUGAUUGUUUGUUUGAGUUCCACUCAUGUGCCCAUUCACAAGUUCACCCCUAAUUAUAUAUAUUAUGCAUUAAGUAGAUAUUUAUGUUGCAUUAAUCUAAAGAUAACAAAAUGAGUCUGAAAUUUGAAUUAAAUUGAAGUAUUUCCUUGGACUUUCAAAUGGAGUAUUAUUAAAGUAGUAAGGACUAUCCACAUCCUUGGCUUGCCCUUGAUCAAUUAUUUGCUGAGAAGCAUUCAAUUCGUCAAUCAAUUACAUUGAUUUUUGUGGCUGGUACUUCUCCUCAACAUGAGUAUAUUCAUCGUGGCUACUCCAAAUCGGCAUGAAUGAGGUACCGGUGCUCUGGAGCACUAGUACCUAACAGCUUCUCAUGUGAAGGGGUGCGGGCACGGGAGAGGUGUUUUUGGUGGGUCAAGGGAGUAAGAAGCGGCCGUGGCAGCGGUCCAGACGCCCACAAAGCCUCGUAGUUUGUUUUUGGUUUACAGGAAAAUGCACAUCCAGACUGGCCUGCGGGCCGAUAUAGGACCGUAUUGGAUGGCAAAACAUGUCCAGAUGGUUGUGAGCGGUUUGAGGGUUAGCUUUUGUAACGCCCGGUUAGUUAUGCUAUGGUAGUUCCCUGCUAAUGAUGUCACGUCACCACGAUUACUGUUGUUAACCUCACAAUGAUUCAAUCCCAUUCAAAUCCAAAUUUAAAAUAAAGGCAAACAUCAAAAGUUUCAAACAUUAAAACUAAAAUCUUCGAGAGGUGAAAAAUAAUGCAUAAGUAAUUAUGGUGGAGAAACCACACUUUUAUAAAAUGUUUAAAUACUCUAAAAGGAAUAAAACAGUGGCUUAAACUAUUAUUUAAAUGCUUUUAAAAUAGUAAAAAUGUUCUAACUAAAUUAAUUGGGUACCAAACUUUUGGUGGCAGUGGUAUAUUUAGUAGAAAAAAUUUAGAUGCUAAUUAUAUAAUUUACAAAAUUAAAGUAAAUUAAAAAAUAGGAUAAAACAUAAAAGGAAAGACAAAACAAAUAAAAGCAAAAGGGGGCAACCCCUCACUGAGCCUCGGCCUAGCUGGCCACUAGGCUAGCUAGGCCGGCCCAGCCGCCUCCCUUAACCCCCCACUCCCCAUCGAACAAUAGCCCGAUCGCCCCACUUCCCCCACACCCCCUCGUCAGCCUCCCCACCUCUCGAUCCCAUCUGGAUCGGGGAGGGGAUCGCCCCCAUCGACCCCGUCGCCAUCGCCGGAUCACCCGCUCGCCCAUCGCCCGCCGGCGUCGCCGGGCCUCCUCCCCGCCGCCCGUCUCCGGCUCUCCUCCCCUCUCGCUCCUCUUCCCCGACCCGAUAUGGAUCGAGAAGGGGCAAUGAGCCCGACGCCCCCCUCCACCGACGUUGUGCGCCAGCACCGCCACCCGAAGACCUCGUCGUCGCCGGACCUCGCGUCGCCUCCUCGUAUCUCUCCCCGACUCGCCUCCUCAAGCCACGCCGACCCCCUUCUCGGCAACGCUGUGAGCCGCCCCCGUUUCCCUCCUUCUCUUUCCACCGUGUUUGAUAAGUCUCCAACGUAUCUAUAAUUUUUGAUUGUUCCAUGCUAUAUUAUAUUCUGUUUUGGAUGAUUAAUGGGAUUUAUUAUACACUUUUAUAUUAUUUUUGGGACUAACCUAUUAACCGGAGGCCCAGCCCAAAUUGCUGUUUUUUUGCCUAUUUCAGUGUUUCGCAGAAAAAGAAUAUCAAACGGAGUCCAAACGGAAUGAAACCUUCGGGAAUGUGAUUUUCGGAACAAACGUGAUCCAGAGGACUUGGAGUGGACGUCAAGCAACAGACGAGGAAGCCACGAGGUAGGGGCGCGCCUACCCUCCUGGGCGCGCCCUCCACCCUCAUGGGCCCCUCGUGGCUCCACUGACCUACUUCUUCCUCCUAUAUAUACCUACGUACCCCCAAACCAUCAGAAGCGACCACAAAAACCUAAUUCCACCGCCGCAACCUUCUGUACCCGUGAGAUCCCAUCUUAGGGCCUUUUCCGGCGUCCUGCCGGAGGGGGCAUUGAUCACGGAGGGCUUCUACAUCAACACCAUAGCCUCUCCGAUGAUGUGUGAGUAGUUUACCUCAGACCUUCGGGUCCAUAGUUAUUAGCUAGAUGGCUUCUUCUCUCUCUUUGGAUCUCAAUACAAAGUUCUCCUCGUUUCUCUUGGAGAUCUAUUUGAUGUAACUCUUCUUUUUGCGGUGUGUUUGUCGAGAUCCGAUGAAUUGUGGGUUUAUGAUCAAGAUUAUCUAUGAACAAUAUUUGAAUCUCCUCUGAAUUCUUUUAUGUAUGAUUGGUUAUCUUUGCAAGUCUCUUCGAAUUAUCAGUUUGGUUUGGCCUACUAGAUUGAUCUUUCUUGCAAUGGGAGAAGUGCUUAGCUUUGGGUUCAAUCCUGCGGUGUCCUUUCCCAGUGACAGCAGGGGCAGCAAGGCACGUAUUGUAUUGUUGCCAUCGAGGAUAAAAAGAUGGGGUUUAUAUCAUGUUGCAUGAGUUUAUCCCUCUACAUCAUGUCAUCUUGCUUAAAGCGUUACUCUGUUUUUAUGAACUUAAUACUCUAGAUGCAUGCUGGAUAGCGGUCGAUGUGUGGAGUAAUAGUAGUAGAUGCAGAAUCGUUUUGGUCUACUUGUCACGGACGUGAUGCCUAUAUACAUGAUCAUACCUAGAUAUUCUCAUAACUAUGCUCAAUUCUAUCAAUUGCUCGACAGUAAUUCGUUUACCCACCAUAAUACUUAUGCUCUUGAGAGAAGCCACUAGUGAAACCUAUGGCCCCCGGGUCUAUUUUCCAUCAUAUUAAUCUUCCGUCAACAAGCUAUUUCUAUCUUUAUUUACCUUGUAAUCUUUACUUUUACUCUUUAUCAUAAAAAUACCAAAAAUAUUAUCUUAUCAUCUCUAUCAGAUCUCACUCUCGUAAGUGACCGUGAAGGGAUUGACAACCCCUUUAUCGCGUUGGUUGCGAGGUUCUUAUUUGUUUGUGUAGGUGCGUGGGACUUGAGUGUGGCCUCCUACUGGAUUGAUACCUUGGUUCUCAAAAACUGAGGAAAAUACUUACGCUACUUUACUGCAUCACCCUUUCCUCUUCAAGGGAAAACCAACGCAGUGCUCAAGAGGUAGCAAGAAGGAUUUCUAGCACCGUUGCCGGGGAGUCUACGCACAAGUCAAGACAUACCAAGUACCCGUCACAAACUCUUAUCCCUCGCAUUACAUUAUUUGCCAUUUGCCUCUCGUUUUCCUCUCCCCCACUUCACCCUUGCCGUUUUAUUCGCCUCCUUUUCGUUUGCUUCUUGUUUGCUCGUGUGUUGGAUUGCUUGUUUGUCGCGAUGGCUCUACCUAGAUUUGGUGAUCUUCCAUUAAAAGGUUAGAAGAGAUUGAAAGCAACGUCAGAAGUUUCAUGACUUUACAAUUUGAGCAUAACAAUUUCUUUAGAAACGAGCUUAAGGAACAAAAAAGCUUUAUGGGUUACAUGAAUAAAGAGCUCGACGAUAUGUCUAAGGAAUUUUAUGGUCUAAAAUCUUAGAUUUCUCAUCUCGAAAAAUUAAUUGCUGAAAUUUCGGAUAAGCAGGCCACCUUAGUUAAUAAGAUGGCCGCUAAACCGGUAAUUUUUUAUGAGAAUAAAGAUGAAGAUCUAAAAGUUAUUGAUGUGUCCCCUAUUAAAUCUUAGUUUUGCAAUAUGAAUCUUGAUAAUGAUGGGACUGGAGAUGAGUCAACUUUAGUUAAAAGGCGUCCCAAAAAUUCGGAGUUUUUAGAUCUUGAUGCAAAAUUUGGUAAAAGUGGGAUUGAAGAGGUCAAAACUUUAGAUAUCAAUGAACCCACUAUCUUGGAUUUCAAGGAAUUUAAUUAUGAUAAUUGCUCUUUGAUAUAUUUUAUUUCCUUGUUGCAAUCCGUGUUAAAUUCUCCUCAUGCUUAUAGUCAAAAUAAAGCUUUUACUAAACAUAUCGUUGUUGCUUUGAUGCAAUCUUAUGAAGAAAAACUUGAGUUGGAAGUUUCUAUCCCUAGAAAACUUUAUGAUGAAUGGGAACCUACAAUUAAAAUUAAAAUUAAAGAUCAUGAAUGCUAUGCUUUGUGUGAUUUGGGUGCUAGUGUUUCCACGAUCCCAAAAACUUUGUGUGAUUUGCUAGGUUUCCGUGAAUUUGAUGAUUGUUCUCUAAAUUUGCAUCUUGCGGAUUCCACCAUCAAGAAACCUAUGGGAAGAAUUAAUGAUGUUAUUAUUGUUUCAAAUAGGAACUAUGUGCCCGUAGAUUUUAUUGUUCUUGAUAUAGAUUACAAUCCUUCAUGUCCUAUUAUUUUUGGUAGACCUUUCCUUAGAACGAUUGGUGCAAUUAUUGAUAUGAAAGAAGGAAAUAUUAGAUUCCAAUUUCCGUUAAGGAAAGGUAUGGAACACUUUCCUAGAAAGAAAAUAAAAUUACCUUAUGAAUCUAUUAUGAGAGCUACUUAUGGAUUGCCUACCAAAGAUGGCAAUACCUAGAUCUAUCCUCGCUUUUAUGCCUAGCUAGGGGCGUUAAAUGGUAGCGCUUGUUGGGAGGCAACCCAAAUUUUAUUUUAGUUUUUUUGCUUUUUUGCUUCUGUUUAGGAAUAAAUCUUUGAUCUAGACUCUGGUUAGACUUGUUUUUAUGUUUUAAUUAGUGUUUGUGCCAAGUUAAACCUAUAGGAUCUUCUUGGAUGAUAGUUAUUUGAUCUUGCUGAAAAUUCCAGAAACUUUCUGUUCACGAAAACAAUUGUUAAAAAUCACCAGAACGUGAUAAAAUACUGAUUCUAAUUGCAGUAGAUCAAUAAACAAAUUAUCUAGGUCUUCCUAUUUUGGUAGAUUUUUCUGAGUUACAUAAGUUUGUGUUAGUUACAGAUUACUACAGACUGUUCUGUUUUUGACAGAUUCUGUUCUUCGUGUGUUGUUUGCUUAUUUUGAUGAAUCUAUGGCUAGUAAAAUAGUUUAUAAACCAUAGAUAAGUUGGAAUACAUUAGGUUUAACACCAAUAUAAAUAAAGAAUGAGUUCAAUACAGUACCUUGAAGUGGUGUUUUGUUUUCUUUCGCUAACGGAGCUCACGAGAUUUUCUGUUAAGUUUUGUGUUGUGAAGUUUUCAAGUUUUGGGUAAAGAUUUGAUGGAUUAUGGAACAAGGAGUGGCAAGAGCCUAAGCUUGGGGACGCCCAAGGCACCCCAAGGUAAAUCUAAGGACACCAAAAAUCCAAAGCUUGGGGAUGCCCCGGAAGGUAUCCACUCUUUCGUCUUCGUCCAUCGGUAACUUUACUUGGAGCUAUAUUUUUAUUCACCACAUGAUAAGUGUUUUGCUUGGAGCGUCUUGUAUGAUUUGAGUAUUUGCUUUUUAGUUUACCACAUUCAUACUUGCUGUACACACCUUUUGAGAGAGACACACAUGAUUCAGAAUUUAUUAGAAUACUCUAUGUGCUUCACUUAUAUCUUUUGAGCUAUAUAGUUUUUGCUCUAGUGCUUCACUUAUAUCUUUUAGAGCACGGUGGUGGUUUUGUUUUAUAGAAACUAUUUUUCUCUCAUGCUUCACUUAUAUCAUUUUGAGAGUCCUACAUAACAGCAUGGUAAUUUGCUUAAAUUGAGAAAUUAGUCCUAAUAUGAUAGGCAUCCAAGAUUAGUAAAAACUUUCUUAUAAGUGCGUUGAAUACUAAGAAAAGUUUGAUGCUUGAUGAUUGUUUUGAGAUAUGGAGGUAGUGAUAUUAAAGUUGUGCUAGUUGAGUAGUUUUGAAUUUGAGAAAUACUUGCGUUGAAGUUUGCAAGUCCCGUAGCAUGCACGUAUGGUAAACGUUGUGUAACAAAUUUGAAACAUGAGGUGUUCUUUGAUUGUCCUCCUUAUGAGUGGCGGUCGGGGACGAGUGAUGGUCUUUUCCUACCAAUCUAUCCCCCUAGGAGCAUGCGCGUAGUGCUUGGUUUUUGAUGACUUGUAGAUUUUUGCAAUAAGUAUGUGAGUUCUUUAUGACUAAUGUUGAGUCCAUGGAUUAUACGCACUCUCACCCUUCCAUCAUUGCUAGCAUCUUCGGUACCGUGCAUUGCCCUUUCUCACCUUGAGAGUUGGUGCAAAUUUCGCCGGUGCAUCCAGACCCCGUGAUACGAUACGCUCUGUCACACAUAAACCUCCUUAUAUCUUCCUCAAAACAGCCACCAUACCUACCUGUUAUGGCAUUUCCAUAGCCAUUCCGAGAUAUAUUGUCAUGCAACUUUCCACCGUUCCGUUUAUCAUGACACGUUUCAACAUUGUCAUAUUGCCUUGCAUGAUCAUGUAGUUGACAUCGUAUUUGUGGCAAAGCCACCGUUCAUAAUUUUUCAUACAUGUCACUCUUGAUUCAUUGCCCAUCCCGGUACACCGCCGGAGGCAUUCAUAUAGAGUCAUACUUUGUUCUAGUAUCGAGUUGUAAUCAUUGAGUUAUAAAUAAAUAGAAGUGUGAUGAUCAUCAUUCAUAGAGCAUUGUCCCAAAAAAAGGAGAAAGGCCAAAUGAAAAAAAGGCCCAAAAAAAGGGGCAAUGUUACUAUCCUUUUUCCAUACUUGUGCUUCAAAGUAGCACCAUGGUCUUUAUGAUAGAGAGUCUCUUGUUUUGUCACUUUCAUAUACUAGUGGGAAUUUUUCAUUAUAGAACUUGGCUUGUAUAUUCCCACAAUGGGCUUCCUCAAAUGCCCUAGGUCUUCGUGAGCAAGCAAGUUGGAUGCACACCCACUUAGUUUCUUUUGUUGAGCUUUCAUGCAUUUAUAGCUCUAGUGCAUCCGUUGCAUGGCAAUCCCUACUCCUUGCAUUGACAUCAAUCGAUGGGCAUCUCCCUAGCUCGUUGAUUAGCCGCGUCAAUGUGAGACUUUCUUUUCUUUUUUUCUUCUCCACAUAACCCCCAUCAUCAUAUUAUAUUCCACCCAUAGUGUUAUAUCCAUGGCUCACGCUCAUAUAUUGCGUGAAAGUUGAAUUUUUUUUGAGAUUACUAAAGUAUGAAACAAUUGCUUGGCUUGUAAUCGGGGUUGUGCAUGAUGAGAGCAUUCUUGUGUGACGAAAAUGGGGCAUGACCAAACUAUAUGAUUUUGUAGGGAUGAACUUUCUUUGGCCAUGUUAUUUUGAGAAGACAUAAUUGCUUAGUUAGUAUGCUUGAAGUAUUAUUACUUUUAUGUCAAUAUUAAACUUUUAUCUUGAAUCUUUCGGAUCUGAAUAUUCAUACCACAAAUAAGAGAAUUACAUUGAAAAUUAUGCUAAGUAGCAUUCCACAUCAAAAAUUCUGUUUUUAUCAUUUACCUACUCGAGGACGAGCAGGAAUUAAGCUUGGGGAUGCUUGAUACGUCUCCAACGUAUCUAUAAUUUUUGAUUGUUCCAUGCUAUAUUAUAUUCUGUUUUGGAUGAUUAAUGGGCUUUAUUAUACACUUUUAUUAUUUUUGGGACUAACCUAUUAACCGGAGGCCCAGCCCAAAUUGUUGUAUUUUUUGCCUAUUUUAGUGUUUCGCAGAAAAAGAAAAUCAAACGGAGUCCAAACGGAAUGAAACCUUCGGGAACGUGAUUUUCGGAACAAAUGUGAUCCAGAGGACUUGGAGUGGACGUCAAGGAACAGACGAGGAAGCCAUGAGGUAGGGGGGCGCGCCUACCCCCUGGGCGCGCCCUCCACCCUCGUGGCUCCACCGACCUACUUCUUCCUCCUAUAUAUACCUACGUACCCCCAAACCAUCAGAAGCGACCAUGAAAACCUAAUUCCACCACCGCAACCUUCUAUACCCCUGAGAUCCCAUCUUGGGGCCUUUUCCGGCGUCCUGCCGGAGGGGGCAUUGAUCACGGAGGGCUUCUACAUCAACACCAUAGCCUCUCCGAUGAUGUGUGAGUAGUUUACCUCAGACCUUCGGGUCCAUAGUUAUUAGCUAGAUGGCUUCUUCUCUCUCUUUGGGUCUCAAUACAAAGUUCUCCUCGUUUCUCUUGGAGAUCUAUUUGAUGUAACUCUUCUUUUUGCGGUGUGUUUGUCGAGAUCCGAUGAAUUGUGGGUUUAUGAUCAAGAUUAUCUAUGAACAAUAUGUGAAUCUCCUAUGAAUUCUUUUAUGUAUGAUUGGUUAUCUUUGCAAGUCUCUUCGAAUUAUCAGUUUGGUUUGGCCUACUAGAUUGAUAUUUCUUGCAAUGGGAAAAGUGCUUAGCUUUGGGUUCAAUCUUGCGGUGUCCUUUCCCAGUGACAGCAGGGGCAGCACGGCACAUAUUGUAUUGUUGCCAUCGAGGGUAAAAAGAUGGGGUUUAUAUCAUAUUGCAUUAGUUUAUCCCUCUACAUCAUGUCAUCUUGCUUAAAGCGUUACUCUGUUCUUACGAACUUAAUGCUCUAGAUGCAUGCUGGAUAGCGGUCGAUGUGUGGAGUAAUAGUAGUAGAUGCAGAAUCGUUUCGGUCUACUUGUCACGGACGUGAUGCCUAUAUACAUGAUCAUACCUAGAUAUUCUCAUAACUAUACUCAAUUCUAUCAAUUGCUCGACAGUAAUUCGUUUACCCACCGUAAUACUUAUGCUCUUGAGAGAAGCCACUAUUGAAACCUAUGGCCCCCGGGUCUAUUUUCCAUCAUAUUAAUCUUCCGUCAACAAGCUAUUUCUAUCUUUAUUUACCUUGCAAUCUUUACUUUUACUCUUUAUCAUAAAAAUACCAAAAAAAAUUAUCUUAUCAUCUCUAUCAGAUCUCACUCUCGUAAGUGACCGUGAAGGGAUUGACAACCCCUUUAUCGCGUUGGUUGCGAGGUUCUUAUAUAUUUGUGUAGGUGCGUGGGACUUGAGUGUGGCCUCCUACUGGAUUGAUACCUUGGUUCUCAAAAACUGAGGGAAAUAAUUACACUACUUUACUGCAUCACCCUUUCCUCUUUAAGGGAAAACCAACGCAGUGCUCAAGAGGUAGCAGUGUUCACCGCGCCGCCCGCCGUGCCCCUCGCCGCGCGCACGCCCACCACCGCGCCAGCCCCCGCUCAGCGCCCUCUCCUGCACGCUUGUGCGCGCAUGACCCUAGCCACGCCCGCGCCGUGAUCCCCUUGUUCGGCCCGCCUUCGUCCCGCGCUCGCCGCGGCCCCCAUGCUCCCCCGUGCCAUCUUCUAGGGGCGUCGGCUGCCCCUGUCCCGCUGCUCGCUGCCACGCCUCGCCCGCCCGCGCCUCGCCACCGCUCUACUGCUACGCUAAUAUUGCGCUGUGGCCGCCGCCGCUUCCCGCUGCUCUGCCAGCGCCGAAGCUCCCGGUUGGCUCCGCCGCUGCUCACGUUUUACCGCCCCUAAACGGCCUACCCCCCCCCUCGCUAAUGAACCCCCACUGACCCGCUGACACCGGGACCCACAUCCCCUAAUUAACCAUUUAAUAAAUUAAAAAUCUUAAAUUAACAUUAGUGUAUGACAUGUGGGUCCCCUAUUAAUUAAACUGAUUUAAUUAAAAUCUAUUAACAUUGAGUCUGUGACAUAUGGGCCCCACUAAACAUUUGACCAGUCAACGGUCUAGUCAAAUGCUGACCGGACAGUUGACCAGAGGGCCCCACCAGUCAGCCUCUGUGCUGUUCUGCUGGGUACCUUUCUAAGUACACCUAGCAUUUUGCAUUUACAAUAUUUGUUUUAAAAUAAAUUAGAAUAAUUUCAAAAAAAGAUUAAAACUUUUAAAAUUAAAAUAAAAUAAUCCGUAACUCGGAUGAAAUUACUUUAUACAUGCAAGUUGCUCAAAAAACGAGACGAAUCCGAAUACACAGUCCGUUCGUCUGCCACACGUCCCUAGCAUAGCAAACAUGCAACCAUCCCCCUCCGGUUCGACUGUCCGAAAAUGUCAGACACGGGAAAUACUUUUCCGGAUUUUCCCCUUCACCAUUAGCACCUAGUACCGCGUGAGGGCAUACCUAGCACCACUUAUUGUAAUGUCAUGCAUCGUCAUGCAUCUGUUUGCAUUGUAUUCAUUGUUUCUUCCUCCUCUUCUCUCCGGUAGACUACGAGACCGACGUCGGUGCUGCCCCGGUCGACUACGGUGUCCAUGACCCCUCCUUGUAAGCAGAGCUUCCAGGCAAGCAAACCCCCUUGAUCAUCCCGAUAUCGCCUACUCUUUCCCUCUACUGCUUGCAUUAGAGUAUUGUUACUGUUUGUCGGUUUGAUCCUAUACUGCUGCAUGGCUUGUCUUUGAUACUACUUAUGUGUUAUUUGUGUAGAUUUGUCAAGGAAAAAUGAGUCUAUAGCCUAAUAAAUGAAGUGUUGCAUGUUACCACACAUAUGUUAAUCCCCACUAUAGAGUUAGUAACAUAGACUAGUAACAUGUGCAUGUUACUACCCAUUGUGGCCAGUCUAUGUUACCACUUUCCUCUCUUUCUUCAUUUAUUGCUUGCCACAUCAUCUAUUUUAUCUAGGUAUGUGUGAUAUUACUACCUAUGUUACUCCCACUGUGGGUAGUCUAAGCAGGCUAUAAGGAAUAGAAUAAUAUAUAUGUGCUUAUUAGUUGGAGGAAAGAGAAGAGAAGCGGGCUCUUGGUUAGUAGAGCCAGCUACAACAUGAGACCCAAGCACUUUGUGAGGAUGUAAGGUGGCCAACUAUUGAUAAACUAGUACGUAUAUAAAAAUUAUUAUUGCACAUGGCCGCUAAGAGGUUGGCUGUAUAUGACAUGACAACUUCUUAUAGCCGACCCUUGGCUGUAUUAUUAACCAUGCUCUUAGUGAGGUAGCUAGUAUAUCAUAGACGACUAGCUAGUAUCAGACUAGCCAAAGUGGGAGUAACUUCAGCAGUAACAUCGACUCCAACUCAGAAAACUUGCUUAUGUGGGAGUAAACCGUGCCCAAUGCAAAAUACAAUCCCAGUCAUAAUUUUUUCAGGAAACGUGUGGUAUCCCAAACGAAAAGUACAUGUCACUCUUGCGGCAACGAUACCCAAUAAAUCACAAACGGUCUGCAGCACUUGUAUGUGUGCGAAGAGGCUCCUGAACCGUUUGUGAUAGAACAUUAUCGUAGACGAUAAUUGUUGGCAAACGUGUGCGAUGGAGUCUAGCAUGGCAGACAGGUUACGCAGAAAACUCGUGUGCGAUGGGGCACAAAUCGCACACAGUUCAUAUGUUGGCCCGUGUGCCUUACAUACUAUUUCCCAAACGGUUUGUUACGACAGACCGUAUGGUUUCAGUGCGUCAUUAGAAACGCUUAAUCACCGAUACCACACGUGCGAAAGAAUUUAGUGUGUGCUUCAUCGCACACGAUUACAUUUUGGAAGGCCUCUGGAUCACUGCUCCAUAUCCCCGACGGUUUCUGGGUCGUGUGGGAAGUACACCCUAUCGCACACACUCACUUGGCGACGGUUCCAAAUGCCAUCGCGGAAAGGGGUUGAAAACAGUUUGUUUAGAACCGACGCGUACCAUUGUCUAUCUAUCUAUCUACCUAUCUAUCUAUCUAUCUAUCCAUCCAUCUAUCUAUCUAUCCAUCUAUCUAUCCACCUAUCCAUCUAUCCAUCUAUCUAUCUCUAUCCAUCUAUCUAUCUAUCCAUCUAUCCAUCUAUCUAUCCAUCUAUUUAUCUAUCUAUCUAUCUAUCUAUCUAUCUAUGUAUCCAUCGAUCCAUCUAUCCAUCCAUCGAUCCAUCUAUCCAUCCAUCUAUCUAUCCAUGCAUCCAUGUAUCCAUCUAUCGAUCUAUCCAUCUAUCCAUAUAUCGAUCUAUCCAUCUAUCUAUCCAUCUAUCCAUCUAUCCAUCUAUCGAUCUUUCCAUCUAUCGAUCUAUCCAUCUCUUCAUCUACCCAUCUAUCCAUCUAUCCAUCUACCGAUCUAUCUAUCCAUCUAUCUACCUACCUAUCUAUCUAGCUAUCUAGCUAUCUAUCUAUCUAUCCAUCCAUCUGUCCAUCCAUCCAUCUAUCUACCUACCUACCUACCUACCUACCUACCUAUCUAUCUAUAUAUCUAUCUAUCUAUCUAUCUAUCUAUCUAUCUAAAGGAAAUAUGCCCUAGAUGCAAUAAUAAAGUUGUUAUUUAUAUUACUUAAACUAGCAGAGUCACCCGCGCAUUUGCGCGGCUAGAUUGACUACAUAUAUUGUUAUAUUUGGGAUUAUUUUUCUAUGCCAACUUUAUGGCCUCUUACUCAGAUAUUAUCUAAUUUAAUUUACCACCACCAUAUGUUAUAUCCAUAGAUUAUAAUUAAAAGGCAACUUGCGACGAAACAUGGUCAGAUUAUUGAGUGCUCAGAAGACGGGCGCAAUAUCAUAUAUAGACUUCUAUACCAAUCUUCAUGGUUCCCAUCUUUGAUCCUCUCCUCGUCCCUUGGUAUCUAUCUUUGCACCCAAUAUGUCUUUGGAGUUCCAAGAAUUGGAUCUUAGCAUGAAUGGCUUCAAAGUGUACCAAAUGUUCUCUUGUUCCUCCCAAAUUAAUUACUGGUUGCAUUCUUAGUUGCUUUGACAUUCUUGGUUAAUGCAAUGUCUUGCCUACCAAUAUAUGCAUCCACACACGAUCAUAUUUAUAUGACCACUUACCUCUGUAUUCUGGUAUUUGUGCUUCAGAAUUUUUCUCUCAUUCAGUUUAUUCAUAGAUUAGAAACGUCGAUCGUUUCUUUAUUGGUUUGCAUUAUCUUGUUUGCCGAAUGUAAGCAUCCACACAUGCUCGUCAUGAUAUGAUUGGUCAUCAUUGUAUAUUUGUAUUUGUGUGUUGAUAGCUUAAGGAUUUUCUCGGAUUCACUUCAUAGUUUAAGGAUUUUCUCGCGUUCAAUUUAUUCUACCUUAUUCAUUUUCAUGUUUCUUUAUUGUAUUCAUAUCCAUUCUUACAAUAUAUUUUCCAAGAUAUGAACUCAACUACUAAUUACGUAGUUUUCAAUGAAAUUUUACAUGUAAAAGUGGUACAAAUGCAUAAACCCAAUUUUUUUUUAAACACGUUGACUUACAAAAAGGACAAUUCAAGCUGCAUGUACGUCCGACUCAUGUUUACCUGACAAUGUCGAUGUUGAUUUCAGCAGUAAAUGAGCUGUGUGUGACCUUUGCGCUUUCCGGUAUUCUUCUAACCUGUGUGCUUUAUGAUCAGUUUGUUGUGCUUAGUACUGGACACUGGAGUAUACUAUCAUAUUUGAUACAAACAAAUCCGAACUGCUAUAGUUAUGAUCCACUGUAUAGUUAAUGGUGGUGGUAAUUAAUAUAUGUGGUUAAAUACUUGCGCUCCUUAGGUGGGGAGUUGGAUUUGUAUUUGUCUAAAAUGAAUUUCAGAUUUCGUAUCAGUGGUGAAGCCAGCCGGAAGAACCUCUGCGUCAUUAUUAAUUUUGGUGAUAUUUUUCAUCAUAGUGUAGAAUAAUUUUAGUGCUUAUUCCGCAAAAAAAUGGCCUCAACUGACCCCAUAGCUUGUAUGUUGCGCCACCACUGUUUCGUAUAUCUUAUUACAUCCGUUGUUUUUAGAUCUUGAUGCAUAACUUUGACAAUUUUUAAUAGAUAUGUGUCUGUAUAAAAAAAUUAUAAAUGCUAUGAUAAUUUGAUUAAUUAUGAUGAAUAAAAUGGUAUUGCUUUGACUUGAUCCCUCUAACAAUUUAUAGGAAUGCUCUUAAAUAUUUCUGCUUCAUUUGAUCUCAUUAUAGCCUGCCUAAAUUACAUGGCUUAAUCGCCUUUUUUCUUUUAUCUUAGUUCAUUUCCGUAAAUUCAUUUGUACUAUAUAUGCUCCCGUAAAUUCAUUUUUUUAAUUGCUCACAUUUUUUUGAGGCAUUUUGAGUUUCUCACGUACGCUCAAACGCCCAAGAAAACACAUAUAGUGUUCGCUACGCCCAAGAAAACACAUUGAGGCAGUAAUUUCUUCAGGCAAGAUCGAUCGGCAGCUAAUUAAGUAGGCUGGAUGGCAUUGAGAAAUCCAAAAACGAUUUACAUACACAUGGUAGAUCGUCUCUCUCUCUCCUUCCACCCCUUCCUUUCAUGGCCAUCGUAGACUGCACCAUGUGGCAUUCAAACUUUUAUCAAGGGGAGAGUUUCCUCACACACACACACACACAUGCACAUACGCAAGCACACGCACACACGUGUAGUACAAACUUAGAAUUUUUGGAAAUAAUGGGAGGCCGAGCAACGGCCAUGUGAAAAUAUGAGGUAUAUAGCUUGUGGAUUUCCUUUCAGUGUACAAGGCCUGCAUGAGGAAUGGAUAAAAAAUUAUAUCUUUGAUUCCCUUAGUUAAAUCUUAUCCUUCAUCGUCAAUUAUGACUAAGCAUACAUAGUAACCGCUAGUUUCUCUUAUAUGCUUCCGAGAAGAUAAGACUGGAUAUUUUAGUUGCUAUUAAUUGUUUCCCUUCUUUCGCUAAAUAGUAGUCAAACAUGUUAUUAAUGUAUUUUGUAAGGAUAAGGUCGAGCAUCAUGGCCACUAUGUUCUAUAUAUACUGAAUUUGGUGUUCAGUAUGACAUAACAAACACAUAUUGUGAGAAGGAGUAGUGUACAUUGUUCUCUAGUGCACUUUGUUCAGCAAGUUGGGUGAAAAUGUUGAAUAGAACCAUCAAGUUUUCAUACUUUUUUUCAUGGCACAGGUUUGCCUUCUCAUGAUGAUGGCCGCACCGUUUGCACAAGCUGCUGGGAGGCCUGUGGCCUCCUUACCAUGGGUAGCGGGGUGUUGCCCGAGGAACUAUUUGUGUUGUGGUGUUGGUGCCGUUGCCCCGACAUCCCAUGCAUCACAGGCCACCUCUGUACCUUGAGUUAUGGUUUCGCCUGAUCUCCUCUCAUAACAUAGUUGAUAUAACAUAGUAGCAUCACAAAGGUUGCAUGGUUUCAUUGAUUCAUCUCUUUUCUACUCCUUGAAACUUGUGAUGCCACUUUUGAACAAUGUCAUUGCUAUGUCUUCUUAUAACUAAUAAAAUGGGAGGAUAUUUUCAUCUUAUUUGAAUUGUGUUGUAACAUUACCUACUAAUGUGGAUGAUCUGAGUGGGACUACAUAGAUCGGAUCUUCUAAAGAUGUAAUCUAGGACUUUGCGAGAUGAUGAAAUUGUCCUUUAUCUUGGUCGACACCUUUUCGUAGAAGUGUUGGUCGGCCGUCUGUGUCUUUUUGCGGUGCAUGCCGUAGAAUCCUCCAUGUUUUGUAGUUGUACAAUAACCUUUGAGGCAACCGGGGGUGGUACGUCUGAGGAAGUCGGUGGCCCAGGAAUAUUCAUAAUAAGAUCUUGACCAUGGAUGCCAAGUAAUUUGCCCCGUGCUGAUGUCGUCGGGCUGACCCGCUCACUUAUGUUUUGACUCAAGGAGUCGCUAUGUUCACCGAGUCGCGAGACAGCGGGAGGAAGGAGACGAAGGUCCCAAACGUCAGACCAAAAAGGUGGACUAGGGCUCGCCCUAGUUGUGCUCUCGGGUAUUUUCAGUUACUAGUAGGAGUAAGAAGCAUUGCAAAUUGCUCCCUCUGUUCAAUCCGUAUAUAUGUAGUCCAUAUUCAUAUAUUCAAAAUAUUUUAUAUUUGUGAACGAAGGAAGUAAUUAAUUGUAAUGCAACAAUUUCAGGGGAGGCCAGUCAACAGCUAACUAAAUGUGCUGGAUGAGACUGGAGAAAUGUAUAAACGAUUUACACAUGAUAGAACUACUCUUUUCUUGUUAAGAAAUGGAAGAAUGGAUGAUUUUAUCCGUUCGGAACAAAACCCAAUAUUCAUCCAGUUAGACGUUGUUCUGAAUUGUGACGCUUUUGAAAGUUUUCUCGCAGAAAUAUGUGUGUAUUCCAGUUGUAUCAUUAGCAAACCAAGGUUGUAUAUAUUAUAGCACAAAGAAUGUUUGGUUGAUUCGUUCAGGCGAAUCGGGUUUGUUGCUGACUGCCAAAGUCAGGCCAACUCCAGCGCACGACCCCAAACGGACAUCUGUUUUGCCUGGAUUCUGCCCGUUUGGAUAGGGCAAUGGGGUCGUGUCCGGGCCUGUCCUGUGAUGCGGUGGCCGUGCGCACAACGUGCGGACGCAUCCUUUGGCCUCAUCAUGUCCGCCACGGCCAAAAAUGCCCAUAUAUUCAUAUUUCAAUGUUCAAAACUAGUUUGCACGUUCAAAUAUUAAUUGUCUGAAAAUAAAAAUAGUUAUUACAACCCAAUCAAAAUUGUCUCUAAUAAAAUAGUUUUACAACCAAAUCGAAAUUGUCUUGAAUGAACAUAAUGAACCAAUACAUCUAUUGGUUGCCAAUGUGAUUCCACAUGUGCUCAACCAAGUCAUUUUGAAGAUCCAAAUGAGUGUGCCAAUCAUGCAUUUCACGAUGAAAUUGGGCAAACUUCUCAAACGUGGCCGGUUCUUGGUGCAGGGGCUGAACAUUUUCACCUUGAAAAUCAAAUCCUUGGUCGAAGAUGCUGUUAUCAUGCUCGUCCUCGAUGAUUAUGUUGUGCAUGAUCACACAAGCAGUCAUCACCUCCCGAAGCUUCCCUUCAUCCCAUGUCAAUGCAGGGUUUCAAACGAUACCCCAUCGGGAUUGAAGCAAACCAAAAGCACGUUCCACAUCCUUCCUAGCACUCUCUUGCAUUUGGGCAAAUCUCUUUCUCUUCUCACCUUGGGGGUUCGAGAUUGUCUUCACAAAAAGUUGACCACUGAGGAUAUAUACCAUCAGCUAGGUAGUAUCCCUUGUUAUACUGGUGGCCGUUGAUCUCAAAGUUGCCAGGUGGGGAGUGGCCUUCUGCAAGCCUUGCGAAGACUGGAGAACGCGGCAGCACGUUGAUAUCAUUGUGAGAACCUGCCAUGUCGAAGAAAGAAUGCCAUAUCCAAAGAUCUUGCGAAGCCACCGCUUCUAAUAUGAUAGUGCAAGCUUUAACAUGCCCCUUGUACUGGCCCUGCCAAGAAAAUGGACAGUUCUUCCACUCCCAGUGCAUACAAUCUAUGCUACCAAUCAUGCCUGGAAAGCCUCUAGCUGCGUUGGUCGCCAACAAGCUUUCUGUAUCAGUGGCAUUUGGCUGCUGAGGGAGUCCUGGAUUAAGGGGUCCUCGGGCGUCUGGGCUAUGUAACAUGGGCUGGACUAAUGGGCCGCGAAGAUACAAGAUGGAAGGCUUUCCCCCCAUGUCCGGAUGGGACUCUCCUUGGCGUGGAAGGCAAGCUUGGCAUGCGGAUAUUAAAGAUUCCCUUCCCUGUAAACCGAGUCUGUACAACCCUAGCCCCCUCCGAUGUCUAUAUAAACCGGAGGGUUUAGUCCGUAGAGGCAAGGAUAAUCAUACAGGCUAGAUAUCUAGGGUUUAGCCAUUACGAUCUCGAGGUAGAUCAACUCUUGUAAUCCCUAUACUCAUCAAAGUCAAUCAAGCAGGAAGUAGGGUAUUACCUCCAUUAAGAGGGCCCGAACCUGGGUAAACAUCGUGUCCCCUGCCUCCUGUUACCCUCUAUCCUUAGACGCACAGUUCGGGCCCCCCUAUCCGAGAUCCGCCGGUUUUGACACCGACAGCUGCCUCAAGUACUCAGGGCCAAACACUGCCACCACAGCCUUGUAGAAUUUGUAAAGUGACAACAGACAUGUCGACUCACUCAUGCGCACGUACUCAUCCACCAGAUCGCCUGGAAUUCCAUAUGCAAGCAUGCCGAUGGCCGCGGUGCACUUCUGGUAAGAGGAGAAUCCAAGCUUGCCAAGGGCAUCCGUCUUGCACUCGAAGUAUGGGUCAUGAGCAACCACUCCCUCUCGGAUACGAUUGAACAGAUGCCUUGCCAUACGAAAACGGCGACGGAAUUUAUUCGGCUUGAAGAGCGAGGUAUUCGCAAAGUAAUUGGCAUAGAGCAAGGCGUGGCCUCUCUCUCUAUUGCGUUUCAGGUUGGGAGCACGGCCAGGGACUGACCCCAUGUACCGAGGAAGCUGCCCAAUGUGAUCGUGAACGACCAGUGCAACCACCACCAGAUCUUCGUCAUCCGAGGACGAAUCAUCCGAUGAAUAAAUGAAGUGGUGGAAGAAAAAUUCAUCUCCACUGUCCAUACCUUUGUGGGCAAAGUGUCCAACACCUUGCGGUCGUGGUGGCAAAUAGGCCGCGAUGAUCAUCUCGAUGCAGCAGGGGUGGUUGGCGGCCGGCUACUGGCCGCUAUGGAGCACCUGGCGAAAGCUGCCGUGGUCCAUAUCCGUCGCCGGUGGUCGUAUCCCCUCUGGCACCGGCUACAACGACGACGGCCAAAUCUCCUCCAAGCGAUGGCCAGAACUCCUACGAAAGCGCGGGCUUGGUGGCGGCCGUGUCGAGACGUGGUUUGGUAUGGAUGGCCGGGGGGAAGCAGUGAGGAGGCGGUCGGAGAAUACUGGGGGCGCCGGUGGCGGGGUGGGGCGGAGGAGAGCGGGUGGAGGCGUUGGAGGCGAAUGGAGUGCUAGUGUCCCCAACAGGCGGGCCGCGGGGAGGACAAGGGCGUGUGUCCAGCCCGUCCGUGUGAUGUCCGUUUCAUCCCAAACUCGGCACAAGUUUGGGCCAGGAAUGGGUAAAAAACGGACGAAAUCCGGACAUUUGUCUAUUUGAGGCCGUGCCUUGGGUCGCGCUAUUCGUGUAUUCUACCCUAAACGGACGCACCAGAACGGAAUGGGGUCGCGUGCUGGAGUUGGCCUCACGACCGUUUCUGCCUUUGGCGCAGACAAGAGAUUCUACACUGUAAAGGAAAAAGCUGAAAGCUCGCUUGUCUCGUGUGUUUCUCUUCUCUUGCACCUUGUCGGAAAACAGCGUGCACCAGGGACGCUCGAUUCCAUGGCAGGCAUCAAUUCAAUCGAUCAUGCUACAGGGAACCGGCACUAUUUUCUUUUUCUUUUUCUUUUUCUUUUAGGUCGUGAACGCAAGUCAUUUGAGACAUUCACAUAGGACUUACAUAAUUGGUAGAUUUAUUAGCAUCAGUGUGGAGCUAAAGUGUUUGAUGUUUUGUAUGAAUGGUUUGGUCUUAACAAUCAAGCCGACCACUCAGGACCUACUUUUGGACUUUUUUUUUGUAUUAUUGUAUACUAGCAAAAGGGCCCGUGCGCGGAGAAAAAAAUUAUAAUCUUGAAUGACCAUGAUCACAUUUUUUUGCAUCACCGAGAUACACUAUCACUUUCAAUUUCGGGAAAUCAUGUACAUUUUUUAAACUUGUGAACAUUUUUCAAAUUCUUGAACACUUUUACAAAUCUGCAAACAUAUUCUAAAAUCAAGAACAUAUUUUGAAUUCAUGAACAUUUUAUAGUAUUUACAAACAUUUUUAGAAAUUACGAAUUCUUUUUAACAACUUUCUUGAAUAGGCAAACAAUUCUAAAAUGGACGAACAUUGUUUUAUAAAUCGGUGGAACAAUUUUUGAAAUUCACGAACAUUUUUUUGAUUUUACAAACAUUUUUUGAAAUGCAUGAUCAUUUUUGUAUAAACUAUUUUGUAUGUCACGAACAGAUUUUCAAAUAUUUGGUUAUUUCCCCAUUCAUGAACAUUUUUUGAAUGGUGAUAUUUUCUUCAAUUUCAUUAACAUUUUUUAUACACCAAUUUUUAAAAAGUCAUGGACGUAUUUUGAUUUCAUGAACAUUUGUUUUCAAAAUUUCGAACAUUUUUCGAGUCAGAUUCUUUAAUAAAAUUGCAAAUAUUUUUUGAAUACAUAAACAUUUUAUGAUUUAUUAAAACUUUAUUUGAAAAUUAUUUUUAAAUUUCAAAUAUUUUGUGUAUUCCGAAUUUAGUUAAAGCAGAAAAAACGGAAAAGGAUAAAAAAGGAAAUGUUAAAAACAGGCCGCCCGGACAUGGGCGGCCCAAACAGGCGGGCCGCGCCUUAUCCCUACGCGCAGAGCCCAGUAUGGGAGGUCGCUACUACAUGGCCCAGUCCAGACGUGGAUUCCCUGUGUGAAACAUUUAUAUCACUUAUACAUGACAUUUGUGGGUAAUUUGUACGACGUGCCAUAAGAAGAAAUAGCCCCUUUAUUAUUACUAGCAAAAGUGUCCGUGUGUUGUAAUGGGAGAAAUAAAAUCAAAAUCUCCAAUGACCAUGACCAUAUUUUGUUGCAUCACCCAGACACCCUAUCACUCUCAAUUUCAUGAAAUCAUGAAUAAUUUUUGAAAUCACGAACAUGUUUUAAAAUUAUUACUCAUAUUUGAAAUUGUGAACAUUUUUCAAAUUCAUGAACACUUAUACAAAUUUUCGAACAUUUUCUAAAAUCCAGAACAUUUUUGGAAUUGAUGAACAUUUUAUACUAUUUGCAAACACUUUUUAAAGAUUCUGAACAUCUUUAUAAACAAUUUUCUUUAAUCGAGGAACAUUUGUAUGGAAAUUGACGGAACAAUUGUCGAAAUUCACAAACAUUUUUUGAUUGAACUAACAUUUUUUGAAAUACAUGAUCAUUUUUUGAAUCAGUAGACAUUUUCUGAAUGACUAAACUAUGUUGUAAGUCACGAAAUAGUUUUUGAAUUUUAGGAUAUUUCUCCAUUCAUGAACACUUUUUGAAUUGGCUAUUUUUUUCAAUUUCAUUAACAAUUUUUGAUACAAAAACUUUUUAAAAAUCAUGAAUUUUAUUUGAUUUCCCAAAAAAUUGUGUUUAAAGUUUUGAACAUUUAUUGUGUAAGCAAUUGUUUUUUACAAAACAGCGACCAUAUUUUGAAUCCACAAACAUUUUAUGAUUUAUGAAAAUUUUAUGUCAAAAUACUCAUUUUUUAAAUUUUCUAAACUUUUUUGAAAUCCUAAACUAUUUAUAGUAAAAAGAACGAAAACAGGAAAGAAAAAUGAAAAUAGAAAACGAAAUCAAAGAAACAGGCCAGCCUGAAAUGGGCCGGCCCAAACAUGCGUGUAGCGUCUUCUCCCAGCGUGCCGAGAACAUUAUAGGAGGUCCCUACUGUAGAGCCGGCCCAGAUGGGGGAAUUCCCUUGUGUGAAUUUUUUGUAUCACUUAUAUGUGGCAUUGAACUCAUGAAGCAUGCGCUAUCCCUUCCAGCUCGCCGCCAUGUCUGGCUCGGACAACCAGAUGGACUUUCUUUCGUCCCUGUAAACGUUUUGAUGAUAUAAUAAAAAGCUUCGGAAUUUGUCUAAAAAAACUUAUAAGUGGCAUUGGUGGGUAAUAUUUUGCAACUUUAGAGGUAAUUCCAUGACGUACCACCAGAAGCACAAUAGCCCCUUUACUAUUAUUAGGUACUCUUUUUUCCUUGUGGAGCUUUGGAAAUGAGAGAAUUUGAAUAUAGUAACUCUCGGAAACUCUUAUUGGACGAGAGAGAUUUAAUAUGAUAUUGGCAUGGGUUCUACCAACUAAACGAAGAAGUAUUUGACUGAAUAAACAGACAAUUUCCUUUAAUCGACGAACAUUUUUAUGAAAAUUGGUGGAAUAACUUUUGAAAUUCAUAAAUAUUUUUUGAGUUAACGAACAUUUUUUGAAAUACAUGACCAUUUUUUUGAAUCUGUGAACGUUGUAUGAAUGAAUAAACUAGUUUGUAAGUCAUGAGCAGUUUUUCAAUUUUUAGGAUAUUUUUCCCUUCAUGAACAUUUUUUCAAUUGGUGAAAUUUUGUUCAAUUUCAUUAACAAUUUUUAGUGCAUAAAACUUUUUAAAAUCAUGAACAUUAUUAUUUACCAAAGAAGCAAAUUGUUUUUUGCAAAAUCAUGGACAUUUUUUGAACCCACAAACAUUUUAUUAUUUAUGAAACAUUUUUUUAAUACACAAUUUUUUUAAUUUUCGAAUUUUUGUGAAAUACUAAAUUAUUUAAAGUAGAAAAAUCAAAAACAGAAAAGAGAAAGGAAUAAUAGAAAAGGAAGUUAAAUAAUAGGCCGACCGAACAUGGGCUGGCCCAAACGGGCGCACUGCAUCUUCUNNNNNNNNNNNNNNNNNNNNNNNNNNNNNNNNNNNNNNNNNNNNNNNNNNNNNNNNNNNNNNNNNNNNNNNNNNNNNNNNNNNNNNNNNNNNNNNNNNNNNNNNNNNNNNNNNNNNNNNNNNNNNNNNNNNNNNNNNNNNNNNNNNNNNNNNNNNNNNNNNNNNNNNNNNNNNNNNNNNNNNNNNNNNNNNNNNNNNNNNNNNNNNNNNNNNNNNNNNNNNNNNNNNNNNNNNNNNNNNNNNNNNNNNNNNNNNNNNNNNNNGUAUUAUUAUUGUUUCAAAUUUAUUCAUAUAUUAUUUUCAAUUGUACAACCAUAAUUUUUCUUAUCUCUCUCGUUCCACUACAUGCUCCUAGUCAAAGAUUUUUUUUAAUAAUGGGUGUUUUUAUUAACUCAAAAUAUAGCAUCAAGCGGAUACAAAACAUAAUGAGCCACACCCGGUCUAUGCAUAACUAAGAUGCACACAGCCAAAAGCAGAAGUCUGACAAAAAUAAGAUAAGAAAAUCGACAUAUCGACAACAGUGAGUCAUGUAGUACCGACACUAUGCCUCUGUCGAAGGAGGUGGUGGAGCGAUCUGGAGAUUAUGCUGCCAUCCAUGUUGAGUAAAUAUCUCCCUGGCCACUUGCUCCAACCGCAUAGACGCCGCCAUGAACAACGGUUGGUACUCCAUUCGGUGUAGCAUACACCAUACUAGAGGCUGGGGCGCCACCUGAGGCGGGCCUAUGCGCACUUAUUUUGUCUGGGCACUUCGGUUGUCAUGUUUGGUCAUCAGUAUCACUUAUGUACAUCAAUAUGGGCGUAUGCUGUAUUGUUUGAGUUCAUUAGGAUCUAUUAGUAUCACAUCAAUCAAAGUACAUAUACUAUGUUAUUUGAGUUCAGAACCAUCAUAGGCAAUGAUACGUCUAAUAAGGAUAUAUAACAUUUAAUUCAAAAGGAAAGACAAAGUAGAAUUAAGUGCUUUAGUUUGGCCGAAGAAAGGAACCUCAUGAUGCCAUGACUAAGGAACCAAAUAUAAAAGAGCACCUUUCAGAGUACUCCAGAGGUAUGACAUCAUCCAUUUCCACAUCAGAAUCAUCGGAAUUCUCCUGAUCUUCAUUUCGAUGUACCCAACACAAAUGCUACAUGGAUUUUAGUCAGCUGCACUCCCCACUACUUCUACACUUCCCCUUUUUCACACCGACGAGCAGAGACUGAUGCAAGUUGAUCGAACACAGAACAACAUAUAAUUUCCUAGAGAUGCGCUGGGCCUGAAAGGCAACAUACCUAGCAUGCGCAUAAAAUGUGAGAGUAACAAUAAAAGAACAUACCAUUUACCGAUAUGAUUAUUAUUGCUUGCCAAAAUGAUACGUUUUGAUUACUAUUGCAUGCCAAUAUUCUUAAUCACUCCAAGCAAAUUUAACCUAAACUAAAUAUCUAAGAGUAAGCUCUGGUUUAUGUAUUUUACAGAAGUUUGGUUCAGCGAAACUUCGGAAGCAAAUGUGUGAAGGUUUUAUCAUUCUAAUUAAAGGCCUUUUGAUUGUGCAAAACUUACACUACCACAUGAGUUACUGACCAACAUGAGAUGCAAAGUAACAACAGCAUGAUAAUUUUUUUUGAAGGCAGUCAUAUUCUAAAGCAUUAAAAGAUGAAUUCCAAUGCUUUGAUUCUGUAAAGAAUUAGAUCGAUCACUCAACAGUUCUAUUGGCGCCACUAAAAUUCUGAGUGCAAUGUUGUGUAUGUAGCUAAAAUUCACCCAUCAAAGACAACCUUAAUAAUAAGCAAUGGUCAAAACAAGCAAUUGUUGAAGUUAAAUGUAAUUAGAUAGGAAGUCACAUUUGAUUCAUGACCAUCGAGCUGAAAAUGAGACCGAUAAAAGCUGAUUCACCAUGAAGAGAAACAACUAAUGUGAACCUCGGGUUGUAAAACAAAUAGGAUGAGUCGUGUGCUGAUUGCAAAAAAUUGUACUUCUAACCAAAUGACCAUGCUUCAUGAAUAGAUGACAAUAUAGUAACACGAAAGUGAAGUACGGUGAAAUUUUGUAAGCUACUAAGGGCAUAGGGCAAAGCUCACACUCCAGCUUGCACUCCUUGAAGAAAUCAACCAAAAGCACCCAGAAAGAUAAAUGGCAUUGUGGCAUCCGAUGAAUGUUGAUAACUGUACCAUCACACUAAUUUAAUCUACAAAAUUCAUGUCAACAUCACUAAUCAUGAUGUAUCAGGUUAGGAUAAAAUCAUUGUUUUUUCCCAAAAUAAAAUAAAACAAGCCCAGUUAGAAAGAAAUCAUAAGCCUAUCAGACAAUCAGGCAAUUCUGUUAGCAUGUCAACAAUCAGACAGAACAAAACCUAUAGUCCUCAUUUUUUUCUUUCUAAAAAAAGUGUAAUGCUAGAAAAGAGAGUUAAAUAAAAUGCUACGUGAAUCAGCAUACAGAAAAUUCAUAGAAGCAAUGAAGAAAAUAUGAACAAAAUUUAUGUCGAAACACCUAUACUUUCCCCACGAGCAAAUAUGUGUAAUGUUAGAAAAGGGAGUUAAAUAAAAUGUUAGGCAAAUCCGCAUCCAGAAAAUUCAUAGAAGCAAUGAAGCAAAGAUGAGCGACAAAUUUAAUCUACACACACACACACACACACACAUUCAGGCAAACAAAUUACUUCGAUUGAAUCCAUUCCUUUGCAUAUAUGGCAUAAAUGCAUCUAAGGAAAAAAAAACUUGAUGGUGUUAGUUUACCUUGCCAAGAUCAUGAAAUCCAUCUAAAUGAAUAAGAAGCUCCAACAGUGUCCGCUGGAUCUCAUGGUCGUCAUUGGUUCCCUCACUAAAUCUUCUCGCAUCAAUUGCAUCGAUUUCAUCCAUGAAGAUAAUGCAUGGCUAGAAAUAACAACUUGAUGAAAAUGAAACAAAAUUUGCAAGCACCGUAAAUAAACUAAAUGGUGAUAUAAGCUAAAAUGAUCUCAGAAGUGCACUUUUACAUAUAUAGAGAUCAGUUUGAUUUCUUCUUCUCAGGAAAAACUGAUACUGAAAUCUAAAGCUUAAAGUUUUUCUAGUGUUGAACCAGAAUACAAUUAGAUGACAUGACAUCUGAGUCAAGGGAACUAUCAAAGUCACAGCUUGAAUCUCAACACCAGUAGAUGCAUAACCAUCUGCCAACAUACGUUUCUAACAGAUAAUAAGGGAAUUAGGUUUAAGACCAAUUGGCUUUGCAAAAAAGAAAGGCGGAGCAAAACUUACUUGGCGAUCGCGUGCAUAGCCGACCAUUUCUCUGAUUAAAAGCGCACUUUCCCCGAUAUAUUUGUCAAUUAUAGCACUUGACACAAUCUGGUUUUUAGACAACACGUCAGUGUAAUGUAAUACUCACAGAAUGAAAAUACCAACCACCAUCAAUCAAGUGAAAACCACAGCUCCAAAAAGUUAGCAUGAAUGUUACUGGAUAUAGCCCUUGAUAGUAAUGGCUUCCCUGUAGAGUAGAACGCACUUGAAAAAGUUAAAGAAACAUACACUGGCUCCCAUAUAUUGAUCUUGUAUUUGACAAGUGGCCGGGCAUCAACAUUGUGCCUGCUGGUGUACCAAUUCAGCUUGUAGCUGCCAGCUAAUCUCCUUCUGAACAGUUAUGCUGUCCUCACUCACGUGCUACGCCUAUUCAAACUUGCUUAAUUUAAUUUGUUACUACUAUGUUAAUGCUGACAUAUUAACUGGCAGACCUCAUGUACUAACAGUAAAUCCCAGCAUACUUUCUUAAUUUGCUACUAUCCGGAUUUAUUCUUUUAGCGAGAGGUCAGGUAUCACUUGGAACAACUGAGUUUCUUUUUAAUCUUUGUGGACACUACACUUGAACGCCACAACCACCUGGAUAUGUCAGGCAGGACGGGCAGCAGCGCAUCAUCAGUAAGUUUAUUUAAGAGAGUAAAAUUCAGUCGCAAUCAGUCAAUCUCAAUCAGGUUCAGAUUUGGACGCGACCUUGAAUAACGAAGCCCCAACUGGGAAGAACAAGGUUGCAAGAACAAGCAGAUUGACGAUGGGUUCAUGGAAGCUUACCAGGCAGGCAGUCCGCCCGGCGGCUUGAGCAAGCUGCUGCUGGUACCCUACGCGCAGUCGCAGUCCGCACCGGCCAGGGCACACGAGCACUGACGCGCGUGCCGCCUGCCGCUUCACCAUGCCCACGUUGUAGUCGCCACCGAUUCACGGCAGGGCAGAGGGGCCUCGACCUCGUCCUCCUCCACAUCAUCAUCGGCGAUGCCCUUCCCCUCCUGACCCCAACACCAUCAUGCCCCCGCCGACUCAUCUCCCUACAGCGACGGCGACUCCGGAGGCUCCGAGACCUGGGACACCGACAUGAGUGGCUCGUCGGCAUCGGAUCUCCUCCACCCNNNNNNNNNNNNNNNNNNNNNNNNNNNNNNNNNNNNNNNNNNNNNNNNNNNNNNNNNNNNNNNNNNNNNNNNNNNNNNNNNNNNNNNNNNNNNNNNNNNNNNNNNNNNNNNNNNNNNNNNNNNNNNNNNNNNNNNNNNNNNNNNNNNNNNNNNNNNNNNNNNNNNNNNNNNNNNNNNNNNNNNNNNNNNNNNNNNNNNNNNNNNNNNNNNNNNNNNNNNNNNNNNNNNNNNNNNNNNNNNNNNNNNNNNNNNNNNNNNNNNNNNNNNNNNNNNNNNNNNNNNNNNNNNNNNNNNNNNNNNNNNNNNNNNNNNNNNNNNNNNNNNNNNNNNNNNNNNNNNNNNNNNNNNNNNNNNNNNNNNNNNNNNNNNNNNNNNNNNNNNNNNNNNNNNNNNNNNNNNNNNNNNNNNNNNNNNNNNNNNNNNNNNNNNNNNNNNNNNNNNNNNNNNNNNNNNNNNNNNNNNNNNNNNNNNNNNNNNNNNNNNNNNNNNNNNNNNNNNNNNNNNNNNNNNNNNNNNNNNNNNNNNNNNNNNNNNNNNNNNGGAGGCUCGAGCUUGGGAAGGGGGGAGGGGAACGAAGGGGUGGGGCUCCAGGCAAUCCUCACCUCCAAAGACAACUUGACCGGCAACACGGGCAGGCUAGACCUCUUCUAUGGCGAGGCCAACUUCGGCGAGGGGACGAGGUGGUGCGGGACCUUGGAGAUAUCUCCCCCGCGCGUGGAGCUUGUCCGGCGACGCCGCUGAAGAUGCCACUGCCACGACCAGCUCGAUCCUCCUUCGCUGGACUCCGAUCUGGACGAGGACUGAGCUAGGAGGAGGGAAGCGGGAGAGGAGAAGGCGCAGGAGAAGCGGCUGAGCCGGCGGCGCAGGGACCAGGGAGAGAAGAAGGCGAACGAAGAGGGGAUUGACAGAGUGGCGAAGAAGCAUGCGGGCUAGGUUUCCUUUUCUUUUUCUCCCAGCACUGCACAGUUGCUUGUCUCGUAGCUUGCCGGCAUGGCUAUGGCGAGGGCUCGCCCUUGAUGCGUAGGUUAAUGUAUUCGACUAGCGGGGCGCCUCUUGAGAGGAAGCUGAGCGGUGCUAGGUGGGACGCGCCCCUUUCCCUUUCCUGCAUAUACUAUGUAAUGUUAUUGCAUCAGAUUUAAAGUAACAUGCUCAGCUAAGUGCAAAGUGUGAUGAAUAAGUGAAACAGAAGGAAGCUGGUACAUUGGUGUAUGCCAAAAACUGAAUAUUAUAACAUAAACACAUGAAGUCAUCGACGUCUAUGGUAUGAAAUGCACAUGCACAAAAUUAGAGUGCACAUGAAGACAGAGCACUAUAGUGUCCUGAGUUGCAAGUCUCUAAGCACUGAAAUGAUCUGCAAUCAUAUGUACAAAGUAACCGAAUAAGAACAAGAAAUUUAGAGUAAAUGAGCUGUAAAAUUGUAAGUAAUGAGCAUUGGAAUUAAGGCAGAGUCAGUGACAGUUGGGUGCACUUGACAGGAAAAUCGGCGAGGCAUAAUAUGAAAUUAGAGUAAAUGAGUGCGUGCACUUCUCUUGGUGGCACCUAAAUGAAAAAAGAAACUAUUCACCUCUCGAUAUAUUCCCUAAGACCAUAUAAAAUCAGGAAGGUACUGAAGAGAGAUGCUCAAAUUCGAAGUUGCCAUGUCUAGGAAUGCUUGAAGCUUCAAAGAUUUCCUAUAAUACAGCAUGCCUCUAACUAUUCACAAUAAGAAAAACAUGUAAAUGCGGAAUCAACCAAAUGAUGGUAAAUUGUAGUUGAUUUUGGCCAAGCAAACGUCAGAUGAAAGAAACAUACAUGAGUGAACAUCACGAUUGGAUGUUUUAUUCAAAUUUAACAGGUUAAACUCACCAAAUACAUCUGGAUAUUUAGUGUUAAACUUCAACAGAUGGUCAGUUGUAGCUAGAUUCACACCACUGAAGCAAAAUUCCAUCUGCCACGGUUACAUCACACCAUCUUUUCAUCGUUACUAUUUAAAUUCCAAAAGCCUGCAACUCAUUUUUUUUGUUACGAUGUAUGCAUGAUUUUUAACUCAAGAGGAAGAGGGGAAACUAAAUCCAAGAAAAGAACACCAAGGAAGCAUCCAAAAUAGAGAAAGGAAAAAUCCAAAAUAGAGGCAGAAUCGAAGGGAAGAAACCCCAUAAAAAAUAGGAGAUCAAACGGUGAAAAAAAUCUAAGAGUCAAACAAUUCCAGGUAAGACCAAAUCGACGGCAAAAUAGCACAAGAGGGACUCACAUUAACAGGUAUACCAAUUCAGAAAGAAGUGUAAAGCAAACAGUGCAAUGGACCACUAGUAUAAAUUGGAUGUACACAAACAUGGGACUUAAACAGGAACUGCGAGAUGCAGGGUUCACGUGCAAACCCAAAAAACGGAAAACUGAAACCCACAACAAGAUUUUAUCUUCAUAUAUAUAUAUAUAUAUAUAUAUAUAUAUAUAUAUAUAUAUAUAUAUAUAUAUAUAUAUAUAUAUAUAUAUAUAUAUAUAUAUNNNNNNNNNNNNNNNNNNNNNNNNNNNNNNNNNNNNNNNNNNNNNNNNNNNNNNNNNNNNNNNNNNNNNNNNNNNNNNNNNNNNNNNNNNNNNNNNNNNNNNNNNNNNNNNNNNNNNNNNNNNNNNNNNNNNNNNNNNNNNNNNNNNNNNNNNNNNNNNNNNNNNNNNNNNNNNNNNNNNNNNNNNNNNNNNNNNNNCCUAUCUAUUAGUUGCUUCUUCCGAAUCCCCACCUAUCAAGCGUUUUCUUUGAAUAAACAAACACAAUAGUAUUCUCUGAAUUAUACUGUACAGUGAUAAUUAACCAAGCGACUGGAAUUAACAAUAUUAUGAGCUAUUGGCUUUUUAGUCAGGUAAAUAUCAUUCUUAAGACUACGGAAAACAGCAGGCGGCGAAGAAAACAUCUAUUGAUGAGAACUAUACACAUACUUAAGAAGGAAGUGACAUCUAUGGUAGCAGAACAUAUAUCAAGCUGUUGCAGCUACAUUAGCAGUUUAGCACAGUCCCUCCAUAAUACACAGGCUAGUGUAAUUUCACAAAUACAAUAAGCUAACAAUAUAUAUUUGGUAGAUGGAAAUGGCUGGAUCAUGACCAAUAUACGAUUACACAUCCGAUGAUGCAAAUAAAGAAACGAGGCCCAACAAUAGUGGAAAAUAAACCACAAUAGAACAUGUAUUUGGCGAAACCUCCAUACUGCAAUAUCAAACAUGAAUUGAAAUUAACAAUCUAGCAAAAAAACAUGACAGAUGCAGUCUUGGUCAUUUUUUCUUUUGUGACAUCCCCUAAAAAAAGUAAAAAGAAUGUUGUUCGUAUUUUACCAGAGAUACACUGAGCUGGGACAAAUCGGUCUGAAAUAAAAUAUGAUGGCUUCGGAGGAUUCGGAAGGCAAGAAAUUUGCUUUCUUCCAACAUAUAUGGUCUGCUGAACUAAACUUUGUUUCAGCGAGCUUUGGCAAAAAUCUGUAACUGCAAACAUCAAACUUGUGUGCCCUUCCUACAUCAAACUUUAAACCUGACGGAUUAAAUAUUUUAGGUUAGGCUGAGAUCAGUGUACUUUAUGAGUGUUAAGUGUACUUUCUAAAUAGCAGAGAAACCAUAACAUCUAAGCACAACCCAGCAACUUGUACAAGCUAACAUCAAAUCUGAAAGAGGAAAUGUCGAGAACAGGUGAAGGUACCAUGAUCCAUGACUGAGCAAAGUUAUCUAUAAUCCUCGGUGAAUAUCAUAAAUUAGGAUCAACAAAGCUGAAGAACAAACGGGAAAGGAACCUAGAAAGAUCUUCUGCCGGUAGAAUAUAACUGAUACACUAUCCUCAUUCUCGAGAUCAAGGUCGUUUCUUGAAUUGCAGUUUCCUCACUGUAGUAUGGGGUCAUUACACUGCGAAGAACAAAGUGUCAUAUGAAUCAUUUAGAGCCCAAUCUUUUUCACUGAAACUCUUAUGAUCACAUAACGAAUUUAAACAUAAGGUUUAUUAGAUAUUUGUUGUUGUGAACUGAUAAUAUAUUUCUGGUGUUGACAAUGUUUUGAUUAUGGAUGCACUUCAAGAUGGGUGGCACAGAUUCUGUUGUACAGGCCUCCACCUGGAAUUUCAUCACUUGUUAUUUUUGUUUAGAAUGUCUAGGUGCAUUUUUCCUUUAAGGUGGAAACAGAUGUACUUGUAUAAGCAACAAGAAUACAAAGCGCCACUGCCAUACAUUGUGGAAGUUCAAUGCUUCUGUUUACAAAAUCUGCUUCCCAAAACAGAAGGAUUUAUAAUUUUUUAUUACAAUCAAGCGGACAUGAGCUGAUGAGUACAGAUGUAAACAUGUACUGAGAGCAGCACCCUUUCAAAAGUGGAUCAUUUACAAGUUGGAUAGUUUGAUGGUCUGAAAUUAGUGGUCGUGUUUCAGAAUUGUUAUCGAAUAGUAGAGGAUAUAUAUUAACUUCUGAAAUUAGUGGCUGUUUGUCAGAACUGUUAUCGAAUAACAGAGCACAUAUAUUAACUUCAAUAAGUGGAGUAAUAUCUUUGGAUUCGCUGUGAGGAAAGAUUACCAAAACAAAACAGAAGUGAGUGCGACGACCCAGAUGAGGGCGCUCUUGAGCCUCUUCCCGACCGACCUAGAUGCAGGAGCAGAACACCGCGGAUCUAAUCAGCCAACGAAUAAAGCCGAGGCAGGUAGAGGAAGUAAGGGAGGAAGAAGACUGACUUGUCCUGGUCGCCCUCGUAGUAGAAUAUGGUGAACGGGAUGACGAGGAAGACGAGGACAGCGUCGAGGAUGUAGACGACGAGCCAGAGCGUCUUCAUGGGCAGGAUAAGGGCGCAGGCCCCGUUGUAGGCGGCGUGCUUGCAGGUCUGGCGGUUGGCGACGUCAGCGGGGAGCAUGAGGAUGGAGAGGACGGCGACGGUGAUGCCGAGCACGACGACGAGCUUGGGGAAGUAGGCCUGGUUGGCAUCAUCCGGGUGCUGGUAGUUGACGAGCAUGUAGACGCUGACGAGGAGCACCAGGAUGCUGACCACCGCCGCCACGAUCACUAGCGCCACGUUAAAAACCCCAUCUCCUCGGGGCUCCGGUCCCGGUUCCGGCCCGCCGCCUCGCCCCCGUUGGUCGGUCAGAUCUCUCUGUCCCUAGAGGCGGGGGGAUACAGGCUAGGGUUUGGGCGUGGGCGGGGAAUAGGCUGCUAUGGUGUCGGCAGCGGGGCGGCCACCGGCGGGGAGGGCGGGAUCCGCGCGGGGUGGCGGGAUUUGGGCAGGCGGUGGGCUCGGGGGAGGGCGGUGGCAGCGAAGCAGCAGGGAGGGGCUGGAGGAGAUGAAACGAAAGAGGUCGCGUGACACAGCGACAGCGUCGUCCAAUCCCCUCGCUGCCGAUUUAAAAAAAGGUAAUGAUAACUCCCGAACGUUCAGGAGUUAAGCAUGGCAACCCGAACGGGUUUAGAUGGCAAGUUUAGUUUGCGUGAGAUUAGAGAAACAUGGCAAUUUUCUGACAAAAGAAAUGAAAAAGGACGAAGUUGCCAUCCCCUAUCAACUAAAGUUGCCAUCCCUAUGAACUAAAGUUGCCAUGUAAAAACGUUCGGGAUGAAAUGCUCAAAAUCCGAACGUUCGGAAGUUAUUGGAUUCAAAAAAAAUCCCCUUGCUGCCAAUCGCUGGCCCGUUUCUUUUUUCGCCCAAUCGCUAGGUGAUGACGUGGCUAUCACGGGAAGGCGCCCUUGAUGCGUAGUCGAAUGGUUUUAAUUAAUAGGAAGCGAGUGCUUACUCUAGUUACUGAAUUAUGUACACCAAAUAAAGCCAUUUACACGUAGUUAAUGACAAAAAAAGUUGAUGUUUGCUACGCAAACGUGUAGUACAAAUUAAGAAGUGCAAGAUAAAAAAAAAUGCUGGUCCUUGAUUCGUUGUUGAUCGUCAGCAUGCCAUCAUCAAUUUGUAGUUAAUUAUCAUACAAAUUGGCUCUUUCAUAGAGUUGGAGGCUAGCUCCUUUGAUCAGCACGCGCUUAAACAUAAACAGCACGUAUAUGUUUUGUCUCCGGAGUUCAAUUCUUCAUCGGCCAGCAAAAAUGGCCCGACCGGGUAGAGGAAAAGGCAUGUUUGUUAGUACGCCUGGAGGAAAUGCCUUUGAUUAGGGCAUCUUCAACAGCGACCAGUAAAUUUCCUCCCGCGUUCGUCCACGGAUAGGGGAUCAGUCCGCGGAUACGGAUACAGGAAUCAUCUAUCUAACGCUGUCCGCGUAUAUUUCAAACACAUUUUUUUUAAAAAAAUAGGAUGAAAUUCAUGCAAACACAAUGGAUUUCAUACAAACCGGACAAAAAUGUUUACAUUUUGGACAUAUUUUUUUUACUAAAAACUCUACAGCCGGCGCCGGCGAAUAUCCACUCCGGCGACAUGGAACCCUUGACUAGUCUACUGCCGGCCGCAGCGGAUCUCCAAUGUCGUCCCCAUGUCCGGCAACUAUGAGCCCUAGAGGUAUAUGCUUCAGCGCAAAGAGCGGCUCGCCUCCCUACCGCUCAUCGGAGUGGAACAACCAGCUGAUGCUUCUGCCGAUGGAAAGGGUCCCUACGCUACACGGAUUAGAGUUGGUUUUGGGCUGGGAACGGCGGUGGCCUGCCAGAGGGCAAGACACCGACUGUGUAUGCUGGUGUCACCUGGUGUGGCAUUCGUGGGACCCAAGCGGCAGCGCCUCCUCGAUGAUGGCGGCGAGCGCGGACGUGUUGGACACCACCUCGUCGAUGUCCGUGCAGCCCGCUUCUUUCUCUGUAGGAAGGACGCGGUUACGCUCGCGUUGACAUCGGAUGACUCGGUCACAUGCACGGGAGGGGCGGUACGACAUGGCACCGCCAAUGGCAGCCAUGAUGCCCGCGCCAGCGUGCUCUCUCCCAGUGCCGACCUAGAGCAACUUGCCACUCCUCUGCUCGUGAACGGUGGGCUUGACGGGCCACCUAGCCAUUUUUUAUGCCAGACAACUCUUCUUCCUGCUCGUCAGAUGUCAUGGAUAAAACUGUUUAAGGAGGAAAAUGAUGAGUAGACGUGUGAUGCGGUUCUUGCCCAACAUCUGACAUUGUUUAAAUAGCGAGGGGACACGAGAGGAGCCAACUGGCGUUCUGUUUAAUGCCAACCGGCUCGCGAACGAACAUGUGGCUGGAGUAAUUAUCCUGGCACACACGCGGGUUUAAUGGUGGAAGGUGGGCAGUCUGCAGGAAUGAGGCGAGGAUGUGUGCUUAGCCGGCGUGCAGCAGGCGGCGCCCUCGGCCGGCGUGCUGCAUCCAUUGCGGAGGCAGUGAGAGGUCGCGUCCGCUCUGCAGCGCAUGAAUGCGGGCAGCUGGCGCAGAGCGGGAACGCGUGCGGGCGAGGGAGGAGGGGGUUUGGGCGGGUGGUCAGAAGAGGUCGUGGGUGUUGUCCGAACGCCUGCAAAGCCCCCCUCCAUGUUUGUCUCCAGUUUGCGGGAGAAAGUAUGUCCGAACCGUCUCCAAUGGACCAAUACAGGCCCGCAUUGGAUGGCACAACACGUCCGGACCAUGUGGUCCGGAUGGUUGUGGACAGUUUAAUUGAGGGUCGGCGUUGGAGAUACCUUAGAGUUUAUGAAUCCAUUGUGUUUUUCUAAUCAUAAAAAAGCACUUACAAUAAGUUAUAAGGAAAGACACGUUUAUAUGUUAGGUUCAGACUCCAGCUUUCGUUUUACAUAUGCUUUAUUCAUCCGACUGAUUCCAAUAGAGUGAGCCUAGCGUUGUUUUUCUGGAAACUCGCGGGAUAAGGAGACAUGCAUACACAUUCUUUCAAGCAAAUCACAUCCAUCCUUUUUAACUCAUUUUUCUUCUUUUAAUAAUAUAAUAGAUCAUUUAUAUUUUUAUCUGAAACAGUUGACGUGUAAUUUAUAUUGUAAUCUGAGGAUAAUGUUUGGAUUUUACUUUCAAAUAUAUUUGAAAUGGCCAUGAUGGAAUCACAUCCAUUUAUUUUAUUAUUAUUUGAAUUUGAUCCAAAAGAUAAAUAAUGAGUAGAGGUCAUGUCAACUUUUCUGAGAACUUUGCUAAUCAAAAUAUAAUUGUAUUUAAAAACAUCUAUUUUUUAGCACGCAUGAAAAAGAUAACACGUAUCUUUUCACACAUAAUGAACGGUUGUCAUAAGAACUCAUGCCAUGCCACAACCUCCCUCCGACCCUGCCAACAUUGUUGCAGCUGCACUCGCAAGCCUUAGCGUAGAUGAUAAUUUAUACAAUUUGCGUAAAACAAAAUAAGAUCUACAAAUGAAUAGAAGCUAGAACGUACAUUGGCAUGCACACACAUUGCAAGCCAUACUAAGCUGAUAAGUGUUAAUAACUUGUACAACAUAUACAACACUUAAGACAAGUAAAAGCAAUUUGAUGAGUCAUGGUCUAUCAAAGCCACAUUACUAGUCUAAUCCAUCUUAACAGGUCACACAUGAUUAAAAUCUUGUUUGUGUGCAAGUCAAGCUUAUCUAGUUUACAUGUAACAACUUGUAGAACAUUACAAAAUUUAUGUUUGCUAAUAACUUCUAGAACACUACAACACUUGACAUGUAAAAGGAAUUUGAUGAGUUAGCGUACUAAAGCAAGUUAUAUUACUAGUCUUAUCUACCUUAACAGGCCACACAAGAUUACAAACCAAGUUCUGUGCCAGCCAUGCUUAUCUAGAUUAUGCGUAACAAUUUGCAGAAAAUUACAAACUUAGUUUCAGAAAAAUAGGCAAUCUAGAUUAGUGUUUGAGCUGUAAAGUGAGUAAAAUGAGUCAUGCGUGUUAUCACACCUUUUUGGUUGUGGAAUGAUAGUGCAACAACAAGGAACUUUAAUGACCAGUUCAAGAAUACACUUGUAAGUAGUGCCACCGAACACAACAUACCAAAUUAUGAUUUUGAGAAGCAUCCAAGCACUUCCACACAAGCAAAUGCCAAUUGUGAAAGAGAUCAUGCCAUGGCAGCUAUAAAUAGGCCCGUAGCAUGACGAUCAUCCUUCCUCAUCCAUCAUUCUCAUAAGUAGAGCGCAUCAUUUAAGCCAAGCAAGCAGUGCUCAAUACAAAUCCACCAUGAAGACCUUUCUCAUCCUUGCCCUCCUUGCUAUUGUAGCAACCACCGCCACAAUUGCAGUUAGAGUUCCAGUGCCACAAUUGCAGCCACAAAAUCCAUCUCAGCAACAACCACAAGAGCAAGUUCCAUUGGUACAACAACAACAAUUUCCAGGGCAGCAACAACCAUUUCCACCACAACAGCCAUAUCCGCAGCCGCAACCAUUUCCAUCACAACAACCAUAUCUGCAGCUGCAACCAUUUCCGCAGCCGCAACUACCAUAUCCGCAGCCGCAACUACCAUAUCCGCAGCCGCAACCAUUUCGACCACAACAACCAUAUCCACAACCGCAACCACAGUAUUCGCAACCACAACAACCAAUUUCGCAGCAGCAGCAGCAGCAGCAACAACAACAACAACAAAAACAACAACAACAACAACAACAACAGAUCCUUCAACAAAUUUUGCAACAACAACUGAUUCCAUGCAGGGAUGUUGUAUUGCAACAACACAGCAUAGCGUAUGGAAGCUCACAAGUUUUGCAACAAAGUACUUACCAGCUGGUGCAACAAUUGUGUUGUCAGCAGCUGUGGCAGAUCCCCGAGCAGUCGCGGUGCCAAGCCAUCCACAAUGUUGUUCAUGCUAUUAUUCUGCAUCAACAGCAACAACAACAACAACAACAACAACAACCGUUGAGCCAGGUCUCCUUCCAACAGCCUCAACAACAAUAACCAUCAGGCCAGGGCUCCUUCCAGCCAUCUCAGCAAAACCCACAGGCCCAGGGCUCUGUCCAGCCUCAACAACUGCCCCAGUUUGAGGAAAUAAGGAACCUAGCGCUAGAGACGCUACCUGCAAUGUGCAAUGUCUAUAUCCCUCCAUAUUGCACCAUUGCUCCAGUUGGCAUCUUCGGUACUAACUGAGAAGAGAAGAACUCUAGUAGUAGAUAUAUGAUACACCGUUUUCUUAGUCCAUGGUUUGGUCGUUGUAGCGGUGAAAAAAUAAAGUGACAUGCACUAUCAUGUAAGAACCCGAACUAUACUAGUUCAAACAUGGGAAUAAAAGACAAACACAUGUCUUGUCUACAUAUGAUUGUUUGUUUGAGUUCCAC
rnacentral:lncRNA from 1 species